UCGUAAGCAUGUGUAGGUGUGUGUGCAAGAGCCUUGUGUUGCAAGCAUGUGUGAGUGUGUAUGGUGAUGUCCUAUGACACACAUACAUGAGGUACAACCCUCAUGUUCACCAUUGGAGUUGUGGGUGUGUGCAAGUGCAUGUGUAGGUCAAUAAUAGAGAGUACCACAUGUGAUAUGGCACUAUUUGGCACUUUAAGAUUCUAUGUUGUUUUUCCUUUCAACUUUGUGCCUACAUGUUGUAUGCAAGUACCUGGGUAUUAUAUAUGUUUUUGGGGUAGAAUCUUCCCAGAAAUCCAUUGGUGGAAUCAGAUUUCACUUUGGGACAAUUUCUGGAAAUGUCAUUUUUCUGUCUUGAUGCUAUGUUUAGAGCUUGGUGCCAUGUGGUGUGAUGAGCCUAUGAGGAUGAUUCCUUGAUGUGGCAGUAGUGGGUGAACUUCUCUACAACAUGGUAGUUUUGUUUAUGCUUAGGAGUUUGUAUGUGCAAGUUGUGCCUUGUCAAAAAUAACAUGUGGCUGAAAUUGUCAGCUUGGUGAAAAUCUAUGAUCUUCACUAAGUCUAAGAAACUGAUGUUAUUUUCUUCCCUUGUAGUUGUGGUUGCAAAAGCUCAUGUGUUGGUAAUCAGCCCUUGCAAUCAACUAGAGAGUUGGAGAUUUUGUGUUUGUCUAGCUCUCUGUUAAAUUUCAUGCACUUUCACUUCCUAUAGAUAUUGAUUUGGGGGCUGUCAAAAUGCUUCCGAGCAUAAGCAGCUGGUGAGAAUCUGAGAUUUUCGCUAAGUCCCUGAAAUCUGUUAUUUUUGUCCUUAGCACUUGUAGAUCUUUAUGUGUGUAACUCCUUUGUAUUAUCUUCUUGCUCAUGCCUGAAGAGAUUUUGAAUAGCUUUUACCACAUAUCUUGUUUGGCACAUUUGGGUGGUUGUAGGUGCUUUGCAUGUUGCUCACAAACUGCUAUGAUGCUGUUUAGGACAUAUUGUAUAGUUUUGUUGUUUUGGAGCUUGUGAGUGCAUAGUUGGUGGUGUGGUGAGUUUCUUUGCACCACCCCACCUAUACUUGUUCGUUUGAUCAUGUGGCUACCUGGGGAUACCAGAAGUGUGCCAUUGGAGUGUGCUUGUGAUGGAUUNNNNNNNNNNAUAUCUUGUUCCGUAGUUUCCGGUUGAUCCGUAGCUCCGUUCGCUACGUUUUUUAUACGUCUUUACAUUGUUUUCUCGUGAUGCACCUGUUCAUGUCAUAUUCACGCAUAUCAAGAUAGCUUAGAGAGAAGUUCUGCCCAGAAGUUUAUCUUCUCUUCUCAUGCAUAUGCAAGUGACUAGAUUAGAGAUGCAUGCUUCAUUCUCAUCUCAUGCAUCAUGUGUUUAAUACAUCAUGUUGUGUUGUUGUUCAUUGGCUGUUAUUUUUAUCUUGGAUAGCACCAGGAUAGGAGAGCGAGUUUGUGGAUUCGGGAGAGUACGUGCAGGACGAACAAGAGCAGUUCCAAGCUGAAGACAUCACACAGGCAAGAUGACCGUGACCUUGAUACCGUAACUAGCUUUGUGAUGCUUAGAUUCAUGUUUCCUUCAUCAUAUGAUCGUUGCCUACCACUUGAUAUAAUUGCCUCCUGAUAUUGCCAUGAAACCCAAACACCUUCCCCUCCUAGCUAAUGUUGAAUGGCUAAGUAGGCUUGCUCAGAUUCUAAUGAUAGCUUUGCUAGUUGCACGUGCCAACUGUCUCAUGUGAUAACAUGAGUUUUGAUAUCAUUAUGUUUUAAACUACUAUCUAUUUAAUGCACCUAUAUACUUGCUAAAUGACGGAAGGCCUAGCCUUUUGCCAGGAGAUUUGUUUCGUUAUUGCUGCCUUAGUUUCCGGCUACCGGUGUUUGAUUCCAUAACUGAUCGCUCCUNNNNNNNNNNNNNNNNNNNNNNNNNNNNNNNNNNNNNNNNNNNNNNNNNNNNNNNNNNNNNNNNNNNNNNNNNNNNNNNNNNNNNNNNNNNNNNNNNNNNAACGAAGUAAUAGUGAAUCUAAGCAUAAGAAAGCUAGUUACGGUAUCAAGGUCACGGUCAUCUUGCCUGUGAUGUCUUGAGCUUGGAACUGCUCUUGCUCGUCCUGCACGUACUCUCCCGAAUCCACGAACUCACUCUCCGAUCCCGGUGCUACCCAAGAUAAAAAUAACAGCCACGGAACAACAACACAACAUGAUGCAACAACCACAUGAUGCAUGAGAUGAGAAUGAAGCAUGCAUCUCUAAUCUAGUCACUUGCAUAUGCAUGAGAAGAGAAGAUAAACUUCUGGACAGAAAUUCUCUCUAAGCUAUCUUGACAUGCAUGAAGAUGACAUGAACAGGUUCAUCAUGAGAAAAAGAUGCAAAAACAUAUAAAGAACGUAGCGAAUGGAGCUACGGAUCAACCAGAAACUACGAAACAAGAUACGGAGUCCUACGGAUCAAAUCCAUCACAAGCACACUCCAAUGGCACACUNNNNNNNNNNUGCCACAUGAUAUACAAACAAGUAUAGGUGCGGUGGUGCAAAGAAACUCACCACACCACCAACUACGCACUCACAAGCUCCAAAAAACAAAACUAUGCAAUCUGUUCUAAACAGCAUCAUAGCAGUUUGUGAGCAACAUGCAAAGCACCUACAACCACCCAAAUGUGCCAAACAAGAUAUGUGGCAAAAGCUAUUCAAAAGCUCUACAGGCAUGACCAAGAAGUUAACACAAAGGAGUUACAUACAGAAACAUCUACAGGUGCUAACUUGGACAAAAAUAACAGAUUUCAGGAACUUAGUGAAAAUCUCAGAUUCUCACCAGCUGCUUAUGCUCUGAAGCAUUUUGACAGCCCCCAAAACAAUAUCUACAGGAAGUGAAAGUGCAUGAAAUUUAACGCAGACCUAGAUAAACACAAAAGCUCCAACUCUCUAGUUGAUUGCAAGGGCUGAUUCCCAACACAUGAGCUUUUGCAACCACAACUACAAGGGAAGAAAAUAACAGCAGUUUCUCACACUUGCUGAAAAUCACAUAUUUUCACCAAGCUGACAAUUUCAGCCACAUGUCAUUUUUGACAAGGCACAACUUGCACAUACAAACUCCUAAGCAUAAAACAACACUACCAUGUUGUAUAGGGGUUCACCCACUACUGCCACAUCAAGGAAUCAUCCUCAUAGGAUCAUCACACCACAUGGCACCAAGCUCUAAACAUAGCAUCAAGACAGAAAAAUGACAUUUCCAGAAAGUGUCCCAAAGUGAAAUCUGAUUCCACCAAUGGAUUCCUGGGAUUAUUCUACCCCAAAAACAUGUAUAAUACCCAGGUACUUGCAUACAACAUGUAGGCACAAAGUUGAAAGGAAAAACAACAUAGAAUCUUAAAGUGCCAAAUAGUGCCAUAUCACAUGUGGUACUCUCUAUUCUUCACCUACACUUGCACUUGCCCACACCCACAACUCCAAUGGUGAACAUGAGGGUUGGACCUCAUGUAUGUGUGCCAUAGCACAUCACCAUACACACUCACACAUGCUUGCAACACAAGGCUCUUGCACACACACCUACACAUGCUUACGAGAUCACACUCACAAGUCCACCCACACAAACACAUACACACACACAUGGGUGUGCUUGCANNNNNNNNNNNNNNNNNNNNNNNNNNNNNNNNNNNNNNNNNNNNNNNNNNNNNNNNNNNNNNNNNNNNNNNNNNNNNNNNNNNNNNNNNNNNNNNNNNNNAGGAGGAGAAGAAGAAGAAAUCAAAAAGGAGGAGAAGGAGGAGAAGGAGGAGGAGGAGAAGAAGGAGAAGGAGAAGGUAUUUUUCUUCUUUUCUUCUCUUCUUCCUCUUCUUUCUUUCUUUUCAUUUUUCCUAUUUAUUCUCCUCUUCUCCUCUUGUUGGAGCUAAAUUAUCUAAUUAUGUCUUUUUGGAGCUAUAUGGGCUAAUUAUCCCAUUUUAGAGCUUAUUAUGGCAUUUUGGAGCUAAAUGGGCUAAUUAUGUCAUUGUUGGGUUAAUUAAAGNNNNNNNNNNUAAGGAUAAUAUGAAUGAGGAGAAGAAAGAGGAGGAGGAGGAGAAGAAGAAGGAGGAGAAGGAAGAGAAGUAGGAGGAGGAGAAGGACUAGAAGGUCCUUGGCCUUCUCCUUCUCCUCCUCCUCCUCCUCCUUCUCCUUCUUUUCUUCUUCUUAUUCUUCUUCUUCUUCUUCUUUCUUUUCAUUUUACCUAUUUAUUCUCCUCUUCUCCUCUUGUUGGAGUUAAAUUACCUAAUUAUGUCUUUUUGGAGCUAAAUGGGCUAAUUAUCCCAUUUUAGAGGAAAACAAGCUAAGUAUAUAAUAUUCAUGAGCUAACCAAGGUUCUUAUGCCAUUUUGAGCUUAUUAUGGUAUUUUGGAGCUAAAUGGGCUAAUUAUGUCAUUGUUGGGUUAAUUAAAGCAAGGAUAAUACGAAAGAGGAGAAGAAAGAGGAGGAGGAGGAGAAGAAGAAGAAAUCAAGAAGAAGGAGNNNNNNNNNNCUCCUUUCUCCUUCUUCUUCUUCUUCUUCUUUCUCCUUCUUCUUAUUCUCCUUCUUCUUUCUUCUCCUUCCCUUCCUUUUCCUUCUUCUUCUUCUUGUUCUUCUUCUUCUUCUCCUUCCCUUCCUUUUCCUUCUUCUUCUUCUUCUUCUUUCUUCUCCUUCCCUUCCUUUUCCUUUUAACCCCCCUGUUCGUGCGCCACCACAACAUAAGCCCCCCUGUUUGCCUGGCUCCCUUUUAACCCCCCCAGUUGUGCUAACGAUGUUGCUAAUGGCCCCCUUUGAGUUGAUUAGCUCUACAUUAAGCAAAUAAUAGCACCGACUAGUCUAAUUAUUUUCUGAAAUGACAAAACUGCCCUCCCUCAUCUAGUAUAAGUCACAGGAGCUGGGCAGAAGCUGCUCCCGUUCUCUGCUCGUUCCCCUCCCUGACCUAGCCGCCCCAAGCGCUGCUGCGCCUCGCCUCCGCCGCAGCUGCCCCAGCCGCCGCAUCUGCCCUAGCCGCCCCAUCUCCAUUGCUGCUCCAAAGUAAGGCAAGCCUCUUCCCUUCCCUAGCCGCCCCAUUGCUGCUACACCAACAAAGUCUCCAGCAAAAGGAAAAAAAGAAGAAGAUGACUCCAAAGAAGAAGAAAUAAAGUGAACUGUGAACUCGUUUGUGCUGCCAUGAACUACUUUUGCUGCUGCUACACCAACAAAGUCUCCAGCAAAAGGGAAGAAGAAGAAGAUGACUCCAAAGAAGAAGAAAUUAAGUGAACUGUGAACUAGUUUUGUCUAUUGAUGUACCCAUUUGUUAUUUAUCCAUUGACAAAUCUGUUAAACAUUGCAAAGGGGGGCAUCAGCUACAUCAUGGUGAAAACUGGGGGGGGGGGGGUUAAAAGGGNNNNNNNNNNNNNNNNNNNNNNNNNNNNNNNNNNNNNNNNNNNNNNNNNNNNNNNNNNNNNNNNNNNNNNNNNNNNNNNNNNNNNNNNNNNNNNNNNNNNNNNNNNNNNNNNNNNNNNNNNNNNNNNNNNNNNNNNNNNNNNNNNNNNNGAUAAUCAAUUUUCCCCUUCUUCUUUUCCUUCUUCUUCUCCUUUCUCCUUCUUCUUCUUCUCCUUUCUCCUUCUUCUUCUUCUCCUUUUCUCCUUUACUAAACAGGAAACUGACCUAACUAAACCUAAACUAAACUAAUUUAACAACCUAACUAACUAGCCUAACUAACCUAAUAAACUAAAAAACAAACCUAACUAAUUUAACAUAAAUAAAAAUAAGGAAAAAUAAAAAAAAUGGGGGGGACUCACCGGCGAGGGCGGCUGGAGCGUCGGGGCUGCGAGGAGGACGGGUUCGACGGGGCAGUGGGGCGUCGCUAGGGGCAGUGCGGCGGCGGGGGGCAAUGGUUGCGGCUGGGAGACUGUGGAGGCAACACGGGCGGCGGCGCAACGGUGGUGGCAGCAGCAGCGGGGGCGAGGUGAGGGAAGAGAGAGAGGGGCGGCAGCGGGGGCGACAGGGGCGGNNNNNNNNNNNNNNNNNNNNNNNNNNNNNNNNNNNNNNNNNNNNNNNNNNNNNNNNNNNNNNNNNNNNNNNNNNNNNNNNNNNNNNNNNNNNNNNNNNNNCUCAAAAUGGCAUAAGAACCUUGGUUAGCUCAUUAAUAUUAUAUACUUAGCUAGUUUUCCUCUAAAAUGGGAUAAUUAGCCCAUUUAGCUCAAAAAAGACAUAAUUAGGUAAUUUAGCUCCAACAAGAGGAGAAGAGGAGAAGAAAUAGGCAAAAUGAAAAGAAAGAAGAAGAAGAAGAAGAAGAAGAGAAGAAGGACAAGAAGGAGGAGGAGAAGGCCAAGGACCUUCUAGUCCUUCUCCUCCUCCUCCUUCUCCUCCUUCUUCUUGAUUUCUUCGUCUUCUCCUCCUCCUCCUCUUUCUUCUCCUCAUUCAUAUUAUCCUUGCUUUAAUUAGCCCAACCAUGACAUAAUUAGCCCAUUUAGCUCCAAAAUACCAUAACAAGCUCAAAAUGGCAUAAGAACCUUGGUUAGCUCAUUAAUAUUAUAUACUUAGGUUGUUUUCCUCUAAAAUGGGAUAAUUAACCCAUUUAGCUCCAAAAAGACAUAACUAGCUAAUUUAGCUCCAACAAGGGGAGAAAAGGAGAAGAAAUAGGAAAAAUAAAAAUAAAGAAGAAGAAGAAGAAGGAGAACAAGGAGAAGGAGGAUAAGGAGGAGGAGGAGGAGGAGGAGGAGGAGAAGGCCAAGGACCUUCUAGUCCUUCUCCUCCUCCUCCUUCUCCUCCUUCUCCUCCUUCUUCUUGAUUUCUUCUUCUUCUCCUCCUCCUCCUCUUUCUUCGCCUCUUUCGUAUUAUCCUUGCUUUAAUUUCCCCAACAAUGACAUAAUUAGCCCAUUUAGCUCGAAAAUACCAUAAUAAGCUCAAAAUGGCAUAAGAACCUUCGUUAGCUCAUGAAUAUUAUAUACUUAGCUUGUUUUCCUCUAAAAUGGGNNNNNNNNNNNNNNNNNNNNNNNNNNNNNNNNNNNNNNNNNNNNNNNNNNNNNNNNNNNNNNNNNNNNNNNNNNNNNNNNNNNNNNNNNNNNNNNNNNNNNNNNNNNNNNNNNNNNNNNNNNNNNNNNNNNNNNNNNNNNNNNNNNNNNNNNNNNNNNNNNNNNNNNNNNNNNNNNNNNNNNNAAAGAAGAAGAAGAGAAGAAGGAGAAGGAGGAGGAGGAGAAGGAGAAGGCCAAUCCUUCUCCUCCUCCUCCUUAUCCUCCUUCUCCUCCUUCUUCUUGAUUUCUUCUUCUUCUCCUCCUCCUCCUCCUCUUUCUUCUCCUCUUUCAUAUUAUCCUUGCUUUAAUUUCCCCAACAAUGACAUAAUUAGCCUUUUAGCUCCAAAAUACCAUAAUAAGCUCAAAAUGGCAUAAGAACCUUGNNNNNNNNNNNNNNNNNNNNNNNNNNNNNNNNNNNNNNNNNNNNNNNNNNNNNNNNNNNNNNNNNNNNNNNNNNNNNNNNNNNNNNNNNNNNNNNNNNNNNNNNNNNNNNNNNNNNNNNNNNNNNNNNNNNNNNNNNNNNNNNNNNNNNNNNNNNNNNNNNNNNNNNNNNNNNNNNNNNNNNNNNNNNNNNNNNNNNNNNNNNNNNNNNNNNNNNNNUGAAAAAUGAAAAGAAAGAAGAAGAAGAAGAAGAAGAAGAAGAAGAGAAGAAGGAGAAGGAGGAGGAGGAGGAGAAGGCCAAGGACCUUCUAGUCCUUCUCCUCCUCCGCCUUCUCAUCCUCCUUCUCCUCCUUCUUCUUGAUUUCUUCUUCUCCUCCUCCUCCUCCUCUUUCUUCUCCUCUUUCAUAUUANNNNNNNNNNGCCAUUUAGCUCCGAAAUGCUAUAAUAAGCUAAAAAUGGCAUAAGAACCUUGGUUAGCUCAUGAAUAUUAUAUUCUUAGCUUGUUUUCCGCUAAAAAUGACAAAACUAGCUGAAAAACAUCAUAUUUUGUUCUUCUUCUGACUUUUUUAUUCACAUUUUUGCAGAUUGGAUAUACUACAUGCAUGGAAGCUGGCAUUCAUGGAGUUGAACAAUGUCGAUGGAUGAACUUUAUAUGUAUAUCAUCUAGUUUUCAUUUGAGUUGAUGAACAAUGUCGAACUAUAUGUAUAUGUAUAUAUGGAUAAACAGUGCAAUACUUUGUAUGUUGGUUCUUUGGAUAUAUGGGGAUGUACAUUGAUUUAUAUGUAUAUCAUAUAUGUGNNNNNNNNNNNNNNNNNNNNNNNNNNNNNNNNNNNNNNNNNNNNNNNNNNNNNNNNNNNNNNNNNNNNNNNNNNNNNNNNNNNNNNNNNNNNNNNNNNNNUUGUUUGUGCUUUGAUAUAAAUCACACUUUUGCUUAGGCAGCGAGCAUGCGGUUAUAUCACUCGUCUUAUUUUUAUGUUCAAAACGAUUUUGGCACUUGUUUGAGUUGAUUUUCCAACUCUUGUUUGAUUUCACUAAGACCCUUAGACACCCUCCCCUCUGUGCUCUCUCUCUCUCACCCUCCCGACAACUGAAGACGGCAAGAAAAGAUGCACCAAGAAAUCCACUUCGAAGGACGAGUGACACUGAAGACACUGAUUGUAGUAUGCCUAACCGCAUGCAACCCGUAGUAGUGAUGCUUUCCCCUCAAGUUUGGGAAACCACACUAGACCAGACUAACCCCCACAAGCUUGUCCGGCUCAAAAUUUCUGGUCACGUGUCUAGUGCACGGACUUGCCAGAACUUGUGUAAGUCCCCGGUAAACCCUGCUAAGCACCGGGUUCCUUAUGGAACGAGUGAUCACCGUGAACAAGUAUCCUUCCAUCCUAAGCUAGCACUGUAAUCUUGAUGCCAUAAGAGAAUCGUUCUCGGGUAUAGAGUAUAGACUAAAGACUGUCGUGGUGACGAUGAUAUGUGUCUUGAGGAUAUAGCUAGACUAUUUUGGUGGAUCGUGAGACCCUUAUGAAGGUAGGUAAAUUUUGUGGAACAAGUUGAUAUAGUAGCAUAAACUAUAUAAUCUGGAGUGAGAUUGGAUUUAGUAGGACGAUCAUAAUCGCGAUCAACAAUAGUCUUGGUGGUAUACAUGACUUUAGCAAGUAGUUGGCAUGAUUUGAUGCCUUUACCGUAACAACUUGGAGUAUCAAGUAGACUUCUUAUUGGAUUUGAGUUUUGGAUUUAAAUAGGUAAUCAUAAUAGAGCAUAGAGGAUUUCAAAAACCACAUUGUUCUAAGUGAAUUGGAUUUAGCCGUUGAUCUCGAUCUAGAUACCAAGUUUCUCGGUGGAUAUAGAGUGCGUAUACUUGGAGUUGUCAGAUUAAUUUACAACCUAUGUGGGUUGGCCUUGGAGAUUAGCUGGCCAUGACUAUUGAAGUUGGUGGAUGCACUAUGACAUAAUCCUCGCAGUAAUACGUGAAUUAUGAUGACUCUAAGAGAUUAUGUAGAACCCAUAAAUGUUGGGUUUGUAGGAGUGGUGAGUCUAGUCACGAUUGAUCAGAUCGAUGGAUCACUUGAUCGGAUUCGUAGCAGGAAACAAGGUAUUGGAUUGGUAUAUUACGUGUUUCAUUAAUAUGGUGGUGUAGUACCCCGCCCAUUGUAUGAUCUAGCUGGACAUUGGAUUAGUAGCAUCCCAGUGCAACCUUAGCAGCUUAUAUACCUUCCCGAGGUUCUUGCAUGGUAAUGCCUGUGCAUCAUUGCUACACCAUACUUGUAGUGUUUGGGUUUAAAACUUCCCUCAACCCGGAGUUGGCUAGCGUGAGCGGUGUGGAGUCGACCCAUGUGGGAUGGUAUCUUUGAUGAGAUGAGGUGAUAUCGUCCCGAGAUUUGAGGUCGAACUAUUGGCAUCUAAGGUAUGUGCUUAAGUAUAAGAUGAUAACUGUUCACCCACAUCCUAAGUUCCUUGAGACCCUAAAGCUUAGCUGAGCCAGGAGAUGGACGGAUUACGACCCCAGCAAGCGACUCUAAGUCGUUAGAAUGUUGCCAGUACCCACCCAUAGCAAGUCCCGUUCUCCUCACCUGAUUCUCGAGCACUGUGCUUAUGUCGUGUUCGGGGAAGGUAUGUUGUCAUCCUCACUGAUGACAUACUUAUUCACCUAGUAAUGUGGACAAGAGCCUCAGUGCUGUUUAGCUAGACCAUAGAUACCAUAGACCGCAACCCCGACAACCGAAGAUAGUCUCCACGAGCAUGGUGAAGCAUCCAUAUGAGCAAGGAGCCUCGAUGACACAGAUGAACGACGCAUUUUAUUUCAACUCCAACAUCAACUACGCCAACCACAAGACAGUAAAGCCAGCAAGGACAAACACACCGGGAGCAACCUCCACCCGGACCACGACUGCGUCCACAGUCACACCACACAUCAACGCCUAAGCACUCGCCAUUAUGACACACCUCGGUUCCUUCGUAAGAAGAGACCGCAAGGACACCACUAGCACACUAACACCACACGUGCGCCGAGCCGAUGCCUAAACAUCAUGAACCCUGCCGCCGCGGAGAACCGCCGUGCGGGCAACAACAUCUUGGCGAUCAUCAUGGACGAUCGCGCAGUACAGCGUCGAGACCCCGACCAGCAAUGCCACCAUUCCGGAGAGGAAGAUGAUGAGCCAUCCGGUGGUCUCGUCCGCCAUUGACCUCCCUCCUCGAGCACGUGCAGAAGCGAAGAAGAAGGGGACCGGAGCAGCAGCAAGUGGCGAGGCUGGGUGGAGAACGAGAAGGACUCCCUAGCCAAUUUAUAGCUAGGCUCGGAGCGCCACUAGCCAGGCCACCAGCCCCAACGGUGCUCGCUGGGAAUCCCAGAGCAGUGACAACAUACUAGGCCCGUGAGGUGAGUGCUCGCUGCGCCGGUAGAUGGCUCACCGCACACUACGGUAGGGCGGCCCCGGACACCGUACGCACUAGGCACCGCUAGUGGAGGCAGCACAUGGGGCUCACCCAAGAAAGAAGAAUCAGAGGUAGAAGAAGAGGCUAACGGCGGACCCUGGGCCCACUUGUCAGCCGGAGUAAGUACCGAGAAACAGGUACGACUAGCAAGCUGUUAUGACAACUUUCCCUUUCUCCAACAUCCUCGUAGAACGCAGAUGCACCAAUAAGUGGCAUCCUUGAGAUGACCCCGUCACACCGCACAUUCCGAUUAUUGAUGCUAGCAAGUCCUGCAGCAUAGCAGGAGCACACCCUUGUUUCCGCCUUAACAAAUCUCGGGGACGAGAUUUUCUUAAGGGGGUAAGGUCUGUCACACCCAGUUUUUGGCCUUCCUGAUUAAUUAACUUAUUUCAAAAAUCAGGACCAAUUAAAAAAAUUGUGAAUGCUUGUGAUGUUUGGAGUGACUCUUGUUUGCCUGUUUGCUUGAAUGCAUGUGAAUCCUCCCCAUUAAUUCUUGCCAUCCUCCUAAUCACCUCAUCAUCCCAUGAUCUCCUGCCUAAUGAUCAUGCCAUGUGUUUAGAUCAAAUAUCUAAUUUUUACCAAAUAUUAUUCUCACCAAAAAGCUUUUCUUUGAAUUAAACUUUCAAACCCCUGAGAUGAGGUUUGUACUACAAGUUCUCAAAUUAGGGAAUUUCUUUUGGACCAAUUAUUUUAUUUAAACCUAUUAUCAAAAUGUCUUCCAAAAACCACCAUGUUACUAUUUUAAAAGUUAUUUUAUUAUUUUAUUCAAAACCUUUCUGUGAGGCCAGAAAUGGUCUCCUAUGAAGGAAAGUUAUUUUUAUUGCUUCCAAAAUAUCUAAGAAAAAUUAGGGAAUCUCCGUGGAUAUAUUUAUUGCAUAUUUAUGAGUUUCAACACAUGGCCAUGUUCAAAAUAUUGGGCAAACCCCUCCAAAACUAUUCCUACCUAUUCCAAGAUUUUGAAAUAUUUCUAUCUGAAAUAUUCUCAAUAAAUUCUAGUAAAAUUCUAGCAUGUCAUCUAUGAUAUUAUUGAUGAUCUUGCCAAGUUUCAUUCCAAUCCGAGUUGAUUUGGCUCCCCUAAUCACUCUAAAACCCUAUCUGUCCAGAACAAAAUUUGAGCAACUCUACAUUGUGAAUUGUCUCCAAUUGUGCUCAAAUUUGGUGGACAUGUUCCAAUACUCCAAUAAGGAAUCCACACCAAGUGGUACUUCAAGGAGAAUAGAGGAACUUGUCCUAAGACCCCCAAAACCCUCUUUGUCGAUUUCUGACUUUGGCAAACUUUACAUUAUAAAGUUUCUCCAUUUGACCUCAAACUUUUUGUGCAUGCCUUAAUGCUCAAAUAAUGCCCCUACACCAAAUAUUGGAUUUGUGGGAAUUUAUAUGAAUAGGGUUCUAAGCACAAACCCAUUUCUUCCCAUUUCUAGGGUUUUUCAAGUCUACAUUGGAAAACUCCUCCAACAAAUCCCAAAUUUGGUGUGCGAGCCUAUUUUCAUCUAUUAUUUGACCCUGUUAAAUUUCAUAGCCAUUGGAAUCCAUCUCGUAGCCCAACCACAGAUCAAACACCUUGUGUGCACUCACUAAUUUGGCUUCUUUUGCCCCUUCCACUUUAUUCCUUGAGCUCAACUUCCUACCACAGCCUCACCUUGUUACAUUGUACCUCCAGUAACUUUCCCAUGGACACUGGUCAAUUAUUGGGGAAGGACCCUUUGUAACUUUCUCUCAUUUUGACCCUUGGCAACACUAUUUUACAUCUGCUUAAGCUAUCACCCCCAAUUCUUUCCAGAGCCUCUCUAGUGUGUCAAUGCUUCAUUUGGAACCAAGAGAUGGCAUGCUCAUGUGGAGAAAAUGAGCAGCACUUCUUCAAAUGGAUUUCUGGCUGAAUCAUGGAUUUGAACAACAAUUAGUAGCUACCCUCCCUUGAUUGAGCUAAAACUUUGUAGUCUUGUAGUCCUUCCAUGCAUAAGACUGCUAGGCAUGCUUUUCUUCUAGUAUCUCCCAAAUUAGUGCCCUAACUGCCCACCUUAAGUUUGUUGUUGCAAACUUAACAGCAGUCAAACUCAUCCCUAACCAACCUCAAAUGCUUCCAAACUCCAGAGUCUCCCUCCUACAUGGGUGCCCUACGUGCCAAACAUGUUUGACUGGUCUUGUGUCCCAUGUGGACGUGAGUAGCCAUGGUGACCACCUCCCUAGCAUGCACAAAUGAUGCUCAGCACCUUGUCUUCUUUCUCCAGGGCGUGUCCCACCGUUGCAGCAUGUCUCUGAGCGCCAGGGAACCCCAUUUGACUGGUCCAAGCUCUUCCCCGAUGCUGGCUAGGCUCCAAGGUGCCCAGGGACGUGUGUCCUUGCCAUGCCAGGAAGCUCCAGAGAGCACCCGAGCUUUCUCACUCUCUCUCCCCUCUUAUUCCCUCUUCCCCGAGCCCCUGAGGCUCCGGCCUCUCUUCCCCGCUCCCAUUGGCUCCUCCUGAGCACCUCUCCUCCUCCCUGCUCUCUCCCCAAGCCCCCCCUUCUCCUGUCAUAGCCAUGGCCGAGGGGUAGAGCUUCGGCCUCUGCGGGUUGGCAUGCAGGCCUCCCAUCGCCUCCUUCCGCCCUGUCGGAGAUCCCCAGGCUGCCCCAUCUCCUCCCUCGAGCCCCUCCGGGCCCCUCCUCCUUGCUGCUGGUGCCGAGGGCAGUGGUCUCGUCGCCCCCCCGCAGAUGCGCGCCGACUCCCCUCUUGCAGCCCUUUCGCGGGUGCCGUGUGUGGGAAUGGAGGCGGCGCAGCCUCCUGAGCUCGCGCGCGCUCUCACCCGAGCAGGGGGUGGCCCGAGUCGCGGCCCCACGCGGCAACCCUUCCCCUGCUGCUCUUCCAUGCCGGUGGGAGGUGGGAGACGAAGCUGACUGGCGGGGCCCCCACGUCAGCACCUCACCAGUCGGCCCCCGGCUUUAAGUGGAGCCGCCCCAGCGCCUUACGCCUUCCCCAAGCGGAGGCAUAUUCAAGGGAAUAUGCCUCCUACGUGGCUGCGGUUAGCCAGGACCAAUUAGUGGGCCGACCUAAUCCCUCUCCUCCGCCUGAGCGUUAGAUAAGCCGAAGCUAAACCUUUUCCCAUUUUCUUAUAAAUUCCAUAUUAAAUCCAUUCUAACUCCAAUUCCGAUGAUUCAAAUUUCUGCAGGUCUCUAAAAUAAAGAUCUAUCCAAAUAUUGACUUUGCACAUUUUUUCAAACAACUUCCAUAAUAUAUUUAUAUUUAAAUACCGAUUUGGGAUGCUUCUAGCUCCCCUUUCAAAAAUCCCAUAGGCUUCAGAUCAACUCCAAUUGGAGUGAUUCCAAAUUCCAGAGACUCCUAGAAUAUUGCUCUAAAUGUCUAACUUUAUUAAAUAUUUUAGCUUGACAUAUUUCUGUUGCAUCAAAUAAAUAGCCCGCUUUGCUAUUUAUUCCACAUUGUAAAAUCUCUAGAAUAUUCAUACCAAAUCCAAAUCCAUUGAAACCUCUUCCUAAAUAUUUCUAAAAUCAUUCUCUGUUAAAUGGGUGCCUCCACUCAUUUUUAACAGAAUGAUUCUGUUGGCUUCUUCAAUGGUCACCUAUAUCUCCUUGCGUCCAUUCAAAAUUCCAUGAGGAUCCAAAGACCCUUCGCAAAGCUUCAGGUAUUUUUCUUAUGGCCAAAGAGGUCCAAGAAAAAUAAAACUUCUAUUUAUGAAACACUUUUAUUUCUGCUUGCUGUGUGGCUUACCGUGGUUGUUUCCGACGAUAGUUGACAGGUAGACGGAGUAUUCGGAGUUGGAGCGGAAGACCUCGAAGACCCCGAGGACUUACGUGACCAUGGCAAGGAGCCCUUUGACCAUGACUGAGCAUAUGAUUACUUUGCAUGUUAUUAUAGCAAGUGUUCCCGUUGCAUAUGAUCAUAAGUACCGGUAAUCAUUUGAUAUGAUUUUAUCGAAGGCUCCUCCGGAGUACUUUGCAUUGAGCUUGACUCUACCCCUUAGGGUCAUGCUAAUACCAUGUUGACAAGUAAUAGCAGUAGUAGUUCUAUCAUAAGCAUGAUGCAUUCACAAAGCAAGAGUUUAUGAAAACCCCGUCGGGUGCCACUAAUGCCCGAGGGUGAUGAUGAGUUAGGUGGUCACUUUUGGUGAAGUGAUGCACCCGGUAUUUAUGUGAGUAAGGUUUCGGAAAUGGGAUUAGAUUUUUGAUGUGUCGGCCGUCCCAACCUUACCAGUACGACCAUGUUACCCCUUAUGGGACGGGGCUAUGUUAAUUACUCUGGUCGUUGCUGGCAAAGAGCCACAUUACUAGUGGCGGGAGUGAUUGUAAUCACUCUCGUGAUGGAGUCGUGCCGGGUAGGACGACUAUUCCAUUUUUAUGAGUUCCAGUCACACCGUUGGUCCCCGCAUGGUCGGUACGGUCCAGAGUUGGUGCUCGUAAGACAUACGACAUGUGGGCUGGGUACCAAUCAAGUGGACCUCUUUGUCUAGUAUCGUCAGGGGAAAUGCAUUGAUCAUGUACUUACCUCGGGUAUGUGAUAUACCGUGAGUCGUGGAUGACACGGAAGUUUCCCGGAUCUCGUGGGUCUAGCGUACUACCUCUGCAGAGUGUAAACUAUUCGAGUAGUCGUGUCCACGGUCAAGGACAGUUGGGUAAUCCUGCUGAAACUAAGUCCUGAUAUUUCUGCAUAAACCAAGUGUGCGUGAGUGUGUGUGUUGGUGGUCAGAAAGGUGUUGAUUUGAAAGUAAUAAUAUGACCAAGUUCGGUGACUUGGCAUAUAGGGUGAACCCGGAUGGUUCAGCCCUCAACUGAUAUAUCGAGGAUAUGACCAAGUUUGGUGACUUGGGAUAUAGGGUGAACUCGGAUGGUUCAGCCCUUAGCCGAUAUGUUGAUAUCUGUAACCUGUUCUUCAAGAGUAAUUCUUUUGAUGCAUAUUCAUGAUCAUUCCACCCAGAUGAGUUUCACUAAAGAUGCAUGAUAUUGUUAUCCUUCACUUUCAAUGUUUCUAUUGGGCUGUUUGCGAGUACAUUCAAAAUACUCAUUGGCUUGCCACUGGUUAUUUCAUUGACCAGGUGUGAAAGAACAGGAUAUGGUGAAGAUUAACUCGGUGACGUUCUUGCGAGCUAGGACGCUUCCCAGUCAGAAUGCCUGUAGGUUAAGGCUGAUGGCAUGGGUUCACGCUGUCAACCAAUAAUUCCGCUAUUGGUUCAGUUUUGAGUGUAGGCCUUUAAGGCCAUAUAUAUGUAAGACUCGACCUAAGUGGUCAUUUACGGUAUCAAACGGUAUGUAUGGAUGUAAGACUCUUUUAUUUGGUAUCUGUGUUCGGUGAGCAUUGAUCUCUGGGAUCACUGAGCACGACGAUUCUCGACUCGUAAGUCAGGGUCCCCACACUUUUAAGAACAAUAUUUUAACGAUGUCGCGGGUGCGUGUGAGUGUGGUUGGACUCAAAGCUGACAACGACGAACACAGUGAAAACCGACAACUAAUAACGCAUGCAAAUUUUGAAAACUGGCGGCACCGAGUGCCGAUGUGAUGCAGAUGAUGCGCAUGAUGCGAUGAUGAAUGCGGCAAAUAAAGUAAUAACAGGACGACAACAGAAAAGAGGGAGUCUUCUGGAGCGUCGGUCUCGGGCUGUCACAACUCUGCUACACUACAAGAGGAUCUCGACCCGAGAUCCAAGAAUGAAAGGGGAAGAGGAUGAGAAAGCAAGAGAUAAAACUUAGUUGCUCCUUUGACAAAGGAGUGAAAGCAAUGAAUCUAUACGGUUACAAAGAGAUGAAGAACGAUAUGAGAAAAAAGGAAGGAUUCACACAAAAUUUCGGCAGCAUUUUGUUAGGAAAAGGGGACAAAAAUUCGAUACAAUGGAACGAUCUUGAAAAGAUUCACAACAAACUAACAAAAUUGAACAAGGGAACAAAUGAUCUUGAAAAUACAUAAUGAUAGAUUGAAGAGAGCAACAUCACAAAGCCUCCGUUAGAAAGAAUAGAAACUAGCUCUAGGCAAGAGGGAACGCAGAAGAAAAUGAGAAAUACUACCACAAGAAUCUUGAAGAACAACUUGAGAAAGAAGAGAUCUUGAUUUGCCUAAUACAAAACUGAACAAGGCACUAGAAUAAUUGAGAGAUGAACGAAGAGACAACAAUUGAGAAGAAUUUGAGAUUGAAAGAUGAAAGCUAAGAACGAAGAAUUCUUCUGAAAUCAUGGCCUUCGGAGGAUCAAGAAUGAAAACAACUCAGAAAUGCACCAGAUAGCAAGAAAGGGAUUCUCAUGAUUGGGAACAAUUCAGGAUGAUAACACAAAGUUGAAAUGAUGAAUCUUCACUAGAAUGGACCAAGAUUUGAGAGAAAUGAUCCUUCCGUCUUCCAAGCUGAAAUGAUGAGGAGAAAACCACCAAGCAUAACUGACACACUCCAGAAUAAAGAAGAAUGAAAGGUUGAGCCAAAGACGAGAAUUAAUUCAAAUUGAUAUUUGAAAAGGGAUAAGAUUGAUGAAAAUUCAUACUUACAUCAUAGUUGAAAAGAAUUAGAGGACUCCUGAAAGAUUACAAGAGCCACAAAAGAUCGUGGGAAGAACAUGUGGGUUAUGGGCCCACUCAAAGAAACCACCGUUGAAAAGAUUGCUCAGAAAGAGAGAUAUUGCACCGGUACAAAUGAAAACUAGAUGAGGUGAGGUCCUCAAAAUAAUUGAAAGAUCUGAAAACAAGAAACAAUGAGAUAUCUUCAACACUCCGGAUAGAAAAGAGAGGAAUGAAUAAACAAGAUAGGCUGAUAAUAUUUUUCAACACCGGAAAGAAUUAAAAGGAUGACAAGGAUAUGAUGACACGAAUAACUGAAUUGAAUUCACCAGAAAAGACAACAAGAAUGAAUAAAGAUGAACAUGAAGCUCUUGAGAAUCUUCACAAUGAAUCACCGGAUACGACACGGAAGAGAAGAGAGCGAAAGCAUUGAUGAAAAGAAAGACACUUGGACAAUAAUUAAAUGAUUGGAGAAAAAGGGUGAGAGGGCGGGGAAAAACAAAGACAUCUUGGGACAGAUGAGAUGAACUCCGGAACAAAAAGACACAUUGUUCUUGCAAAAUUGGAGAGGAUUGAAUUCACUUGUAGCGAAGCACACUGGUUGAAAAGAAUUGACAUGGCAACUCCGGUUCACAAGAAUUGAUAAGACAAUUGAUUGAGAAAAAGGAUUAGCACUCUCAUAAAAAUAUGAGAACACUUAGGAAAGAUCUGAAUUCAACACUUGACAUCGAAGCAACUCGAAUUACCAUACUUGAACAAACAAAGGCUGAGGCUUACAAAACAAGCCGAAACAAACUCAUGAGAGAGAUUCCGUCUGAUAUUUUCGUGGAUGAGGCUCGCACGGGCUCUAUCCUAUAGUAGCCAUCAUGUGCAAGGCAGUGCACACGACAUACGAAGCGUCCCCGAGUCAUAGCAAGCUACAAGGCUCUUUAAGACACAACAAGAACCACUGUAAAGCGACCGUGAACAAACGAAUCCACUAGGUGUCGAACCCCAACCUAACAUCAUGCAUUUGUUGGAAUAUUUUCCUAUAAGUAACUAAUUAAAUUCCCACCUUAGAACUCCCGAAAUUUCUGGUCAUGCAAUCUGGUCCACGGAUACAAGGAGUAAUAUAUCACUCAACCCCUAUACUAACUCGUCCGGUGUAUCACAACCGUCAACACAAAACCAGAGUCUCGGAACUUCAUCUAUCUCACACACUCGUAAUCACAACGAUACUAAGUAUGGCGAUACAUCCGAAAUUCUCUGCACCAGUAAUGGGGAAGCCGGACUCCUCUCGCCACUACUAGUAUUGAAGAAAUUUCGAACAUCCUUCGUCGUGAGAUACUAAGAAAUUUGAAUGAUAACGAUGUGCUCAAGAAUCCCCUAGAGCUCAACUCCCCGGAAGAAAUCAAGUCAGACAGGAGGGACCAAGACAGAACUCUGUCACGUCGGCAUCAUAUAGAUUCCAAAAAUAUCCGUGUGAUCCCAAAAAAAUUUGAGUGACAAGAGGAGUAGAAUUAAAAUUAUUACGUCAAGAUUCCUCACGAGAGCAUAUAAGAGGAGAAAAAAAGAAUGCUACUCUCCUAUAUAUAACUAGACUCAAAGCAGUUUUUCACUAGACUCGACUCGGCCAAGUUCGAUCAAUCAAGGGGUCUCCUAGGUCGGUACUGCUUUGAUACAAACUUGUAACGCCCAAGAUACGAUCCUAUCCUUAUUUUGGCAUGAGGGCCUCGACAGGGAUAGAAGUGCAUCGCGUCGUUUUGCAAGAAUGGAUAUCGUUACAAGUACAUGUACUGAAAAGAAGAGUAUAUGGAAUUGGAUUACACUCGCCACAAGCUACAUCAGAAUCACAUCAGUACAAUACAUAAAUAUCACGAAGAAGAGCAGGGUCCGACUACGGACGAAAACAAACGAGAAAAGAACGACGUCCAUCCUUGUAUCCCAGGCUGCCGGCAUGGAACCCAUCCUAGAUCGAUGAUGAAGAAGAAGAAACUCCAAAUGAACAAUCAUCGCGCUCACGUCUUAAUCACCUUACCUGUACCUGCAAGUGCUGUUGUAGUAAUAUGUGAGCCACAGGGGACUCGGCAAUCUCAUUUCCAAAGGUAUCAAGACUAGCAAAGCUUAAUGGGUGAGGUAUGGUUAAGUGGUGAGGCUGCAGCAAGCGACUACACAUUUAUUUGAGGUGGCUAACUUACGCGUACAAGAAUAAAGAGGGGGAUGAUCUACGCAUAGCGGACGUGAACUACGGAUGAUCAAGUGAAUGAUCCUGAACACCUACUUACGUCAAACAUAACCCCACUGUGUCCUCGAUCGGAGAAGGAACUCACGAAACAGACAUCAUGGUUACGCACUCGGUUGAUAAGUUUUGAUUAAGUUUACUUCAAGUCAUCUAGAACCAGUGUUAAACAAAGUUCCCACGUUGACACAUAACCACGGACUCUGCUUUCCGAACGAUUUAACCCUACAGGGGUGCUCCAACUAGUCCAUUACAAAUUACCAAAAGCCGCAUAGAAAUCCUCGAUCACGAAGCUCGCGAUCUCGUUGAACUCAUUAGUGGAAAACCUCAACUCUGAGAUUACCCAAAGUUUCAUGGGAAUCACGAUGCACAAGAUAUUUCGUAAAAGGUAAAAUCAAUCCAGCAAGGACGCCUGACGUGUCGACGAACCCGAUAGGAACCGCGUAUCUCGUUCUCAUGACACGACCGGAUGGGAAAGCCUACGGGUACCAAACCUCGAGUUGCGCCAUGGUGGCCCCGCAGUCUGCCCUUUUUGGACCAACACUCAUGAGGAGCACUGGCCCGAGGGUUGAUUAAUUACUCCGCGGGUGCCGGCGGGUCCCUAUGCAUUUUUAUUAGUUAUAGGCAAAUGUAGUACCAAAGUUGGGCCUUGCCAGACCAGUUUUAAUCUAAGACGAAUUAUCAAGGGGGUCCCCAUAACAACCCCCCUCGUGUUAGGAGUGCUCAAUCAUGGAACAUAACACCGGUAGUCGAAACUAAGGGAACAAAGGUGGAACAAAACACCAGGCUAGAAAGGCCGAGCCUUCCACCUUUUACCCAGUAUAUAGGUGCAUUAAAUUAAAUAGCAUUAAUAUGGUGAUAUAACAAGGAACCCAUGUUAUCACAUGGAAGCAACUACACAUGGAACUAGCAACGCUAACACAUGGUUAAGCAAGCGGUAACAUAGCCAAUCAGUGGUUUGCUAGGUUGUGAACAGGUUGAAGGUUUCAUGGCAAUGUUGAGAGGCUGAUAUUUAAUAGGUGGUAGGUAGUGGGACAUAACGAUAUAAUCGAAAUAACUAGCAUGGCAAUGAUAGUAAUGAUAUCUGGGAAAUGGUCAUCUUGCCUGAGAUCCCGCUUGGAAGAAGAACGACUCCGUGAAGCAGACGAACCGAUGUAGUCGAACGGGUCGUCACUUUCCGACACGCUUGCGGAACUCUAUCGAGACAAAGGAAACUGUAAACAAGCGUCAACACAAAUAUUCACCAUGGCACAUGCACGACCAGAUGCAAUCAACAUAUGAUGCAGGAUCGGUUGAAUAUAUGAAAGACAUGACAUGUCAAUUCACAACAAUCAAACACUACACAUUAAGUGAAGUUCAAUAUGCAAUGAGUUGCAUAUUGACGAAACUCCAUAUACGAAUUAUUUAGUUCACUUUUGAUUAGGUACACGGCAAUAUUAAAUGUGGUUAAACAUGGCAAGAGGUGAAGCAUAAUUUAUCUACCUAUCUAGGUAUUUUAAAUGAGAUCGGAAACGACUUAUAGCAUCUUCGAACUGACCUCAUGCGUUAAAUUAUAAUUGUGUCCAGAUUUGAACUAACACGUUUUCAUAUUUGUUAAAAAGCAAAAUAAAUAGGUUCACUUAAUUCUACGCGUCGUUCCAAUCAAUUUACACAAAGACAACAUCUCCAACGGAGCUACAGUUCAAAAGAUAUGAUCACCGCAAGAUAUGAUGACAUGAAUGCAAUAUGUAUGCAGUGACAGUCACAAGCAUGCCAAAACAUAGAAACAGCAAGAUAAUAUGACCUACACGAGAUUCUAAGCAAGUUUCAUAUAGGGCACGAUCGAAACGGAGCAACGGUUCAACAAAUACAAGCUACACAAGAAAUAGUCAUAAUCUGCCAAAAUCAGCCACAUGGCAUUUUCUACACCCCAAAACAACAAGCUACAUAAAUCUAAAAUGCUCAAACAAGACAUGGGGAGGUAGUGGUCAAGAUGCACUACAACAUACUACUAAUAACAUCUAGCAUGGAAGCAUGGAUCACUAGGAAAAGAACUCACAAAAUGGCAUCUCACACCAGUUUCAGACUUUGUGAAAAUAUCAGUUUUGACAGUGCAAUUUUCGUUCUGAAGGCAUAUUGACAACGGCAAAACUAUAUGCUACAGGGCACCAAAUGACUUGAAAAACCACAUCAUGCUAUAGAAUAUUAAGGACUACAACUAACUCCAUUGCACCAACCCUAAAGGAGUUGUAGAUCACUAGCAAAACUCAGGGCAAGACAACAACAAAAUAUAACAGAUUUCAGACUUAGAAAUAUUUCAGCAUCUCCAAAUCAGCACUAUAUUCUAGCAUGUUGAGAACAAGAAAACAACACAUAAACAUGGAUUUCUAUUGCAACCAAAAUUAUCAGGGGCUAGCAUGCAUAUCCAAGGGCAUAUCUCUAGUUGACAACUCAUUCAUAUCAUGCAAUUCACACAAAAUAGACAAGAGGGCAACAUGGCAAAAUAUCAUGCACGCAAACUUACUCGAAAGAGAAAACUAAAUUCACAGUUAAAUUCUAUGGAUUUUUCUACCCCGGAAACAUAUAUAAUAUGUGGGGUUCAAAAAAUAAAGCUAGCGCCACACGUAUAUGCGAGAUUAUGUCCUAAACACGACAUAGCAAAUAAGCAACAUAACCUACAUGCAAAAAAUGCAAACAACUACUCUAAAAUACAUGGAAAAGGGGCCCGAACAACAUGAACAUUUUAUCUACUGGACUUGAACAAUCCGGACACACACAAAAAUAUCUAUAUGGAAUAUCUAACAUAUUAGGACAGCAUACAAAACUAGGCAAACAACGGGUCAAACUACUUCAAACAUGCAUGCAAGUGGCAGAAUAUGAUUCUACGCGAAAAACUACACGAGUUACAUAUAUAAUACAUCGCGAUCCGAUGCACGGCUGGAAAUCUACAUGCAUUUGAACAUAUAUCAUUUUUCUGAAAUAUAAUAAAUUAGAAAAUCCUAGAAAAUACUACUGGGCCUAAACUGGUAACUCGGUCAAAAUAGGACAACUGCGCAAGAUACUAAAAUGCCACACGCACUAGAUAGAGCGGGGCAGGGCUUCACCUUGGUGGGCCUCGACCCAUGGGGCAGAGGAGGAAACACGCUGGGGAGGCGGUUGGAGGUGGCCGGCCUGGGCGGCGCGCUGGGCCGCUCUGGAGGCGCUGGUGCGAGGCGGCCCAUGCGGCAGCCGAGCGAGCGCUGGGCUGGGGCGAGGAGCCGGGCUGCCUUCGCUCGGGCGCUGCUGCCUCGGCCUAGGGCGGCUUCGAGCGGUCGCCGCGAGCUGGCGAUGGACUAAUGCUCGUGCCCGAGCAGAGGGAGAUGGCGGCGGAUCCCAUGGUGUCGAGGGAGGGCCGCAGCGAGCGAGAUCUAGGCCGCGGGGCCGGCCGGUGGCGACGGGACAUGGGGCACCGGAUCCGGGGCUGCCGGCCCGGAUCUGAGUGGCGACAUGCGAUCUGCAGGUUCUCUAGGCCAUGGCCAUGACAUGGUGGAACUCAGCUCCAUGGCACGGGGAGGCACUGGACGCCCGGACAUGUCCGAUUUGGCCACGGAUAUGUUCGGUAGGUGGGGUUUCCAAGCGAAUCUGGGCCUUUGGAUGGCUAUCCAAUGAUCUAGAUCUGAUCUGAGAUUGGAUUUCUGGGAGAGAGGGGGUGGAGCUGGCAGGUGGGGCUUUUCUAAGGGGGUGGCUGCAAAAUGGCUAGGGGGAACCCUAGUGGAGUGAGAGAGGUCUCUCCAUGGGGUGGUGCUUAUAUAGGGUUGGGCCAUGGUGGGGUGGACCUCGUCUGUCCGAUCGCGAUCCGACGACCACGAACGGAGGAACUGGCUAGGUGGGUAUAAUGGGUUGUGUAGAUGGGCUAUGUAGGGAUGAGAGGGAAAUGGUUCAGCCCGUGACAGAGUUUCAAAACACCGAAACGUCCGACAAAUAAACCGGCUAUAGUGUCGCUAUGUAAUAAACGGUACGGGUAUCAAACGGGCUCCGAUUGCGACGAAAAUUGACAGGCAGUCCACCUACACUAUAAUAACACUACACGCCAAGUUUCAACCCAAUAGAAGGAUAUUUUAUAUGCACUUUUAAGAACAAUAUUUUAACGAUGCCGCGGGUGCGUGCGAGUGUGGUUGGACUCAAAGCUGACAACGACGAACACAGAGAGAACCGACAACUAAUAACAAAUGCAAGUUUUGAAAACUGGCGGCAACGGAUUGCCGAUGCGAUGCAGAUGAUACUUGUGAUGCGAUGAUGAAUGCGGCAAAUAAAAUAAUAACACGACGACAAUGGAAAAAAGGGAAUAUUUUGGAGCGUCGGUCUCGGGCUGUCACAAGGGUAGCCGGUCAACAAGACCGGCGGACGAACCCUAGGUACGGGCGACACGGCCCUUGAUGGCGAUCAUGGAGACCGACCGCCGCGGGGGCGGCGCGCGGGGCGGAAGUGGUGGCGGCGGCUAGGUCAAGAAACUUGCGAGAGAUACCAUGUUGAGCAGGACAAGAGGAUGAUGAAAUAGUUGUUGUUUAUGAUGGAUAUAUUAUUGGGGCAAAUAGCUCAUGUGCGACGUUUUUGAGGUGAAUUGGAAGGAGUGCGACGUCUUUCGUCUGAAUUGCCUCGGUGCGACAUUUAUGAACGAGGAAAUAUCCCACACACGACAUGGCCCUUGAUCUGAACUGAUGCCCUCAUUAGCUAUUAGGAGCUGGACCCACAACUUAUCCAUGUAAGCGCGGGCCCUACUUGGCAGUGCAUCUAGUUACGGGCCCCACUUGCCAGUGCAUCAAGUCAAACGUGUCCCCGUGCCUAUCCGAAUGGGUAUCCCUGUCUGAACCUCUGUUCCUCCCUCCUCUUCGUUCCCGGUGGUGAGCCAGCAAUGACGGCGGAGCAUUUGUUCUGGGUGACAACAGCGGCGACGCUUUCGUUCUCGGCGACGUCGGAGACUGUGGUGAGUGAAUCUGGAACCCUGUCCUGUUCGGGUACCCGUCUUGUUCUCCUCCGCAUUGAGUUAGAUAUCACCGCAUCGCCUCUGUUUCCCUCUGUUUUUGGUCGAUUUGAUCCAGAUUGUUGGUUAGGCGAACGAGUACAUCAUUUGGCCUGUGAGGACCAAAAAUAAUCUAAACCUAAUGCGAUGGAAAUCUUCAAGGAUUGUGACACCAACAAGAUGAAGGGCAUGACUAUACCUAUCAAAGCCAGUUUUGUAAGUCCUUACUCCUGAUGCCUUUGAACUCCGGUGAUGCACUUCAAUGGUUGUAAAAUAUAUUUGUAUAUGCAACACUGCAAUAAUUAUUGGUUACUGUGAUGUUUGCAUUGACCUACAUGAUUUGCCGUCAGUGUUAGUUAUCAUUCUCAAUUUUGUACACGGUUUUCUUAUCGUAUCCUUGCACCUUACAAGGUUUAAAAAAGAAAAAUGAUAUUCUUCUGGUCUUGAUUUGUAAUCUAGUUGGAUGGUGGACGUGCCUACAAAAUGUACAAUAUAUCAACCAUACUAGAUGGGCAUAAGUUUGGAACAUGGUUUUAUUAUGUACUUAGCAGUAAGAUACAUGCUAAUAUGUUACAUUGGUUCACCAAUAUAAGUACAAAUUUAUCUUUUCAACAAGGUAUUAUUGGAAAUAUGCCAAUCAAUUUGAUUUGAGCAUAAGUAAUUCAAAAAAAAAUCAAAAAACUCCUAGGAUCCAGGCCAGGGUUGCUUGGUUGAACUUGUUUUCAUUUGCGAGUUGGUUGAUCUGAGCGCAAUUCCCAGGACCUUUCCAUGUUGGUAUGCCUACUUUGAGGGUUUUUAGCUUUUUUAGCUGCUGGUAGUUUAUGUGAGAUGUAAAUCGAAUGAUGUCUGCUUUCUUUUCAAAAAAAUACUCUGAUUUUAUCUGAUGGUAACCAGCUCUCAGAUCAGAUCUGCUUCAUGUAAUCUUAGUAAACCAAACAACAUAAGAUAACUCAUCCAGCUUUCAGAUGGUAACCAGCUCUCAGAUCAGAUCCAACUUAGUAAACCAAACAACACAAGAUAACUCAUCCAACAAUUCUUCAACUAUAUGCAUUGGGUAUUUCUCUGUUUUGCUAGCAGGAGAAGUAGUUUGUUCAGCCCGGACUUAAAAGUAGUCUCCCCCUACGUCCUUGAGCCCUCCCCCUCGUCCGCGACCUUGGACACGGCAACGCUGCACUCUUUGGUAGCGCAGCAAUUCUUUAGUUAACAUAGAGCAGCAAUUCUUCAGUUAAUCCAUGUGGAGGAGCGUAACGUUUCGGUGGAGCUGGGCCAACCAAUGAAAGCGCAGCUCGCGGAUAGCUGACGUAGCCCUACUUCCUGAUCCAGACCGUCCAUUCACGGCGAUCCAAUGGUCCGGACAGGUGCGGGGUUUUGAUGGGGUUUUGAGGGGGCUUUGAUGGGGUUUUGAGACGUUUUCAAACAUUAGGGGUGAGCAUAAGUAAUUGAUCAUCAUUCUAUGUGACUAACUCCAUAGGAAAAAUAAGAAAUCUAGACUAUGGAGUUUUUCAUGAAAAAACCUUCACAAACUUGGCUAUCACGAACGAGGUUGUAGGGUUUUCAAAGGUUAGUGUUGAGCAUAAGUAAUUCAAAAAAAAAUAGAAAACUGGUGCCAAUCAAUUUGAGUUGUUAGUAUAUGACAAAGUAAGAAUAAGUGUACUGGUUUUCCAAUAUUUUGUUUNAAUACCCCAUUUCUAAACAAGUUUUUUGUCCACCAUGUCUAAAACAACCAAAUCAAUCGAGUUGUUAGUAUAUGACAAAGUAAGAAUAUGUGCACUGGUUUUCCAAUAUUUUUAUUUUUUAUGCUCAUUUCAAACUUGGUCAAACCUAAGUUUGACGAACAUUUUAACAAGUUUGAAACAUGAAAUUGACAAACCAAGCCUGGAUCCUUCUUAGUCACUCCAAAAUGAAGCUUUUGUGAGGUUUUUGAAAGUUUGAAGUUCAACACCCAAAACCACUUGUCUUCACACAUGAGUUUCAAAUUAGCUCUAAAGGGGGUAAAUACCCCAUUUCUAAACAAGUUUUUUGUCCACCAUGUCUAAAACAACCAAAUCAAUCGAGUUGUUAGUAUAUGACAAAGUAAGAAUAUGUGCACUGGUUUUCCAAUAUUUUUAUUUUUUAUGCUCAUUUCAAACUUGGUCAAACCUAAGUUUGACAAACAAUUAAACAAGUUUCAAACAUGAAAAUGACAAACCAAGCAUGGAUCCUUCUUAGUCACUCCAAAAUGAAGCUUUUGUGAGGUUUUCGAAAGUUUGAAGUUCAACACCCAAAACCACUUGUCUUCACACAUGAGUUUCAAAUUAGCUCCAAAGGGGGUAAAUACCCCAUUUCUAAACAAGUUUUUUGUCCACCAUGUCUAAAACAGCCAAAUCAAUUUGAGUUGUUAGUAUAUGACAACGUAAGAACAUGUGCACUUGUUUUGCAAUAUUUUUAUUUUUUAUGCUCAUUUCAAACUUGGUCAAACCUAAGUUUGACAAACAUUUAAACAAGUUUCAAACAUGAACGGGAGAAGUUCAAUGAGGUGCAAACGCAAGAAUAUGAUCCCGAAGGAUGGCAUGCCUAUUCAGCAACGUGCAGAAAAGAUGAUGGAUCAACUAAAAACAAUGUUCGAAACAGAGCAGGGGGCUCACCGGUCAAUCUGACCCGUGGGCCAGGGAAGUCAGUGGGCGUCACCACAGUGUCGCAUCCGAGCUACUUAUACAGUGAAAUGUGUCGUACCAUAGCUAUUUUCACAUCCAGAUCAGCACCGCCCUCGCCCCCUUUCGCCGACGGGGACCCCCAAAACCACGCAAUCCAGCCCCGUCGCCACAUAUCAAGCGCCACCGUGCAACGAUCAUGUGGUCCGGAUCUUUCAGCUCGUGCGGCAGCCAUUCCGGCGGCGGAAAUCGGAAUGGGGGGAAGCAGCCGGCGCCUGACUCUGAUCGCGAACAGGCGGUGCGGGUUGCUUUUGACGCUGCUCAGAAGCGCGACGCGUGCAAGUACACCAACCGGGGGCUCGCACCACCGCGUGCGUUCGCUCGGUGUGAGGUGGAGUACGACCGCCAGAUGGUGGCAGCGACGCGCUCCUGUGCCGUGGGUGGCGCGAGGAGCUCCGCCAUUGCACCCGCACCACUGCCGCCUCCGAACAGGGAGGGGGAUGACCAGGGCUUUCUGCCUGGAGACUACGUCGACGAUAGCGACCUCGGCGUCAUUGCCGAGGUUAUGGAGCACAGCAAGGACGAGGCCCAGCAGGUCGUCGUGCGCCGGCAGAGGGAAGAGGAGCUCGACGAGAUCCGCCUCCGCCAAGCCAUCGAGGAAUCCCAUACCGACAGGGGGUGGGUGCCUACGACUCCGUCUCCGACUGACCGGCGCCGCCGCCUCAUCGGGGCCGCACUCCUGGGCUCAGGUGAGCCCAAUUUUGGAGAUCUAACUAGGGGUGAGGUAGGAGCUUAGGAUCCCAUGUAAUCGAACCCUGUAUGUCUGGAAUAUUUCUCCUAAGAGCCCGUGUAAUCGAACCACUACUAUCUAUGUUUCUCUACGUUUGCUAAAAUGGAUCUAUGUUGUUUGAAUUUGGUCUAUUUGCUUUUAAAUGCUUGUAAAUUUUCUUUUCUGAAUCGGAGCUCGCCAGUGUUGUCGUGCUUCGUCGCUAGAGAAGAAGAAGAGGGAGGAUGCGCGCAGGGGAAAACUGUUUGACCGUACUCGCUGCCAUUUGGGUCCCAUGUUGACAUCGAUAAGUUGUGGGUCCCGUCCGGUUCCACCUAAUCCUGAUAGAUAUUGUGCUUAAGGGCCAUGUCGCGCCUGGGCUAUUUGUGCGCACAGAGGUAUCGUAGCAGAGUCAUUCUUGUAAACGAUGCCAGUUUGCAGCCAGUUCGUAUCAAAAACGUCGCACAAGAGCUAUAGACCCAUAUUAUUGGGCCUAAUAGGCAAGUAUAUAUUAGGUACAAGACUUGAAAUACAAGAAGCCUCUCCUAAAUAUAAGGUCGGAGACGGAUUACAAAUCCUACACUACCAAAUACAUAUACAUCAAAUAUAUCUCUAACAGCGAACCCACAUGACAAAGCUUUUCUCACCCCGAGGUAAAAGAAUAAAGAUCUAGGAGAGGGAAGGGAGCUGCGGCCGCGCACAGGGGAAUGGAGUUUCCGAUGGUUCCCUAGGCUAGGGUAUAUCUUUGUUCUAUCUUCUAGCUAGAGUUAGAUGGGGAAGAUGUUCAUGCCUCCUCGUGUCUCCUGCAUGUUGCUAAUUUUUGCAGACGAGGCGGUAGCAGCGGAAGCAUGGACAGGGACUGUCUUGCGGGACGAAGCCGAUACGAUGACAUGUUUGGUCAAGAGUGGAGCAUACACAUCAGGGAGUGUGGUGCGGGGCCUGUUGACAGUGGGUACGGUCAACGGUGCGUACGUUGUUUCAUCGCAAGGUUGCCAAGUUGUUUAGGGUGCAAGAUAUUCCUGAAUUUUGGUACAUGGAUGAAUUAUGGAUUCUGAAUUUUUUGCCUAUUGAUAUUGACUAUAUGUUAUUUGUGGGCAAAGAGGGGGUUCAUACAGUUGAUUGAUGAUUUUAUAGGUAAUUCUGUUUGAAGUUUAGCUUAGGCUGGCCAUAGUGGGAGUAACUAAGGUAAUAUCAUAUACUUGGGACUAGUAAACAUGCUGAUGUGGCAGACAAUUAAAGAAGAGAGAGAGGGUUAGAGUAACAUAGUAAAUACCAUAACAUGUUAAAUGUUAUGCUACUAUGUGUCAUGCAUGUCAAUAAAUAAGGUCAUCUAUUAUACUACUUUAUGAUAUUAUGCACUAUGAAGGUAGUAUCAUACAAUAGUAUCAGAUGCAUGAUACUACUCUAUGUUACUCCCCACUAUGACCAACCUUAGAGGAAAUAUUGUACAACUUGUAUUUAUGGGAGCAUGGAUUUGGGAUCCGUUAUGCUAAAAGUAGAUUGAAUCCAGAGAGGACUAAGUGGGUGCAGGUAAUUGUUUCGCGAUGCUUUGUGUGUCAUUAGGUCCAACUUGAUGUUAUCACAAUCCUUUUCACUGCUCUAGACCAUAAAGUGGCACAAAUGAAGGUCAUUUUGUCGUGUGGUUGUAUUUAGAGCAAGUUUAUAUCAGAGAACAACACGUUCUGCUGGUGUAAAUGCUAUGCAUUGAUUUGCUUGUUGUAGAGAGCUGACAUUUAAGAGCGAUGGUAGAUGAUCAAACGAAACGAUUGUUCUAACUGACCACUGUAUCAUAUAGUAGUAUCAUGCAUAUGAUACUAUUGUAUGAUACUACCUUCAUAAUGCAUAAUAUUAUAAACUAGUAUAUAGAUGGCCAGAUUUAUUGACAUGCAUGACACAUAGUAGCAUAACAUUUAAUAUGUUACGGUAUCUACAUAUGUUACUUUGGCCUGUGCCAAUGCAAGUCUCUUAGCGCGGUUUCAUAUGCAUUUUGCUUAUGUGGAACUGUAUUUAAUGAAGAUAGAUAGUGAGGUUGUAUCUUAGGCCUCUUCUAAUGCAAAGGUGCUUAGAUGAGGUGCUAAGUGCCUUAAAUAGCUUAACAACUCAACUCUCCAAUGCAUAGGUGCUUAGCUUGUUGUUGCUAAGGUCACUUUAUUUAAUGAUUUAGCACCUAAACUCUUUCAUGUAUUGGCCAACUUCUCUUAUUUAAGUUGUUUGCCUAGGUUCACGUGCUUAGCAUUGGUUCUUCAUGGGGUUACUAAAGUGCUCUCUUUCCUCCUUAAUUGUUGUGCCAUGUCAUGUUUUAGCUUAUGUGGCAUGCUUAGCACCUGUCCACGGUGGAGCACUCGGAAGGGCCUUAGCUAACAUACAACUUUGACACGUGACCAUAGGCAAAAAAGAUGUGCUAAUCCAAUCACAUGCAUGCAUGAGCCAGAAAUCAUUAAAUUUAGAUACAACACAUAAGAUACAAUGCAUUGUACUAGUUUUUUCUUAUGUUUUUAUUACGCAUAUGAUUGCGUGCUAAGAGAUGAUGCAUUGGCACAAGCCUAACCCUGUCUCUCAUCUUUAAUUGGCUGCCACAUCAGCAUGUUUGCUAGUCCCAAGUACAUGAUACCACCUAAGUUACUCCCACUAUGGCCAGCCUAAUCGAUUCGUUUGUGUGUAUAAACGGUGGCUAAACGGAAUUACAAUCAUUAAAUGAGUUUCAUGAAGUCCGAACAAGGAUAGAAGCGCAUAUCUAUGACACUUUAACAAGGUGAAUAUCGUCACAAAUACAUAUUGGUAUCGUGAAUAAUUGAUCCCCACUAACUCUAAUUAUCUCAACAUGCGCCCCCCAUAUCAUCAAAUAUGCCAUGUCAUCAUCCACAAAAACUACGUUGUAGCACAUGCAUACUUCAAUUUUGGUGUUCCAUUAAAGUGAUCUUGCUACAUGCAUAUAUACUUUUUAUUCACACACAAUUACUUUCCAAAAUAACAACUCUUGAUUUAGAUAAUUUCAUUCAUAAAAAAUAUACAAAAUUAUAAUUAAAAUUCCGCAGCAACUUGCGGGUAAAUCACCUAGUUUUAAUUAGAUUUAGUGUCAAGUUCUCUACAACUAGAUAUUAUAAAUUUCCAAGCCACGACAUAACCGUGGACACAACUUUCCGGAAGAUUUAAUCCUGCAAGGGUCCUCCAAGUAGUCCAUCAUAAAUUACCACACACAUUUGAUGGAAAACCUGUGAUAACACGAUGCCUACUAUAUGGAAUCCUGGUGGACAAGCCAGUAAUCAAGGGAAAACUAAAUAGCAAGACCGCGUGACGUGUCGACAAACCCGAUAGGAGCCGUGUAUAUCAUUCUCACAACACGGCCAGAUGUGACACUUUAUGAGUAAAACUGUACCCCGAGCUUCCUCGUGGUGGCCUUGGAGCCUGCCCGUUUUGGACCAGCACCAUCAGCACUGACCCCCUUGUAUUAUGCUAAAUAAAUCAACAAGGGAGCGACCCUGUAUGCAUUAGUAAAGGUGUUUAGUAUUAUUAUGUUGGCAAAUUUUAGUACCAAUAUUGGGCCUUGCUGGAAGAGUUUUAUCCUAAAAUGAAUGAUCAGGGGGUCCAUAAUACCACACAUAUGUUAGAAGCGAUCAUCAAGGAACAUAACACCGAUAUAACCAAAACUAGGGCGACAAGAGUGGAACAAAACACUAGGCAAAAAUCUAAGCAUUCCACCCUUUACCAAGUAUAUAGAUAUAGUGUGGUAUCCCAUGAAAUCCAUGUCCCAACAUGUAACAACCUUCACCUACAACUAGCAGCGUUGUAAGAAGCAUUGAGAAAGCGGUAAUAUAGCCAAACAAGGGUUCCCUAGGACAAGGAUGGUUGCAGGCUUAUCAUGACAUUUUGGGAGGCUUAACAAAGAAGGGGUAGGUAGGUGAUACAUAGCGAUAUUGACGAUACAACUAGCAUAGCAUUGAUAGUAGUGAUAUCCAAGUGAAUGAUCAUCUUGCAUGGAACCUCGCUUGGAAGAAGAUCAAAUUCAUGAAGUGGACGAACAUGCGUGGUUGAACGAAUCGUCACACUCUAAAACACUUUCCAAAAUCUAGCGAGGAGGAGAAAAUCUGGAAACAAAGAAAAGGACAUAGUAAACACCACACCCUAUUUAUGACAUGAUGCACAAUCAAAUAUGAUGUAUGUCCAUUCAAUUAUGCAUGACAUGUCGAAGCACAACCAACUACUAUACAUCAAGUGAAGUUCAAUAUGCAACGAGUUGCAUAUUGACGAAACUCCACAUUCUAAUUAGUUAGUUCACUCUUGUUUGUGUACCCAACAAGUUUAAAUGUUUUUUAUCAUGGCAAUAGGUGAAGCAUAACUAGACUAUCUAUGUAGGCAUUUUAAAUGAGACUGGAAACAACAUAUAUCAUUUCCGAAAUGACCCCAUAUGCAAAUUUUAAAUAUGGUACGGGUCUGUCGUAAACAUAAUUGUAUAUUUACUAAAUAGAAAAAUAAAAUCCAUAAUGUGAUUCUACACUUCAUUCUUGGCGAUUUACAUACAUAGAUCAUUUAAUUCGGAGCUAGGGCCUAAAAGAUAUGACCAACAUAAGAUUAGCAUGUCAUGAAUGCAAAAAGCAUGAAAAGAAUAACCACAACCAUUUUAAUCGUGGAUGCAACCUGAUAUUAUGAAACUAGAUAUAAUUCUAAGCAAAUUUCAUAUAUGAGAUGAUAAAAAUGGAGCCAUCGUUCAUAAGAUGCAAACAACACAUGCUUUAAAUAUAAUCUUCCAAAAACAAUGUGGUGCCUACUUAGGAGCAACAAAAUAUGAAGCUUACAUGGAUGAGAAUGACAUGCAGGUAAAGUAAUUCUACAAUUUCCAUCAAAGGUUCACGUUCAUAAGAGUAAAGGCUAAUUUAAUAUAAUUUAUGCAAAUUGCAACUUUCAGAUAAGUUUUAGGGACCUAGAGAAAAACAUAGCAUUUCUAUGAGUAGAGUUAAUAUGAUGGAAUGUUGGAGGCAAGAAACAAAUAUGCUAUAGGAAAAUAUGUGUCCUUAGAUGAGGAAACUGAACGAUAGAGAAUAUGAUAAGAAAACCUUGGAAGUCUACUCCCCGGGGCAAAUCCUAGUGACACAGGAGGCACCAAGAAUAGAAAUCCGUCACAGCAACAUCAUAAAGAUUCCAAAAUACCCACAUGAUCCUAAUAUUUUUUAUUUGAGUGAGAAGAGGGUAGAAUCAAAACACCUACUUCAUGAUUCCACACCAGAGUGACAAUGGGGAUGAGAAGUAAAAAAUAAUUCCUACUCUUUGAUAUAUAACUAGACUCAAAAUAGUUUUUUUUCUUCUAGACUCAACAAUGAGCAAGUUCGAUCAAGAAAGGGGGCUCCUACACCGUGAUACGUCUCCAACGUAUCUAUAAUUUUUGAUUGUUCCAUGGUAUCAUAUUAUCAAUCUUGGAUGUUUUAUAAGCAUUUAUAUGUUGUUUUAUAUCAUUUUUGAGCACUAACCUAUUAACCGAGUACCAAGCGCCAGUUGUUAUUUUGUGCAUGUAUUUGGCUUUCCAGGAAACCAGUAAAACGCAGUCCAAACACAAUGAUUUUUUUAAUGAUUUUUUUGAACAAAAAUGAGACCUGUAAGCUUUGGUAGAAGACCGGAGGGCACACAAUUUGACCCCAAGCAAACAUGGCACGUCCAUGGGGGUGGUCACGCCAUGAUGGCUUGGGGCCACCUCCCAGCUCCUCCAGUCCUAUCUCCACCCCUAUAAAUUCUAUUUCUUGGGAAAACACCAAAGAGCCACCCAAAACAGUUUUUGUGCCGUCGCAAGUCUCUAUUCCAUUGGGAUCCCAUUUGGAGCCCUGUUCCCGUGCCUAGUUAAUACUUGUAAUAUGCGUUGGGUUUUCCAUGAGGAGGAACGAGUUAUCACAGCACAAUGUGGGUAAGUAUUUCCCUGAGUUAUGAAGCUAAGGUUUAUCGAACCAAUAGGAAUAUCAAGCACAACCGUCAGCGGAUGCACACAAAAGAACAAAAUACUUGCACCCAAUACGGGUAAGAGGGUUGUCGAUUCUCUUGUCUUGUUAUUUGCAAGCAAAUGAGGUGUGUAGACGAUUGUAGAUAGGAAGAUAAAAUUAAAAUAAGUAAAUGGUAGCAGGGUAAUGAAGGUUUUAUCAAUAUGUUGUGAAUAGACCCCGGGGCCAUAGCUUUCCCUAAUGGCAUUUGUCAUAAAAAAUAGCAUACGAUGGGUAAACAAUUACUGUUGGGAAAUUGACAGAAAAGUGGAUAGUUAUGCGAUACACGACAAUGAUCAUGUGUAUAUAGGCAUCACGUCCAUAAAAAUGGACCUACUCCUGCCUGCACCUAUUACUAUUACUCCAUUCAUCGACCGCUAUCCAACAUGCAUUUAGAGUAUUAAGUAAAACAGAGUAAUGCAUGGAGAACAAUGAAUGAUGUAGACAAAGUAAACUCAAGCAAUAUGAAUAAACUCCAUUGUUUUAUCCUUAGUAGCAGCAACACAAAGACACAUCUUGUCCCCUUCUAUCACUGGGAUAUAGAAAUUCACGAGGUUGAACCUACCACACCGCACCUCUCUCACUGAAGAAAUAUCGAUGUAGUUGGCCAAAUUAUAUCAAUAGAUCGGAGAGAAUUACAAAGCUAUGGUAAUUAUGUGUAAAAAGUGUUUCGGGACUCUCUUUAGUGAUUCUUAUAUGCAUGAUUAUGAUAGCUUCAUAUUUCUCUCUGACCUGUAGGCUUGGUUUGGCCAACUAGAUUGAUUUAUCUUUAGCAGGAGUGGUGCGUUUUAACGGGAUAAAUCUUGCGGUGCUCAAUCCGAGUAACAGAAAGGAACAUGGCACGUAUUUGUAUUGAUUGUGGUUUAAGUAAUAGUGAUAGAUAGUUUUGUAGCAAGUAACAAGUAAAAAAAGUAGCAAGGCUGCAAAAGGUGGCCCAAUCCUUUUUGUAGCAAAGGACAAGCUUGGAAGUUCUGUUAUAUAAAGGAAAACUCUCUCAAGGACACGUGGGAAUUUUCAUCUAGUCAUGUUCAUCAUGUUGAGUUGAUUCACGUUCAUUACUUUGAUAAUUUGAUAUGUGGGUGGACUGGUGCUAAGGUGUUGUUAUUACUUGAACAAGCAACCCACUUAUGAUUACCCCCUCUCGCAUCCACAACUACGAAAGAAGAAUUAAGAUAAAUCUAACCAUAACAUGAAAUAUGUGGAUCCAAACCAACCCCUUUGGAAAUAACGCAUAAAUUAGGGUUUAAGCUUCUGUCACUCUAGCAACCGAUCAUCUACUUAUUACUGGACAAUGCCCUCCCUUAGGCCCAGGCAUGGUGAAAUGUCAUUGUCACACCCUUUGUUUGUAUCACUUUUGCCACAUGUUGUUUUUAUAAAAAUUUGAAAUCAAGUAAAACGGGGGGGGGGGGAACUUUUUGCAUGUUUGUGAUGAUUGAUUUUUGUUGCAAAUUGCUUGUGUGACUGAUUGAGCUUUUGAAUCACUAUAGUGGUUCUCCUCUCUAAAACCUACCUACUUGACCCCAAGCCCUUGCCCAAUGAUCAUGCCAUGUGAAUAGGACGAGAAAACCAUCUUUAUAAAUUACUAUUUUAAGAAAAGUCUUAUAAUCAUUUUAAAUUCUCCAAAACACCUGAUUUGAGAUUUGUUGUGCAAGUCCCUAAAUUAGGAGGGAUGCUUUACACCAACGAUUUUAUUUGAAUCCUAUUAUUCAAAAGACUUCCCAAAACUAGAAAAUAAUUAUUUUCAAAGCCAUUUUCCUAUUUAUUCAAAUACUUUUUUCUGAGGCCAAAAAUGGUAUUUCAUAGGAAAAAAUUAUUUUCCUGCGUCAUAAAUAUUUGAGAAAAUUUAUGGAAAUUUAGUGGACAUAUAUUUUCCACACAUAAGAGUUUCAACACAUGGUCAUGUUGAAAAUAUUGGACAAAGCCCUUCAAAACCCGUUGUGCCUACUUCAAGCUUUUGAAAUAUGUCCAAAGGAAAUAUUCUCAAUAAAUUCCAGGAAAAUUCUAGCAAGUCCCGCAUGACAAAUGUGGUGAUCCUGCAAAGUUUCAUCUCAAUCAAAUUUGAUUUGAUCCAUUUAUUAAUCCCAAAACCGUUCGUGUCCAAAACCAAAUUUGAGCAGCUGUACAUUGCCAAGUUUACCCAAUUGUUCUCAAACUUUACACGAGUGAUCCAUCCCCUAAAUAAGCAUGCGACACCAAGUUGUGCAUUUGUGGGAGUUCAUUUGAUCACCUUGGUCCACAGAAAUCUGAUUAUGUCCAUUUCUAGGGGGCUUCAUGUCUACAUUGCCAACUUUGCUCAAUUUAACACAAACUUGGUGAAUCCUAUCGAUUUUGCUCAUAAUAUAAUUUUGUUAAUUAUCACUGCAAGGGGUGAGGUUUAUCUUUCUCAAACCAGCAUCAAGCACCUUCUCGUGACUUGGUAAAACUGCUACUUUCACCCCUUACACAAUUCUCCUUCACUCCAAAUUUUUACCACAAGUCCACAUAGUCACUCUUCACAUGUAGUAACAAGAUCCAACUCCCAUUCAACCGUGGAGUUAGACCAAAACCCCAAUUACCCCACUGGUCUACCAUGGGAGAAGAUUUUUACCUCUCUCCCUUUGACCAUAGCCUUCCCCCUCGGCUCCAAGGCAUCCAAGGAGCAUCCCCACAUAACCCAGACGAUAGAGGACAAGGUGGGAUGCGCUAGAGCAUGCCAGCAUGCCGUGGCAUGCCAAAAAUGCGCUCUUGCCACGCUAUAGUGCACACCCGCACGUUGGGAGGCCAGCUGCUACGGCAACAAAAGAACUUCCCCAGGCAACGGCGCUAGGAAUCGUUCUGCUGCUGGCUACGCCUACAGGGACUUCCUUGGAAAAUAUGCAAAGGAUUCCCCCGUGGCCUUGGAGACUUGCGUUGGUGUUCCCUUGAAGAGGAAAGGGUGAUGUAGCACUGCGGCAGUAAGUCUUUACCUUAGUUUGAGAACCAAGGUAUCGAUCCAGUAGGAGGAUCGCGUCAAGUCACAAGUACCUGCACAAACACAAAGAGCUUGCACCCAACGCUAUGAAGGGGUUGUCAAUCCCUUAUAGACUGUUUGCAGAGUGAGAACUGAAAGCAAUAAGUAAACAAAGCAAAGUAAAAGUAAAAGUGGAGAUGAUAGUUGUGAAUAGACCCGGGGGCCGUAGUGUUCACUAGUGGCUUCUCUCAUGAAAACAAGUAGACGGAGGGUGAAUGAAUUACUGUCGAGCAAUUGAUAGAACCGCGCAAAGUCGUGACGUUAUCUAUGGCAAUGAUCAUCAUAUAGGCAUCACGUCCAAAACAAGUAGACCGAUACUUUCUGCAUCUACUACUAUUACUCCACACGUCGACCGCUAUCCAGCAUGCAUCUAGUGUAUUGAGUUCAUAAGAACAGAGUAACACCUUAAGCAAGAUGACAUGCUGUAGAUGGACAAUCUCAAAUCUAUGAUGAAAGCCCAUCUUGUUACCCUUGAUAGCAAGAACAUGAUGCGUGCCUUGCUGCCCUUUCUGUCACUCGGAAAGGUCACCGCACGGUAUGAACCCAAAACCAAGCACUUCUCCCAUUGCAAGAAUCAUAGAUCUAGUUGGCCAAACAAAACCCAAGACUCGGAGAGACUUACAAGGAUAUCAAAUCAUGCAUAUAAGAAAUCAGCAAAGGAUCAAAUAUAAUUCAUAGAUAAUCAGAUCACAAAUCCACAAUUCAUCGGAUCUUAACAAACACACCGCCAAACAGGAUUACAUCGGAUAGAUCUCCUUGAAGAUCAUGAAGAACUUUGUAUUGAAGAUCCAAGAGAGAGAAGAAGCCAUCUAGCUACUAACUACGGACCUGUAGGUCUAAAGUAGACUACUCACGAGUCAUUGGAGGGGCGAUGAUGUUGAUGUAGAAGCCCUCCAGCUCCAAAGUCCACUCCGGCAGGGCACCGGGAAGGGUCUCCAGAUGAGAUCUCGCGGAAACGGAAGCUUGCGGUGGCGCAAAAGUGGUUUCGUGGAUGCCCUGAUUUUUCUGGGAUUUUAGGGAAUAUAUAGGCCAAAGAGCUAGGGCAGGGGAGCGCCAGGGAGGACACAAGCCUGGUCGCCCCGCCCCCCACCCCCUGGCCGCGGCGUCAGGGCUUGUGGGCUCCCUGUGGGCCUCCUGCCUUGGCCCUCAAGUCCCCCGAUCUUCUUCUGUUCUGGAAAAAUUCAUUUCGGGGAUUUUAUUCCGUUUGGACUCCAAAAUCAGAUCUGAAAAGAGUCAAAAACACAGAAAAAACAGGAACUGGCACUUGGCACUGAAUUAAUAAGUUAGUCCCAAAAAAGAUAAAAAAGGUAUAUAAAACAUCCAAAGUUGACAAGAUAACAGCAUGAAACCAUCAAAAAUUAUAGAUACGUUUGAGAAGUAUCAAGCAUCCCCAAGCUUAACUCCUGCUCGUCCUCGAGUAGGGAAGUGAUAAAGAAUGAAUUUUUUAUGCUUUCAUGCUACCUAGCAUAGAUGUCCUUUGUAACUCCUCUUAUGUGACGUGAAUGUUCAGAUCCAUUAGAUUCAAAACAAUAGUUUGCUAUUGACGUGGAGACAAUAAUACUUCAAGCAAACUAGCAAGGUAAUCAUGAACUUUCAAAAUAACAAGGCCAAAAGAAAGAUAUCCCUACAAAAUCAUAUAGUCUGGCUAUGCUCUAUCAUCCUUGCACAACGAAUUUAAGUCAUGCACAACCUCGGUAUUGGCCAAGUAAUUGUUUUCACACCUUUACUUUCUCAAACUUUUUCAACUCUCACGCAAUACAUGAGAGUGAGCCUAGGUUUUAGCACUGUAAGUGGAAUGGAGUGUGGUGGAGGUUGCCACGCAAACAAGGAGAAGAUGGUCACAUUGACUAGGCAUAUCAAUGAGCUAUGGAGAUGCUCAUCAAUAGAUAUCAAUGUGAAUGAGUAGGGAUUGCCAUGCAAAUGAUGCACUAGAGCUAAGAUUAUGUGAAAGCUCUUAAAGAAAACUAGUGGGUGUGCAUCCAACUUGCUUGCUCACGAAGACCUAAGGAAAUUUUGAGGAAGCCUAUCAUUGGAAUAUACAAGCCAAGUUAUAUAAUGAAAAUUUCCCACUGGCUAUAUGGUGGUGAGAAGACGAGAGGCUCUCAAUCAUGAAGAUCAUGGUGCUUAAUAUGCACAAGUGUGGAAAGAAAGUAGCAUUGUCCCUUCUCUCUUUUUCUCUCAUUUUUUUGGUGGGAUCUUUGGUCUCUUUUUUUAUAUAUUUUUUUUUAUUUUGCUGGGCAUCUUUGGCCUCUUUUUGUAAAUGGGCUUCGCUGGCCUCUUUUAUUUCCUCACAUGGGACAAUGCUCCAUCAAUGAUGAUAAUCAGACUUACAACUCAAAACUUAGAGAAAUGAUGACUCUAUAUGAAAUGCCUUCGGUAGUGUACCGUGACAAUGAUCUAGCAUGGCAUAGACAUCAAUGGAAACAUCAUGCUAGCUAUAUGGUGGUGACAAGACGAGAGACUCUCAAUCAUGAAGAUCAUGGUGCUUAAUAUGCACAAGUGUGGAAAGAAAGUAGCAUUGUCCCUUCUCUCUUUUUCUCUCAUUUUUUUGGUGGGAUCUUUGGUCUCUUUUUUUAUAUAUUUUUUUUUAUUUUGCUGGGCAUCUUUGGCCUCUUUUUGUAAAUGGGCUUCGCUGGCCUCUUUUAUUUCCUCACAUGGGACAAUGCUCCAUCAAGGAUGAUCAUCACACUUACAACUCAAAACUUAUAGCAAUGAUGACUCUAUAUGAAAUGCAUUCGGUAGUGUACCGUGACAAUGAUCUAACAUGGCAUAGACAUCAAUGGAAACAUCAUGAUAGCUAUCUUAUUGUAUGAGGAACUUGAGAGGUUCGGUUUGGAGCUAGUCGCAUCGGGAUUUCUGGCCAACCUCGAACGAAAGCCUACAUUAAUGGAAGAUAUCAAGGAAGCUGAGAAGGGACACGAGAGCAUCGAAGGCAUCAAGAAGAAAAUCAAGGAUGGCAAGGCCCGAGGAUUCUCUAGUGUUGUAUGUUUUGGGGACCGCAUCUUUGUGCCCGACAAAGCCGAGCUAAGGAACCUGAUCUUGCAAUAAGCCCAUGACACUCCAUAUUCCAUCCACCCUGGGGGAACCAAAAUGUAAUUAGACCUCAAGGCAAGGUUCUGGUGGCAUGGAAUGAAGAGGGAUAUAGCCUCCUAUGUUGCCAAAUGCGAUGUAUACCAGAGGGUCAAGGCUGAGCAUCAGCGGCCUGCUGGACUGCUGCAACCCCUCCAAGUGCUUGAAUGGAAGUGGGACAAAGUCGGGAUGGACUUCAUCAUUGGACUUCCCAUGUCAGGCAGAGGACAUGAUUCCAUUUGGGUCAUUGUCGGCCAUCUGACCAAGGUAGCCCACUUCAUUUCCAUCAGUACCACCUAUGGUGGGAGUGAGAUAGCCAACCUCUACAUCAAUCACAUUGUGAGCCUUCAUGGAGUUCCUAAGGAUAUCAUGUCAGAUCAUGGCACCCAGUUCACCUCGAGAUUCUGGAAGAAGUUUCACGAAGCCAUUUGAACCAAGCUAUCCUUGAGCACCGCUUUUCAUCCUCAGACCGGCGGGGAGACGGAAUGAGUAAACAUAUACUCGAGGACAUGCUCCAUGCCUGUGUCUUGGCAUGUGGAGCCAAGUGGGAAGAUUUUGCCGUUUGCUAGGUUCUCCUACAACAACAACUAUCAGUCCAGCCUCGAGAUGGCACCAUUUGAGGUGUUGUAUGGUCGCAAGUGGCGCAUCCGCUCAACUCAUCAGAAACCAGAGAAGGGAUGGUCUCGAACAAGAUGUCAUCCGUCAAGCAGAACAACAAGUUAAACUCGUCAUGGAAUUCCUAGAGGUCGUCCAAUCAAGACAGAAGAGCUAUCCCGAUUCCCAUCGCCGAGACAUGCAUUUUCAUGUUGGGGACUACAUCUAUCUCCGAGUCACGCCUCUCAAGGUAACAAAGCGCUUCCACGUCAAGGGGAAACUAGCACCAAGGUACAUUGGCCCUUUCAAGGUCACCGCAAGACGGGGAGAAGUAGCCUACCAGCUGGAGCUACCACCCGAACUUUCAAAUGUGCACAAUGUUUUCCACAUGUCGAAACUUUGGAGGUUCCUCCAAGUACCCAACCAGCCUAAGCUCUACAAGGGUAUCAAUCACCGAGCCAUCGAUCUUCAGCCAGACCUCACUUAUCAUGAGAGACAGAUCCGCAUCCUGGACGAAGCCGAGCAUUGCACCAGUAGCCGCACCAUCAAGUACUUCAAGGUCUAGUGGAGGAACCACACUAAAGCUGAAGCAACAUGGGAGCGUGAAGACUACCUCAGAUCCGAGUUUCCUUGUCUUUUUAGUGCCUAGCCUAAGAAUCUCGGCAACGAGAUUCCUGUAAGGGUGAUAGGUCUGUCACACCGUGUGUUUGUACCACUUUUGACACAUGUUGUUUUAAUGAAAAUUUGGAACCAAUUAAAACUUCUUGCAUGUUUGUGAUGAUUGAUUUUUGUUGCAACUUGCAUGUGUGAGUGAUUGAGUUUUUGAAUCACUAUAGUUGUUCUCCUCUUUAAAACCUACCUGCUUGACCCCAAGCCCUUGCCCAAUGCUCAUGCCAUGUGAAUAUAUACGACUAGAAAACCAUUUUAAUAAAUUACUAUUUUAACAAAAGGCUUUUGAUCAUUUUAAAUUCUCCAAAACCCCGGAUUUGAGAUUUGCACUUCAAGUCCCAAAAUUAGGAGGGAUGUUUUACACCAAAGAUUUUAUUUGUAUCCUAUUACUCAAAAGACUUCCCAAAACCACAAAAUAAUUAUUACAAAGUUAUUUUCCUAUUUUAUUUAUAUACCUUUGUUUGAGUCCAAAAAUGGUAUUUCAGAGGGGAAAAUAUUUUUCUGCUUCAUAAAUAUUUUAGAAAAUUUUGGGAAACUCAAUGGACAUAUAUUUUCCAUACAUAAGAGUUUAAACACAUGGUCAUGUUCAAAAUAUUGGACAAAGCCCCUCAAAACCCUUACUGCCUCUUUCAAGCUUUUGAAAUAUUUCCAAUGGAAAUAUUCUCAAUAAGUUCAAGCAAAAUUCUAGCAAGUCACACAUGAUUAAUGUGGUGAUCCUGCAAAGUUUCAUCUCAAUCGAAGUUGAUUAGGUCCAUCUUUUAAUCCCAAAACCCUUCGUGUCCACAACCAAAUUUGGGCAACUCUAUACUGCCAAGAUUACCCAAUUGAUCUCAAGCUUUACAGGAGUGAUGCAGCUACCAAAUAAGAAUGCCACACCAAGUUGUGCAUUUGUGGGAGUUGAUUUGAUCACCUUGGUCCACGAAAAUCUGAUUUUGUCCAUUUCUAAGGUUUUUCAUGUGUACAUUGUCAAGUUUGCUCAAAUUAGCUCAAACUUGGUAAAUCCUAUUGAUUUUUAUCAUAAUCUAAUCAUGUGAAGUAUCACCAUAAGGGGUAAGGUUUAUCUUUCUCAAACCAGCAUCAAACACCUUCUGGUGAUUUGGUAAAACUGCUUUCACCCCUUACACUAUUCUUCUUCACUCCAAAUUUUUACCACAGGUCCAAAGAGUCAAUCUUCACAUGCAGUAGCAAGAUCCAGCUCUCGUUCAACCGUGGAGUUAGAUCAAAACUCCAACUACCCCUUUGGUCCACCUUGGCAGAAGCUUUUUACCUCUCUCCCUUUCACCACUGUCUUCCCCCUCGGCUCCAAGGCAUCCCAGGGGCAUCCCCACAUACCACAGACGGUAGAGAACAAAGUGGGACGCGCCAGAGCACGCUAGCUUGUCGUGGCAUGCUAAAACUGCGCUCUGGCCGCACUACAGUGUGCACUUGCACGUUGGGAGGCCGGCCCCAACCACCUUUGGACCCCUCCGGCUUUCCCCCGCGCCCCCUCGACAGUAAGAGUCCUGCGCCAUGUCGUGUCCCUCCUUUCUCCCCUUCUUCCCCCUGCGGCGCGUGCCCUCGGUGGCCGAUUUGGUGAGAUGUCGCCCACCACCGUGGCAUGGCAGGAGCCAGCUCUGGCUCCUCCUCGACCUUGUUCCAACCCCGGACCGCGUCCACGAAGACCACACACGUGCUCCAAAGCCCUCUCUCUUCCCUUGGACGUCGACAUAGUCUCGUAAGCACAUGAACAUUCGGUGAACCGUGAUACCUCUAUAUAAAACCACCCCGAGCCUUCCUCUGCCCCUCCGUCCUCCUGCUGCACCUAAUCGCAGCCCUGAGCCACCCAUUCAACACCAGGAGCCCCCGAGCUCGAGAUAGAGCUCCACAUCUGCUGCAUUGGGAUUCCGACAAUCCCUGGGUACAAGGACGCUCUGACUGUCAUUUAUUUUCCAACGAGACCACAAUAGGUUCUUGAUGCUUUCACAUCUCUCCCCUAUUCUUUUGCUACAGGGUUCGGUCCUGAUGAUCACCCUCCCGAAGCACCUGUGCCGUGGGACUUCGUCGCCGGCGGCUCCCUGAACCCCCGCUCCUCCCUCCUGCACCAGUUGAAUGAUGGCUCGUCCCUGGACCCAUUUCCAUCCCUAGGCGCACUCGUUGUGCCCUUUUGUCAUUGCCGGUGAGCUCGCCGCAGUCUCUGUCCCGAGGUUGAACAUGAUAGGUGGGGGCUACGUGUCAUCCUCACCUCUCCCCCGCCUCCCCUCUCUCCCAUUGUGGCUAGGCCCCGCGUGUCGGGUUUAAACCCUGGAGGGUGCGCGCGCGUGGUCCGCUUGGGCUAGUUCGCUGGCUCGGCCGAUUCGGCGAGCAGCUCCUCGCCUAGGAGCUCUGUAUCCUUUUCUUUUUUCGUUCUAAAUUCUAUUUUGUGAAAAAUCCACAAGAUUAAAUAAUUGUGCAAAUUCAAAUAUUCAACGACCACAAAUCUUAUGAUAUUAUGUAGUAUUUUAGGGUGCCAAUUGUGCAAUUUUUUACAAAGGUUACAUGAAUUGUAUUAUUUUAAAACCUUUUUUAGGCAUUUUAGCACUUUGUUAAAAUAGUUUAUGCAACUUUUUGCAGCCCAAAAAUAAAACCCAAUAAUGUUUAGAUAACGUAUACUCAUCCUAGUAUUUUACAAAAAUGGUGUGACAUUUUUUUGAGUAGAAUAUGUUCCCUCUUUAGGUUGAGUGCUUAUUUUUGCCCGUUUAUAUUGCGGUGAUAGAUUGCGUUGCUCACGAGGGGCUUGGACCAGAAGACCUCGAAGACCCCAGAGACCUAUUUGAGCAAGGCAAGCAGCCCUUUGUCCAUGUCUAAGAAACUACUUUCAUGCAUGUCAAAUAACACUUCGUUCCGAUGCAUUGAGCUAUGUUGAAACGGUGACCACCUUGGUGGGUUGUUUCCGGAAACACCUCGUUGAUACUUGCACUUGGGCAUGACCCUACCUUCCUAUGAGGGUUGUGCGCGUGGUAAGUAGUUAGGUUGCUGGAGGUGCUACACAUGGGGUUGGGUACAUGCGUGGAGACGAAAAAAGGAUGUUAUUUCAAAUGUUUUAUAAAAAACCCAUCGGGUGCCACUAAUGCCCGAGGGUGGUGUGUUGAGCUAGGUAACCACUUGAUGAGGGACUGGUAUACCGAGGCCAGCUGUGUGAGUCGUUUCUAAAAACCGGAUUAGAUUUAAGAAUUGUCGACCAUUCCAACCUUACACGUACUACCACAAUACCCCUUAUGGGACGGGGCUUUGCUGAUUACUAUGGUCGGUGCUAGUAGAGAUCCUGCAUUACUAGUGGCGGGAGUGACCUGGUCACUCUCGAGAUGGGGCCGUGCUAGGAAAAAGGGCGACCAUGGGCUGUUUUUACAAACACCGGGCACACCGUUGCAUGCCCUCGUGGAUGAUACAUGUGAUGUACAUGACGAGGGACUGUCACCACCGAGUGGACUCUUUGCUAGUAUCGUCAUGGGAAAGGUGAUGUUCGGGUACUAACCUCGGGUAUGAUAAAUACCACGAGUCGUGUUGUGAUACGGAAGUUUCCCGAGUCUUGUGGGUAAAGUGUGCAACCUCUGCAGAGUGUAAAUCUAUUCGAAUAGUCGUGUCCACAGUCAAGGACAGUUGGGUGGUGCUUGUUAAACUAUGUCCAGGAGUUUUUCCUUAAACCAAGUGUGUGUGGGGGGGGGGGAUGGUGGUAGAACGAAUGAUGAGCUAAGUCAGAUGACCUUAUGAUGUAGGUCGCACGAGAAGUUGACCAACCCUCAGUUGGCAUUGUAACAUGUUCACUUGGUUACCGUUUACCUUAUGACGCAUGUCGCACGAUAAGUUGAUCUUGUUAUUGCACUAGGGAAGAAUCUGCUUUCCACAAUACAACAUGCGAGUGUUAGAUCGUACUUCAUUAUUGCCUUGUUCCAUAUCAUGGGUUUCUUGCGAGUACAUUCAAAGUACUCAUUGGCUUGCCAAUGUUUAUAUAAUUGGCCAUGCAUGGAAGAACAUGAGUUUGGAGAAGAGUUCGUCGGUGACGAACAUGCGAACUAAGACGCUUCCAAGUCAGAAUGCGUGUAGGUUAAGGUUGAUGGCAUGGGUUCACGCUAUCAAUCAAGAUGUCCGCCGUUAGUUGUGUUUAGUGUGUCGGCCUUCGAGGCCCUAUCUAUGUAGGACUCGGCAUUAAUUGUCCCUAUUUGUAUCAGAUGAUAUGUAUGGAUGUAAGACUCUUGUUAUUCAGUUUCUAUGUGUUUGAUAACCAACAAGAAUAGGGGAUCACAAAAGUUUUCGAGGGUAGAGUAUUUAACACAAAUUUGUUGAUUUUACACAAGCGGAAGCCAAACAAUAUUCUCGAGUAUUAGCAGUUGAGUUGUCAAUUCAACCACACCUGAAAGACUUAGUAUCUGCAGCAAAGUAUCAGUGGAAAAGUGGUGUGAUAACAAGCGUAGCAACGAUAACAGUAGCAAUAGUGACAGCAGUAGCAGUAACAGUAGCAGCAGUGACAACAGUAACAGUAACGGUAGCAGCAGUGACAGCAGUAGCAACAAAGUAACGUAGCAAGGACCAAUAGGAAAAACUCGUAUGCAUUGGAUCGGUGAUGGAUAAUUAUGCCGGAUGACAUUCAUCAUGCAACAGUUAUAACAUGGCGAGAUAUGUAACUAGCUCUAGUUUGUCAAUGUAAUGUAGGCAUGCAUUCUGUAUAUAGUCAUACAUGCUUAUGAAAAGAACUUGCAUGACAUCUAUUGUCCAUCCCUCCCGUGGCAGCGGGGUCCUAAUGGAAACUACGAGAUAUUAACGUUCUCCUUUUAAUAGAGAACCGGAACAAAGCAUUAGCACUUAGUGAAUAGAUAACCUCCUCAUACUAUGGUCAUCUCCGGGAGUGGUUACGGCUAUUGUCACUCUGGGGUUGCCGGGUCAUAACACAUAGUAGGUGACUACAACUUGAAAGAUAGGAUCAAGAACACACAUAUAUUGACGAGAACAUAAUAGGUUCAGAUCUGAAAUCAUGGUACUCGGGCCCUAGUGACAAGCAUUAAGCAUAGCAAAGUAGUAGCAACAUCAAUCUCAGAACAUAGUGGAUACUAGGGAUCAAUCCCAUCAAAACUAACUCGAUAACAUGAUAGAUCUCAUCCAACCCAACACCGUCCAGCAAGCCUAUGAUGAAAUUACUCACGAACGAUGAAGAGCAUCAUGGAAUUGGCGAUGAAGGAAGGUUGGUGAUGACGAUGGCGACGAUCUCCCCUCUCGAGAGCCCAGAACGGACUCCAACUCUGCCCUCCAGAGGAAGAACAGGUGGUGGCGGCGCCUCCAUAUCGUAAAACGCGAUGAACUCUUCUCCUUGAUUUUUUUCGGACGAAAGGGACUAAAUAGAGCUGGAGUUGGAGGCGGCGGAGCCCCGAGGGCCCCACAAGCCUGCUAGGCGCGGCCAGGGGGGCCCGCGCCUCCUAGGCUUGUGGGCUCCUCGCUCCACGCCUCAGGUUGAUUCUUGCGCUAGUAUUUUUUAUAUACUCCACAAAAAAUCCUCGUAAAUUUCCAGGUCAUUCCGAGAACUUGUAUUUCUGCGCAAAAACAACACCAUGGCAAUUCUGCUGAAAACAGCGUUAGUCUGGGUUAGUUCCAUUCAAAUCAUGCAAAUUAGAGUCCAAAACAAGGGAAAAGAGUUUGGAAAAGUAGAUACGAUGGAGACGUAUCAACUCCCCCAUGCUUAAAGCCUUGCUUGUCCUCAAGCUAUUCAGUUGACAAACUGAAAGAGACAAUAGAAAAACUUUUACGAAGUAUGUUUGAUCUUGUUGUUGCAAUUAUGUCUAACUCAUAUUCAGAUUUUCAGCAGAUCAUAAGCUAACCACAUAAGCAAUGACAUUUAGGUCUCAAGAGGAACUCAUAUCAAUGGCAUAAUCAAAUAGCGAGCAAGAAUAAUAAGUUUCAGACGUCAACACUUCAAUCAAAACAAUCAUGUAGCAAUAUGAACAGAUGGUAUCUCGCUAGCUCUUUCUGAGACUGCAAAACAUAAAUGGAGAGCACCUUCAAAGACCAAGGGCUAACUGAACAUUGUAAUCAUGGCAAAGAAGAUCGAGUCACUGUCAUACUCAAUAACAAGUAAAAGCAAAGCAUGUAAAUGACACACACGCUCUCUAAUUGGUGCUUUUAUAAGAAGAGGAUGACUCAACAGAAACAUAAAUAGAUAGGCCUUUCGCAGAGGGAAGCAUUGAUUUGCAGAGGUGCCAGAGCUCAAGCUUUUAAAAUAGAGAUAAAUAAUUUUGGAUGGCAUGAUUUCAUUGUCAACGCAAUGACCAAGAGUUUUCACCAUCUUCCAUGCUACACAUACUAAAGGCGGUUCCCAAACAAAAAAUUAAAGUUUUGACUCCCCCACCAUCGAUCAAUCACACUCCACGAGUAGCCGAAUACUCGGGUGCCGUCCAUACCAACAUCAACCUAGGGGGAGUUUUGUUUGCAAUUAUCUUUUCGAUUUGAGCAUGGAACUGGGCAUUCCAAUUACCGGCCCCUUUCUCGUGAGUGAUCGUGAAUAAACACAUAUCGAUGAUAACACGCCUAGCAUGGAAGAUACUGAUCGCCCCUUGUCAGCACAUGAGCGGUUCGGGCAUGCAAAACAGAUUAUUACUUGAAGGUUUAGAGAGUGGCACAUGCAAAUUUACUUGGAACGGCAGGUAGAUACCGCACAUAGGUAGGUAUGGUGGACUCAUAUGGAACAACUUUGGGUUUAUGGAAGUGGAUGCACAAGCAGUAUUCCCGCUUAGUAAAAGUGAAGGCUAGCAAAAGACUGGGAACCGACCAACUAGAGAGCGACAACAGUCAUCAAAAUGCAUUGAGAUUAACCAACAUUGAGUGCAAGCAUGAGUAGGACAUAAAUCACCAUAAACAUGAAUAUCAUAGAGGCUAUGUUGAUUUUGUUUCAACUACAUGCGUAAAUUUGCGCCAAGUCAAGCCACUUGAAUCAUUCAAAGGAGGAUACCAUCCUAUCAUACUACAUCAUAAUCAUCUCAAAAUUCAUGUUGGCAUCCAAGACAACCCAUUAUAAGAUCCUAGCUAAUUAAGCAUGGCAUCAGAAACUACGAUCUCUAAGUUGUCAUUGCAAACAUGUUUCUCUCACAACAAAGCUGAAUUACGAAUGAUGAGCUAGUCAUAUUUACAAAAACAAAAUAGAUCGAGUUCAUACCAGCUUUUCCAGGCUCAGUCACUUCAUCAUAUAUCGUCAUUAGUGCCUUUCACUUGCAUGACCGAAUGAUGUAAACAAUAAUAAGAGUGUUCGUGCAUUGGACUAAGCUGGAAUCUGCAAGCAAACACAAAGGAGAAGACAAAGUAAUAUGGCUCUUUGACAGAUAAACAGAUAUGCAUGCGAGAGCCACUAAACAUUGUAACCAUGGUCUUCUACCUUGACGCAAAGAAAAAGAAAACUAUUUACACGGGAAAGCUCCCAACAAGCAGAAGAAGAACGAGAAAUCUUUUUGGGUUUUCUCAAACUAAACACACGAGAAGAAAGCGAUAAAAGAAAUAAUCUAGCAUGGAUGAUAUAGUGGCAAGGUGUGAACACCGACUAACAAAGUGAAAGCGUAAGCAAGAAUAUAAAGUCGGUGAGAAACACGUACUCCCCCAAGCUUAGGAUUUUGGCCUAAGUUGGUCUACUCCCAUGGAGGGAAAUAACCGUCCCCGGGGUACUCCGGAGUGUACUGAGGGGGCCACUGCUGUGUGAGCUCCUCUGGCUCCCACUGAUAAACUGGCGUCUGGUACUCGACUGGUAGCUCGGGCACGGGCGUCUCUGGUGGUGCUAUGCCCCAAUAUGCGUAGAUGUCCGAGGGCAUAAUAAUGUACCUGCCUAGAUGAAGAUUGAACAAAGAAGGAGCAGGCAAAGUAAAUCAUCCUCUUAUUUAUAUCUUUAUCAAGAAAGUCAUGGUGAACCAUGCUAUCAUAAUCUAGAUAUCUCUGAGGAAGAAGAAUCUCUUCUUCCUCGUGCAGUCUAAUAGGUAUCUCAAAAUGUCUACCAAGACGGGUAGCAUAGAUACCUCCAUAAACAACGCCUUUAGAACGACUCGUGUUCAACCGUUGAGCUACUACAGCUCCAAAGCUAGAAGUUUUAUCAUUAUAAAGGGCUUCGCGCAAAACCGCAAGAUCUGGGGAGCUAAGGGCCCCAGCUUUCCCACGGCCAAUCAAACAUUUUCCCACGAAUAAUGAGAAGUACCGAAGCACGGGAAAAUGUAUGCUAGCAGCUCUAGCACAAGACACUCCUCUCUCCUCUCCUACAACAAUAGCAUCUAUGAAAGCCUCCAAGUCCCGUAGACGAGGUUCAGGAAUAUCCCCAACAUAAGGUAAUUUGCAAACAUUGCAAAAAUCCUGAAGUGACAUGCGCUGGGGGAUAUCAUAUAACUUGAAUUCAACCAUAGGAGGACUCUUCCUUGGAUACAAAUUAAAGCUUUGCACGAAAAUAUUAGUGAGGAGGAGGUAUUGCGGACACUUAUCUUCAACGAAGGCGGUAAGGCAUGCGUUCUCCACCAAGUAGUAAAAGUCUUCAUAAACUCCGGCGGCGCGUAAGAACACAUCGCUUGGCCACUCGCACGCUCGAACUUCUCCAAGUCGGGGGACCGGAUACUUGGGUUUCUUCUUCUCAUUUUCAUCAUGCUUGGGGUCACGGCUUCAAGACCCUCUUAGGAACCUCCUCGUCUUGUCCUUUUUCUUUCUCUGAAAAUUUAUGAAAUUUUGAGUGACUCAAAGGAAAAGUGAACAAGGCUCAAUGAAACUCAUAGCAACUACUCCUACGAGUGCCUAGAGGCCAUAUCACGCGUCAAAACCACUUGGGACCAGCUAAAAUUAGCAUGCAAAGCUCAAGAACAGGGUCACCAAGGCAGCAAAAAUACGCAACGAAUAAGGCACUAGAGAAAAAACUAAUUGGACCAAUGGAGGAUUCACAUACCAAGGAACAAUUUCCCCAAAACAGUUUGGUGAAUGGGGCUUUGCACAAGGAUAUCGAAAAUCGCAGCAAGAAGAGCAAGAACACGGGUUUGAGCUGUAGAAUGAAUUUUUCUGGAGGUAGGAGAAGGAGAAGGGAGCUGGAAUAAGUGCAGGGGGUACACCUGGGCCCCACUAGCCUGAUAGGCGCGACCAGGGGUGCCCGCGCCUCCUGGGCUUGUGGCCUACUGGUGCAUCCCCCUGACUAGCUCUCCAUCUCAGAAUUUUUCAAAAAUUCCAGAAAAAUCAUACUUGAUUUUCACGGCAAUUGAAGAACUUUUAUUUUCAGGACACUUUUCUACGGGACGCAAGAAGCAGAAAACUGGAAAAACUAAAGCUAAAUCUAUCAUUUUUCUUCUAAGCAACCGAAGGUAAAGGUUUGGAACAGAGGGCUGUGACUCUGAGAUUCAUCCAUCUCAUGGUCAUCAAAAGAAAUCCGUCAAUGAGGUUGAUCAAGUCUCCUUGACAAACUUUUUUCGAAUCGCGUAAAAACGAAGAAUUUUCGGAUAGUCACUAGGUUACCUCAAUGUGGAUGUGCAUAUCCCCAACAAGCAAAUCAUACCUCAUCUAAACAGUAGGUAUAGGGCAUUCAAAUCUCCCAAUAAGAAUCGAUGAAGUUUUUUCAAUAGCAUUGAUGCAAUGUACUCGAUAUUGUUUCUUCGGAAAGUGCACCAUAUGCUCAUUACCAUUGACAUGGAAAGUGACAUUUCCUUUGUUGCAAUCAAUAACAACCCCUGCAGUGUUUAAAAAGGGUAUUCCGAGGAUGACCGCCAUGGCAUCAUCCUCAGGAAUAUCCAGAAUAACAAAGUCCGUUAAGAUAGUAACAUUAGCAACCACAACAGGCACAUCCUCGCAAAUGCCGAUAGGGAAAGCAGUUGAUUUGUCGGCCAUUUGCAGAGAGAUUUCAGUGGGUGUCAACUUGUCCAAUUCAAGUCUACCAUAAAGAGAGAGAGGCAUAACACUAACACCGGCUCCAAGGUCGCAUAAAGCAGUUCUAACGUAGUUUCCGUUAAUGGAGCAAAGUAUAGUGGGCACUCCGGGAUCACCUAGUUUCUUAGGAGUUCCACCCUUGAAGGUGUAAUUGGCAAGCAUGGUGAGAAUCUCAACCUCAGGUAUCCUCCUCCUAUUAGUCACAAUAUCGUUCAUGUACUUAACAUAAGGAGACAUUUUGAGCAUAUCUGUAAAACGCAUUUGCAGAAAGACAUGUCUAAUCAUUUCAACAAAUCGCUCAAAAUCCUCAUAAUCCUUUUUCUUGGAUGGUUUGGGAGGAAAGGGCAUGGGUUUCUGAACCCAUGGUUAUCUUUCUUUACCAUGCUUCCUAGCAAUGAAGACACUCUUAUCAUAUCUCCUAUUCUUAGGUUGUGGGUUAUCAAGAUCAACUGGUUCAAUCUCCACAUCCUUAUCAUUGUUAGGUUGAGCAUCAACAUGAACAUCACGAUUGAAAUUAUCAUUAGGCUCAAGUUCAUCACCAGAUUUUGUUCCGGCAUCAGAAACAGAGAUAUCGUUUGGAUUCUCGGGUGUAAUAGCAACAGGGUUGCUAGCCUAGAAGUUCCUAUCAUCUUUCUCUUUCUUCCAUGGAUGACUAGGUGCCUCGGUGCUAACUCCUUGAGAAUCUUGCUCAAUUAUCUUAGGAUGACCCUCAGGAUACAAAGCUUCCUGAGUCAUUCUACCGCCUUUAGUGACGAAUCUAACAUAAUUUUCAUUCAACUCAUUGAGCAAGUCAUUUUGAGCCUUAAGUACUUGUUCUACCUGAGUAGUGACCAUAGAGGCAUCUUUACUCAGAAGCUUAAGAUCAUUGACAUUUCUGUCCACACAAGCACUUAAAUGACUAAGCAUACGAGCAUUCUAUUCCAAUUGUCUGCUAACAUAAUCAUUGAAACUCUGUUGUUUGGCAACAAAGUUAUCAAAUUCAUCCAGGCAUAAGCUAGCAGGUUUAUCAAAAGGAAUAUCACUCUCAUUGAAUCUACGAAGAGAACUUACCUCUACUACCUGUGUUGGGUUAUCAAGACCAUCAAUCUCUUCGAUAGGUGGUAGAUUUUCACAUCUUCAGAUUUAGUGCCUUUCUCUUUCAUAGAUUUCUUAGCUUCUUGCAUAUCUUCAGGACUGAGGAAUAGGAUACCUAUUUUCUUCGGAGUUGGCUUCGGAGAUGGUUCGGGAAUAGUCCAAGCAUUCUCAUUGCGCAAUAUAUUAUUCAAUAGAAUCUCAGCUUGUUCUACAGUUCGUUCCGUGAAAACACAACCAACACAACUAUCUAGGUGGUCCCUAGAAGUAUCGGUUAGUCCAUUAUAGAUGAUAUCAAGUAUUUCAUUCUUCUCAAGGGGGUGAUCAGGCAAAGCAUUCAGUAGCUGGACAAGCCUCCCCCAAGAUUGUGGGAGACACUCUUCUUCAACUUGCAUAAAGUUAUAUAUUUCCUGCAAGGCAGCUUGUUUUUUAUGGGCAGGAAAAUGUUUCUCAGAGAAGUAGUAGAUCAUAUCCUGGGGACUACACACACAACCAGGAGCAAGAGAAGUGACCCAAGUCUUAGCAUCACCCUUCAGCGAGAAAGGAAACAACUUAACGAUAUAGUAGUGGCAGAUCUUUUCCUCACUCGUGAAUAAGGUGGCUAUAUCGUGCAACUUAGUAAGAUGUGCAACAACUGUUUCAGACUCAUAACCAUGAAAAGGAUCAGAUUUGACCAAAGUGAUUAACUCAGGGUCGACAGAGAAUUCAUAAUCCUUAUUGGUCACAAAGAUAGGCGAAGUAGCAAACUUCGGGUCGUAUUUCAUCCUAGCGUUCAAAGAUUUUUCUUUCCACUUGCGCAGUAAUUUCUCAAGAUCAUUGCUAUCCUUACAAGGAAGAAAGUCCUCAGCUAUCUCUCCCUCCAUAACAUAACCCUCAGGUAUAUCAGGCAAUUCAUAUCUAGGAGAGCUAGUUCUAAUAGGUGAAAUAACAGGUUCUACUUCAAUAAUCUCAGCAGUUUCAAAAGUAUCAUCACAUUCGGCAGCAACUCUAGCAAUUUGUGCAUCAAGGAAUGCACCUAGUGGAAAAGUAGUGUCAAGCAAAGCAUCAUCACAAGCAUCAUGGAUAGCAGAAGUAGCAUCAUCAAGCACACGCGACACAUCAAAAUUUCUAGCAGGAGUUGGUGUCGCAAACUUACUCAUAACUGAAGGUGAAUCAAGUGCAGAGCUAGAUGGCAGUUCCUUACCUGUCCUCGUAGUUGAGGGCAAGACUUUAGUUUUUGGAUAUCUAGGAUUCCUCAUAGUGAUCAACAGACGUAAAUCCCAAGUGCCUCAGAGAAUUGAGCUAUGGUUCCCCGACAACGGCGCCAGAAAAUAGUCUUGAUAACCCACAAGUAUAGGAGAUCGCAACAGUUUUUGAGGGUAGAGUAUUCAACCCAAAUUUGUUGAUUCGACACAAGGGGAAGCAAAAGAAUAUUCUCGAGUAUUAGCAGUUAAGUUGUCAAUUCAACCACACCUGAAAGACUUAGUAUCUGCAGCAAAGUAUCAGUAACAGAGUGGUGUGAUAGCAACAGUAGCAACGAUAACAGUAGCAAUAGUGACAGCAGUAGCAGUAACAGUUGCAGCAGUGACAGCAGUAGCAGUAACAGUUGCAGCAGUGACAGUAGUAGCAGUAACAGUAGCAACAGUAACAGUAGUAGCAGCAAAGUAACGUAGCAAGUACCAGCAGGAAAAACUCGUAGGCAUUGGAUCGGUGAUCGAUAAUUAUGCUGGAUGACAUUCAUCAUGCAACAUUUAUAACAUGGGGAGAUAUGUAACUAGGUCCAAUUUGUCAAUGUAAUGUAGGCAUGCAUUCCGUAUAUAGUCAUACGUGCUUAUGAAAAGAACUUACAUGACAUCUAUUGUCCAUCCCUCCCGUGGCAGCGGGGUCCUAAUGGAAACUACGAGAUAUUAAGGUUCUCCUUUUAAUAGAGAACCGGAACAAAGCAUUAGCACUUAGUGAAUACAUGAACUCCUCAUACUAUGGUCAUCUCCGGGAGUAGUUCCGGCUAUUGUCACUCCGGGGUUGCCGGGUCAUAACACAUAGUAGGUGACUACAACUUGCAAGAUAGGAUCAAGAACACACAUAUAUUGACGAGAACAGAAUAGGUUCAGAUCUGAAAUCAUGGCACUCGGGCCCUAGUGACAAGCAUUAAGCAUAGCAAAGUAGUAGCAACAUCAAUCUCAGAACAUAGUGGAUACUAGGGAUCAAUCCCCAUCAAAACUAACUCGAUUACAUGAUAGAUCUCAUCCAACCCAUCACCGUCCGGCAAGCCUACGAUGAGAUUACUCACGAACGAUGAAGAGCAUCAUGGAAUUGGCGAUGAAGGAAGGUUGGUGAUAACGAUGGCGACGAUCUCCCCUCUCUGGACCCCAGAUCGGACUCCAGAUCUGCCCUCGAGAGGAAGAACAGGUGGUGGCGGCGCCUCCAUAUCGUAAAACGCGAUGAACUCUUCUCCUUGAUUUUUUUUCCGGACGAAAGGGACUAAAUAGAGCUGGAGUUGGAGGCGGGAGAGCCCUCAGGGCCCCACAAGCCUACUAGGUGCGGCCAGGGGGGCCCACGCAUCCUGGGCUUGUGGGAUCCUCGCUCCACGCCUCCGGUUGAUUCUUGCGCCAAUAUUUUUUAUAUAUUCCACAAAAAUCCUCAUAAAUUUCCAGGUCAUUCCGAGAACUUUUAUUUCAGCACAAAAACAACACCAUGGUAAUUCUGCCGAAAACAGGGUUAGUCCGGGUUAGUUCCAUUCAGAUCAUGCAAAUUAGAGUACAAAACAAGGGCAAAAGAGUUUGGAAAAGUAGAUACGAUGGAGACGUAUCAGUGUUCAAUGAGCAUUGAUCUCUAGGAUCACCGUACACGUGCAUUCAUCGAUCUCGAAUUACAAGUCGGGGUCCCCAUAGUCAUCUAUUCGAUGUUCACACGACACCACUAAGGGAAGCAAUAAAAUACAUAUUAUCAAAAUACCAAAUGAAUACUAACGUCACAUGAUUACAUAUAUCAAGACUUCUCCCAUGUCAUUGAGAAAAAAGUAAGUACUCACAAAUAAUCAUCAUGUUCAAUAUCAUAGGUAUAAUAAUUAUGCCAAAAUAUAUGAACAUAUUGUAUUCCACCAAACUAACCAACCAACUUCAAAUACAAGACGUAAUCAACACUAUUAGUAACCCACACGUACCAAUCAGAGGUUUUGAUACAAAGAUUGAAUACAAGAGAUGAACUAGGGUUUGAGAUGAGAUGGUGUUGGUGUAGAUGUUGAUGAAUAUUGGUCCUCCCACAAAGGAGGAAGCGUUGGUGAUGAUGAUAGCUUCCAUUCCCCCUCCGUAAGGGAAGUUUCCCCGAUAGAGGCACUUUGACGAAGAGCAGAAGGGCCUCUGCCCAGGUUUCCUCCUCGAGACGAUGGCGCUUCAUCCCGAAAGUAUCCUCAUGAUUUUUCUAGGUGAAAACCCAUCAUCUAUAAGAAGAGGGGGGAGGCUGCCUCUGGGCUUGCCAAGCUAUCAACGUGCGACCUGUUGGAUUGGCACCAACAGGUGGCCCCCCUCUGGUACUUAAAUUUAGAUAUAUUCCACAAAAAUUCCUCGUGAAGUUUUAGGUUAUUCGGAGUACAUAGAAUUUUCAGCCUUUUUCUUGGGUUUGAGGUCCAGAAUUCCAGUUUCUGGUGAUUUCCAUCUUUGUGUUGUACCUUGUAAAUUAUGAGAGAAAAUCAUAAGAAUUGUAUCAUAAAGUGGAAUAAUGACCAAUAAUAAUAUAAUUAUCAAUGAGAAAUCAUGAUGCUAAAUGGACGUAUCAACUCCCCAAGCUUAGACCUCGCUUGUCCUCAAGCGAAAGCCGAACUCGAUAAUAAUGACCGCAUAAUUAGAGAGAGAUGUGUCGAUAAAAACAAAAUAUGGGCACGAGAUCAUCAUGAAUAUUAAGAUAGCAACAAGUUUUCAUCAUAUAACUUCUUAUAAAUAUGUAAAAAUCUAUUCACAAUUACUGAAGUAUGAAGCAUAAACUUUAUUGACAACGAACAAACUAUGUUCUUAGUCACUGGGACAAUCACAAUCCAAAAAAAAUCAGAGAAGAGUCUAUGUAAGAGUGUUUUAUUUUAGCAAGUUCACAUACUCAACUAACAUUUAGUCUUCUAUAAUGGCUGAUACUCAAUGCAUAUUUUUGGAGCAAACGUUUCCAUUGGACACAUAGGAAGAUAGGGGCAUCAUUGUUUCUGCCACCCAACUUAUUUACCUCAAGGCUAAUGUCAACAAUAAUGACUCAUGAUCACCUACAUCCAACUGGAUAUAUAUAUGUGGAUCUUUCCUAACCCAUGUUGCUUUCUAACUAAAGAAUUAAUAGGUUGUAAGAGGGAUAAACAUUAUUGACUCUUGCAUAAAAGUAAAUACAUGAAAGUAAAAGGUAGGCCUUCGCAGAGGGAAGGAUAAGUUGUCAUGUGCUUUUUAAUUUAGGAUGUGCAAGUCUUAAUGUAAAAGAAUGUAACUUUAUAUUGAUCCUUAUGAUAGCAACCUUUAUUAUGUAGUCUCUCACUUUUAUUUCUUUGCCAUUACAAUCAUACAAAGCUUAUUUUCCCUUACAAUAAAAGAUCAUCAUGUUUACAAGCAAUUUUUUUUGCUUUGUGCACCUAUGACAACUUACUUGAAGGAUCUUAUUUAAUCCAUAGAUAGGUAUGGUUGACUCUCAUGGCAAGAAACUGGGUUUAAGGGUUAUGGAUGCACAAGUAGUAUUUCUACUUAGUGCGGAUUUUUGGGCUUUCAAAAGAUCCUAGACAAGCACCACAUGUUAGAGGAUCCAUGACAAUAUAACUUCUAUGUGAAUGUAAACAAACAUAACUCAUUACACUAUCUUCCUUGUCCAACAUAAACUAUUUGAUCAUUAUACAACAUUUAAUGGGGGGUCAGAGUCAUAAAGAUGUCCAAGAUAGUAUAUUUGUAUGUGAAUCUCCGCUCCACUUUCAUAGUUUUUGCAUAGAUUGUAUCAAUGAUUAAUAUUAUGUUUGUUAACUCCCAACAACUUUUAUUAAACAUACUUCUUUUUAUGUGAAGUCGUUACUCCCGAUCAUAUUAGCAUACGAUAUUUCUAUUUCUUUUAUAUCAUUGCUAUGAUUGAUGCAUGAGAGUAUAAUUGUAAGUGCAUCUAGUGCCACCCUUUGUUGGUUUUGGAGUAUUGAAGACAAACAUGGUUGAGGGACUAAUGUGUUUGUGAUAGUUCAUAGGAUAACACAAAUGUAUGUCCAUGGAGAUUUAGUUUAACCAUUCAAGACAACCCCCAAAUGUUCGGAGACAUUGAUGAUGCCCGAAGCCAUUGGUGGUGCGCGAUGAUAAUCGCUUGAAGAAAAUGAAACUCGAAGCCGAAGUCUUUUGUUGUUUUGUUUCUUCUUUCAUGGGUCAUAGGAACCACCGUGCUGUUAAGGGGGUCGAUGUGAUCAAAGUCAGGUGCCGAUGUAAUUCUCAACCCACAUAUACCUAUAUCUUCGAGCGGAGAUAUUGAGAGGAAAUCUCUUCCAGAGCUGGUCGAGUCAUCAUUACUUGCAACCCAAGUAAUAUUGCCGUGUGUGCCUUUGAAAUCUUCCUGUUGCAACACGUGUCGGUUGGCCAUUGAGUCGGGGUCAUUUCGGCCAUAUCAAGUAGGGUUGCGUGUUCGCUAUAAAUAGCCCACCCCCUCCACCAUAAGUUCGUGGCUCCUUAGAGUUGAUACGGUUGUUUUAGUUUUGGAGCAACCCGCCUCGAAGCCAUAGAGAGAGAGAACUAUCAUGCGAGGAUAAACCCAAACACCAAGAGCCACAAUGUUUGAGCAUUACCGAAGUCUUCCUAUUCUGAUAAAAUUGAAGACUUGUUACACUUGAAGACUGUGAUCUUUGAGAUGGUUAGGCAUCAUGGUCCAGUGCAUCCAAGAGUCAUUGUGGAUUGUCGGAUGACCGUGUUCUAGAUCAAUCCAAGAGUCAUUGUAGAUUGAUGGGUGACCAAGUUUGUACGGGUUUCAGAAGUCUCCCCUGAAGACUGACGUGAGUAAUUGGGCUUUAUGUGAGAGACUUUGGCUCAAGGGGCUCAAGGUGAAGACGAGGUCUAAGCCUCCCCAAGCAGACAUAUAGUGGUCACAACAACUGGAAUUGGUCCAACAAAUCAUGUGUCUUCGUCCAGCUACUAGUUCUAUCCUUCACUCUCUUUACUUACUGUACUAUGAAGCCAUUGCUUGAUCAUCUCUCCCGAAGAUAUUCUCCGAAGACAUUGGCAACUAUUGUUUAUCUUCACACUCCCUAAGUUCAUUUGUGAUAUAUCUUGGUGUCCAUGAUAACUAUACUUUGCUUGAUUGGAUGUAUUUUUAGUAGUGCAUGCUUUACAUAGAUCCUCGAUAUUUAUCCCUACCUGAUCCUUUAUCGCUUCCGCUUAACUUUGAAUACAUUUACUGUUUUGAACCGUUUUGUAAUAAUUACCUAUUCACCCUCUCUGGUCCACAACUAGGAAUUUCAAUUGGUAUCACAGCAAGGUACUCCCUUGUUCCGUGUUUCGGUUUAACCACUCGGAGUUUUAGCUAUGUAGACUACAUGGAUAAUCAAAGUUUCCACAGCGUGCCAUAUCUUUGAUGGAACUGAUUACACAUACUGGAAGAACAAGAUGCUCAUGCAUCUCGAAGCCAUUGACAACGACCUAUGGUAUGUCAUCAUGACUGGUGUUCCCAAGAUUGGCGAAGGUUUCACUGCUGCCGACGUGAAGAGGUUUGCUCAACUCGAGUCCACCGCCAAGAACAUCAUGUGUGGUCAUCUUACCAAAGGACAGUACGAUCGUGUGAGUGCUCUUGAGACCGUGAAGCAAAUCUAGGAAUGGUUGUCCAUAGUCAAUGAAGGUGUCUCAUCUCAUAGAGACUCACGUGUAGAUGUCCUCCACAACCCGUUCAACCGCUUCAAGAGGCUUGACAACAAAAAUGUCCAACUAACGUUUGAUCUUCUGACUGAUAUCUGAAAUGAGCUGGAUCCAGUUGGCGCCACUGAUAUCACUAAACAGGAAGUUGAGAAGAAGCUACUCAGAUCUCUUGACAGUUCCUUUGACACUCUCUCCCUCAUGAUCCAAGAACGCCCUGAAUUCAAAGAAUUGGAUACUACUCAUAUACUUGAGAGGCUCAAUACACAUGAAUUCCAGCAAGCCGAAAAAGGGAAAUCUACGAUUCUAGCUAUGAUCGUUCUCGUUCAUUGAAGGCAAAGGUCGUGUCUUCAUCUCGAGGUGAAUCUGAAUCCAGUUUUGAUGGUGCCGAAGACUUUGGCAAAGAACUUUCACUGCUUUUCUGAAAGUUCUAGAAGUUUGCCAAGUCAAAACGCUUUGCAAAGGCUAGAAGGCGUGACUCAAAGAAAUACGACAAAAUAUCUUCACAUGAUAGCCAGAAGCAAUCCUAUCACAGGUGCAAGAAAGUAUGCAACAACCCAGAACCGGCGCUCUAGAAGAUUCCCUUUUUAUUCCAUUGUCAUCGUGUGAUUCAUUUCGUUGUUGCAUUUAUCAUUGCAUCAUUCUCAUCAUCAACAUUGUAUCGGCACUGUCUUGCCGUCAGUUUUCAAACUUGCAUCCACUAUUAGUUGUCGAUCCUCUCCGUUUUUGCCGUUGGCCGUUUCGAGACCAACCCCACACGCAUGCGCCCGCGACAUCGUUAAACUAUUGGUUUUCAAAGUGUGUAUAAAACUUCCUCGGAUUGGGUUGAAAGUUGACGUGCGGUAUUAUUGUCAUGUAGGUAGACCGCCUGCCAAAUUUCGUCGUAAUCGGAGGUCAUUUGAUACCCGGACGUUAAAUGUAUAGCGACACUAUAGCCGGUUUAAAUACCGGACGGUUUCGCAUUUUAAAACCUUGUCAAGGUGACACUCUCUCCCUCUCAUCUCAGUGCAGCACCCUCUACACGGCCCAACUUAGCCCACCUAACCACCCUUUCAUCGGAGCUGUUGGAUUGCGAUCCAACGGUCCGAAAACGCCCCAAAACCCUCAAACUCUAGCCCCUAACUAUAAAAGGAAGGCCUCCCCUUCCCAAAUUUAGUCUUCCCCUUCCUCCUCCCUCAAAUUCGGCACCAAGUCGCCACCACCUCUCCACUUGGCGCCGCACCAAAGGGACGAUCUCCUCCUAAGCCGUCGCCAGCCGCCGCGUACAGCCAACCCACGCCUGCUGCCUGGCCACCCAGCCACCAGCAACCCCCGAGGCCCGUCGUGGCCCAGAUCUGGCCCGCCCAGGCCCUGAUCGGCCCACCUCCACCGCAAGCUCCUGUGGAGAGCUAGGUCUUGAGCAGCUCCUCCCAUCGGAGCCAGCCCCACUCCUCCCACAGCGUCGGUUGACCGCCACGAAGUCGCCCCUAGCCGCCUCGCCACCGGAGCCCCGCGCUGCCGCCCCCCGCUGCCCUCAGCAGCCCCUACCGCAGUCGUGCUCCGCCGGCCCCGAGUCCCUUUGUUGCAGCCGCCGCAGGAGCUCAUCCACACCACCUUGGAGUUCGCCGUUAGUGAGAUCCGCUCUGCCCCUCGUCGGAUCUGCCGCCUGCCACCGUUCUUUGCCAGUUCCCAAGCAGUCGACGCCCCAACUUCGGCAUCGCCGCCUCUCGUCCUCGACCUAGGUCCAAUGGGGCGGGUGGAUCUCCUACCCGUUGACUGCGCCCCGGCCUCAUGGGCGCCAUAGCCUUUGCGGCCGAGCGGUGCCCUCCGUUGAUCGCGACCCAGCUGAAACCAGCGCUCAGCCCAGCCUCGCCACAUCACCCCGCCGGCCCAAGCCCUGCACCGAGCGAGGCCCAAGGCCCAAGGGUGAGCGCCCCGUCUAACCAUAGCCCUAUGCGUAUUAUAUUAUCCACCGCUUUCCUGAUUCGGCCCAUGUAUUUUUUUCUUUGUCGAACAAAUUUACCCAAAUUCAAGGACUUUGUGAAUUACACAAAAUUGCAUAUUUUUUACAUGUUCAUAAAUAUUUAACCAUGCAUCGGAUGAAAACAUUUUAGAUAUGUGAAAUGCCCAGAAUUUGGUGUAGAUUCACAAUAUCCUGCUUUCACACAUGUUAGAAAUAUUUAAACCUACUGUUUGCAUUGUUUUGCAUGAUGCCAUAUUAAAAUGAUUUAAUUUGUAGCAAAUUAACCGUGCAUCGGAUUUAAAAACUUCAUACAUAAAAAAACAUAGAAUUUUAUGUAGUUUCACAAUAUUCAACUUUCAACCAUGCUAAAAAUAUUUAACUUGUUGUUUUCAUGUAAUUUACAUUUGUGUCAUAAUAAAAUGGUUUGCCUCAUAAUUAGCUCUAAUUAAAAUGUUCCACAUAUGUAACUUGACCGGAAAAAUGUUUAGAAUAACAUGGUGUCAUUUAUUUUAUUGUUUAACAGCUCUAAAAUUGUGUUUCACGCAGAACAAUACUGACUUUUAAUUUUCAUAUGGGGACUUCCAGAAUUGUCAUUCGUUGUUCCGGCCUCAUUUAAACUUGCCUAGAAUUUCAGGUAGUGUUAUAAUAUCUUGUGCAUCCAUGUUUUUAAAUAUUGUGGAUAUCACUUGCACGCAUUUCUCAUUCAUGGCAUAUUAUCUUGUAAUGAUCGUAUCUUUUGAACCAUAACUCCUUUUUAGAUUAUCUAUAUAUGUAAAUCGACUAGAAUGACGUGUAGAAUCUCAUGGUCCACUUUAUUUUUAUGUUUAAUGAAUAUAAAAUGUGUUUAGUACAUAUAUGGACCAAUUUAGAAAUUAACACAUGGGGUCAUUUCAGAGAUGUUAUAUGAUGUUUCUGACCUCAUUUAUUAUGCCUAGAUAGUUAGUUUAUUUAUGCUUCACGUCUUGCCACGUUUAAACAACAUUUAAUAUCGAUGAGUACCUAAACGAGAGUGAACUAAAUAUUUGAACGUGGAGUUUCGUCAAUAUGCAACUCGUUGCAUAUUGAGCUUCAUUUAAUGUGUAGUGUUUGAUUGUUAUGAAUUACUUUGCCAUACAAAGCAUAAUUAAAUGGAGAUGCAUCAUAAUUGCUUGCGGUGUUAUCGUGUGUUGAUUGUUGUUGCGGAUUGUUACUUCUCGAUAGAGUUCUAAACCGCUUCAGAGUGUGAGGAUCCGUUCGACUACAUCGGUUCAUCUGCUUCAUGGAUUCAUUCUUCUUCCAAGCGGGAUCACAUGCAAGAUGACCAUUUCCCUAAAUACCAUUACUAUCACUGCCAUGCUACUUGUGUCAUUUCUUUUUCUAUGUCUGGCUGCCUACCACCUCUAUAAUAAGCCUCCCAACAUUGCCAUGAAAAUCCUCUAACAUUUCCACAACACAGCAAAACCAAUGUUUGGCUAUGUUACCGCUUGUUGAUCCUUCUGAUAUCAUUGCUAAUUGCACGUGCAAUUGCUUCCAUGUGAAAACAUGGGUUCCUUGUUAUGUCACCAUAUUAUUCCUAUGUAAUUUAAUGCACCUAUAUACCUGGUAAAAGGCGGAAGGUUUGGCAUUUUGGUUGUGUGUUUUGUUCUGCUUUUGCUGCUUAGUUUCGGCUACCAGUGUUAAGUUCCAUAAUGAGAGCUACUAACAUGCUUGGGGUUGUUAUGGGGACCCCCUUGACUUUUGUUUUGGAAUAAACUGUUCUGGCGAGGCAUAACAUUGGUACUAUAUUUUCCCAACAUAAUAAUAUGGAAAAACAUAGGGCGUCAUGAACCACAGGAGUAAUUCAACAUUAUACACGAGGGCGAGUGCUAAUGGUGUUGGUCCUAAACAGAGCCAUGUGCGGGGCCAACCCGAGGAAACUCGGGUGAUGUCUAUUAGGCCAUUGUACGUUGUGCUUAUCCGUCGUGUCCUGAGAACGAGAUAUGCGUCUCCUAUCGGGAUCGUUGACACAUCGGGCUGCCUUGAUGGAUUUGAUUUACCCUUCUCGAAUGCCUUGUGUGAGGAAUUCCGAGGAUACUUUGGGCUAUCUUGAGGUUGAGGUUUCUCACUAGGAAGUGACACGUCCAUUUUGCAUCAUGCUUCCAUGUUGAUAUUUAUCGCUUUAUGGACUGUUAUUUUACUUUGUGGAAUCUUACUUAUGCCUUUCUCUCUUAUUUUGCAAGUUUUAUUUGAAGAGGGAGAAUACCGGCACCUGGAAUUCUGGAUUGUUGAUUACUCUUUGUAGUUGAUUCUAGCUGGAUUACUUGGUGGAAGAGUUUAUGUUUAGAUCCUUGAUGCUAUUCAUUACACCUCUGAUCAUGAUUAUGAUUAUGCUUUGUGAGUUGUUACUUUUGUUCCUGAGGACAUGGGAUAAGUCAUGCUGAUAGUAGUCAUGUGAAUUUCGUAUUCGUUCGGUAUUUUGAUAUGUUGUAUGUUGUUUUUCCUCUAGUGGUGUUAUGUGAACGUCGACUACAUAACACUUCACCAUAUUUGGGCCUAGAGGAAGGCAUUGGGUAGUAGUAAGUAGAUGAUGGGUUGCUAGAGUGACAGAAGCUUAAACCCCAGUCUAUGAGUUGCUUCGUAAGGGGCUGAUUUACUAGUUUAAUGCUAUGGUUAGACGUUGUCUUAAUUCUUCUUUCGUAGUUGCGGAUGCUUGCGAGAGGGGUUAAUCAUAAGUGGGAUGCUUGUCCAAGUAAGGGCCGUACCCAAGCGCCGGUCCACCCACAUAUCAAACUAUCAAAGUAACGAAUGCGAAUCAUAUGAACAUGAUGAAACUAGCAUGACAGAAAUUCCCGUGUGUCCUCGGGAGUGUUUUUCCUCUUAUAAGACUUUGUUCAGGCUUGUCCCUUGCUACAAAAGGGAUUGGGCCACUUGCUGCACCGUUGCUACUACUUGUUACUUGUUACUUUUCGCUUGCUACGUUUCACCUCACUACACCAUCACUUGUUACCGCUAUUUUCAGUGCUUGCAGUUAUUACCUUGCUGAAAACCGUUUAUCAGAGCCUUCUUCUCCUUGUUAGGUUCAACACUCUUACUUAUCAAAAGGACUACGAUUGAUCCCCUAUACUCGUGGGUCAUCAGGAAGCCAAGGAGAUCACGGGUUCUCUGUGGUCGAGGUUUCCGAUGCAGCUUGUGGUAGUUUGUGAUGGACUAGUUGGAGCACCAGUGCAGGGUUAAAUCUUUCUGAAAGCCAUGGCCGUGACUAUGUGGCAAUUUGGAAACUUUGAUUAAAAUACGAUUAUAGAUAAAUUUAAUUGAACUUAAUUAAAACUUGCCAACUAUGUGUAACCGUGUGUGUCUCUUCUCGCGAGUUCUGCAUCCGGAAGAGGACACGAUGGCGUUAUGUUUGACGUAAGUAGUUGUUUGGGAACUCUUCAGAUCAUGAUUUGUCACACCCUGUUUUUACCUCACUUCAACUGUAGUUUCAAAAUCCGAGUUUAUUAAAAAAAAUCCAAAACCGAUGUUGUGAGUGCCAUGAUUGUCAUUGUGUGAUUGUAUGCUUGAGUGAGUGUAUUCAAAAACCAUAUUUUUAUAACAUGAUUAUUCUCAAAAGAUUCUUUUUCUUAUUUUGACUAACUUAAAACCUUGCUUUGCGUUUGCACUACAAGUCCCUCAUGACAAGGGAGUGCCUUUACCCAAAGAUGGUAAUCUGAUUUUAGAACUAUUUUUACUCUCCAAUAUCAUAAAAUAAUUAUUUUUCAAAUUAUUUUCCUAUUUUAGAUGCAUGUCCAUUUCUGAGGCCAGAAAUGAUAUUUCUAUAUGAAAAAAAAUACAUUUCUACCUUAGAAAACCUGAGAAAAUUUGGUGAUCCUCAGAGGACAUAUAUUUUCCAUACAUAAGAUUUUCAACCCCUAUUUAUAUUCUAAAUAUUUGAGCAAAUCCUUGAAAACAAACUUUGUGUAUUUUGACCUUUUGAAAUAUUUCUAAUAAAUUCCUAGAAAAUUCCAGCAGCCUUCGCAAGUUAUAUUUGGCGGCCACACCGAGUUUCACCUCAUUCCAAGGUGGUUUGGUUCACUAAAUAAUCCUAAAACCCUCUCUGUCCAGAAUCAAAUUGAAACAUCUCUACAUUGCAAAGUUUAUCCAAAUGGGUUGAAAUAUUGCAGGAGUGUUCAACACCCCAAAUGAGAAGUCUGUGCCAAAAAUAGGAUUUGUAGGGGGUAAUCUACCCACAUUCUCUUUGGACGGGACAGAUCUGCCCAUUUGGGGGUGAUUUCAAGUUUUCAUUGCCAAACUUGUCCAAUGAAGCUCAAAUUUGGUGGAACUUCCUAUUUUUGCAUCACAAGUGGUGAAGUGUAACUACCCCAAACACGUGUCGAACACCUUCUGCCAGAUUAGUAAAACAGCUCCUACCUCACUCCACACCCAUACACUUCCCUUCAAACUUAUAGACCAAACAACCAGCACCACUCCCCAACUGUAGGUGACUGGCCCCUCCUUGAAUGCAAGCCGAAGAGCCAAACAACCAAUUCUAAUUUCUGGCUCAAGUCUGACAUCACUCCUUUAAUCACAUCCCUUGACCAGCAGGGAGUCUCUCGGCUCUCAAAUGGCUAAGGAUCUUCAAACCCAGCCCAGGACACACCUAACUCGGCCAAGGCGCCCCAGAGCACGCUAGCAUGCCGUGGCAUGCCAAAACUAUGCUCUAGGCACGCUACAGGGCGCACCCGAAGCAAAGGUGGCCAGCCCCGGCUGUUCAAGCCUUCCCAGUUGCCCAUUCGCGCCCCCGACAAUCCCUUUGCAUCAGUGCAGCCUCAGAGCCCCUCCUCCCUCGCUCUGUUGACCGGAGCGACGCGUGCCCGCGCGCGCCAGAUUCGAGCAGAAGAGCGCGGCCACGCAUGCACUCUCCUCCUCGCUCUCUCUCUCCCUCUCAGUGGGUCAGAGGGGUCCUAAACCACAUCCGUAAUACCGUGGUUUCGACCCCGAGCACUCACUGCCCUCCUACGAGCCACGGUGAAACCACCGGUGCCUCUAGUUCGGUGCACCGUCAGGGGCCUAUAAAUAGGCCAUCCCCCUUGCUCUAGCACCCUUAUCUCACUUCUCCAGAGUCCAAAUCGCACCCCUAGCAACCCUAUUCGAGCACAGCAAGCUUCUGUGCUCGAGAUCGACCGAGGCCCCGCCGCUCCGACGCUCCUCUCUCCUUUUCCAUGACCCUAGCAGCCUCAGGGAGCUUCCCCAUCACUUCCCCAAGCUAAUCCCUGCCCGUAGCACCUAGUUCAUCAACCUCCCGAAUCGGCUCCGCCACAGCCACCUCGUCACCAUGAACUAGGGCAUCCCCAUCGACCCUUCGACCACCAGCAGGUAGGCGACGAUGAGUUGGUUCCAUUCCUGCCAUCAGUUGGGCUCGAGGGCAUCGGUAUCGCCGCCGGCGUGCAUUCCCUCCCCUUUGUCCAGAGGUGGAAGAUGACCCCGACAAGUGGGUACACCUGUAAGUGGCUCUUCUCUAUCCCCCUCUCUCCUCUCCGCCGCUGACUACAGGGGCCCACGUGUCACGUUUGAACCUGACGGCGCGCGCGUGGGCUUGCUGUCUGGCUGGCCAUCUGGGCCGGCCCAAGCCUCAGGCCGAGCCAGGCCUGAGCCAAAGCAUCUUUUUCUUUUUUUGUUUAAUCCAGUUUUAAAGGAUUAUUGUAAAAUUUGUUAUCCAAUAUAUUUUAAUUAUUUUUCCACCACAAUUCUUCUAAAAAUGAGUAGAAUUUAUUAGAUCAUUUGCACAAUUUUUAAGACAACUUUUCCGUUUAGUAAUAAUUAAAAAGGCUAUUUUGAAUAUUAUACCUAGUGUCAAAAUGAUUUUUAAAAAUAUUCUUUUCACUAUAACCAGAGACAAAUAUUUUCAAAAUAGUAAUGUAGAUUUAUCAGAAUAGGGCAACAUUUUCAAAGUAAGUUUGUGCUCUGUUUUUGAGUGAGCAACUUAUUAUUUCAUUAUUUACUACGACGAUAAAUACCAUGUUUGACGAAGGAGUUGGACUCGAAGAUCCCGAAGACCCCGGAUACUUAGCUGAUCAAGGUAAGCAGCCCUUUGACCAUGUUUGAGAAAAUAUUCUAUUGCAUGCUAAGUAGAGCAAUUAUUCCCAUUGCAUAUGAUCAUGAGUAUUCGGUAAAUCAUCGAUAUGAUGUUUCCGAUGGCUCCUACGGAGCACUUGCAUUUGAGCAUGAUCCUACCACCUAUGAGUCUCACGCUAAUAUCAUGUUGACAGGUAGAUAUAAGCAUAGUAGAAGCAUGAGCAUGAUGAUGGUAAAUAUCAAAGGUUUAUGAAAACCCCGUCGGGUGCCACUAAUGCCCAAGGGUGAUGAUGAGUUAGGUGGCCACUUGUGAAGAAGUGGCGCACCGGAUCUAUUUUGGUGUGAGUGGUUUCGGAAACAAGAUUAGAUUUAUGAUGUGUCGACCGUCCCAACCUUACGUGUACGACCGUGUUACCCCUUUAUGGGACGGGGCUUUGUUGAUUACUCUGGUCGGUGCUAGCAAAGAGCCACAGUACUAGUGGCGGGAGUGAUCUGUGGUCACUCUCGUGACGGGGUCGAGCGAGGUAGGACGACUAUGCCGUUUUUACAUGUUCCUGAGACACCGUUGGUCCCCGCAUGGAUGAUACUGUCCAGAGUUGGUGCUUGUAAGAUGUACAUCAUGUGGACUGGGUACCAAUCGAGUGCAUCUCCUUGUCUUGUAUCCUCAGGGGAAAGGCAUUGAUCGGGUACUUACCUCGGGUAUGUUAUAUACCAUGAGUCGUGGAUGACACGGAAGUUUCCCGGAUCUCGUGGGUACAACGUACAACCUUUGCAGAGUGUAAAACUAUUCGAAUAGCCAUGUCCACGGUCAAGGACAGUUGGGUAAUCCUUCUUAUCCUACGUCCAGUCGUUUCCGUAUAAACCAAGUGUGAGUGUGAGUGUGUGUGUUUAAUGGUUUAUUUGAAAGAGUUGAUAUGACCAAGUUUGGUGACUUGGCAUAUCAGGUGAACCCGAAGUGUUCAGCCCUUAACAGAUAUGUUGAUAUUUGUAACAUGUUCUUCUAAAUACCAUCUAGCUUAUGUUGCACAUGCAUCUAUGAUCAUGUUUAUUUCAGUUAAGCUGCUAUCCACCAAUACUGCAUAUUACUUGGUAUCAUACAUACUGCAUUAUCCAUAUCAUGGGAUGUUUGCGAGUACAUUACAAGUACUCACUUGCUUGGCACUGGUUACAUUAUUACCAGACAUGGAAGGACCGGAGUUUGGAGAAGAGUACGUCAUCGGAGAAGGACUUGCAAACUAGGACGCUUCCCAGUCAGAAUGCCUGUUGGUGUAGGCUGGUGGCAUGGGCACCUGCUUAGCCCCAAGAUUUCCGCAAGUAGAUGUAUCGGUGUGAUUGGCCUUAUAGGCCCUCCUACGAGAAAUUGACCUUGAUGGUCAUUUGAUGUAUUAUCUCGGUAUGUUGGAUGUAAGACUCUUAAUAUUCAGUAUCUGUGUGUUCGGUGAGCAUUGAUCUCUGGGAUCACUCAGCAUGUUCAUUCAGCAAUCUCGACUUUUCAGUAGGGGACCCCACAGAGUUGGUAUCAGAGCCAUCCUUACUGUAGGAAUCCUUAGGUAGCAUGGACGAUAUCCGUGACGAAUAGAGCUCUAAACCCUUACACUUGAGAUUUUCUACACCAACAAAAAAUUCUAACCCUCUCCUACAACCUUGUAGAUGGCCGCCGUACCUGAGAUGCUUCUAGAGAUGGGCUUUCCCCUACUCUUGGGAGAUAGCCUCGAGAAGUGUCAAUUACGCCACACACCCAUUUUUCUCUACCACAAGCACUAGGUCAACCCCGACACAAAAGAAUAUCACGUGGACGUGGUAGUGAAGGCUACCGACUCCCCAACUAGUUGGUUCUUUGAAGGACCACAGAUGGAGAUCUGAUGCUGGCAGUGGAGACAACCGCAAGAGAGGCGCUUGUACGUCACCGCGAUCUCCUUCCUGAGAUUGCUAACGAGCCUCCUACUCGUCACCUGCCUUUUAUUAAGGACUUAUUUGACGGGAGCUGGACGCUUAACCCAUCCUUGGAGGACGGGACGCCACUCGAGUUUCAGACCUACUUCAGCCUCUCUGCCGACACCUUGACUCACCUUCUGAUCAAGGAGUGUGUGACGCUUCACCAAGACCUACACCAAGUCAAGGACCUACUUCGCCUGGAAAAGAUGAAGACCUGCAAGGUCAAGAAGGAAGGAGCACCCGGAGGGCAGUCAGCCGUUGUCUUCCGAGGAAGGAUGCCACCGCUCUAGGCCACUCCUAUCCAGAGUUGUCGUCUCACUGCGAAAGAAUAUACUGAGCUCCUCACCUCUUCACCAACAAAGAGAUGUCGUGAUGGACCGCUCCCAUCUUGCACACCUCUGAAGGAGGAUGGUGCCGAUGAGGAUGAAGAUGAAGAUCCCGCUGAGCGUGCAUAGGAGUCUCCCCGUGCGUAGUUGAGUCCGUGUAUCGGUUCAUGAGAACCAUGAGUGUUGUGUGAUCAUGUGUGAUGCAAGCCGCGUUUCUGCCUUAGGCAGCUUGUAAGCAACUACAUCACUUAUUUAAUUCAAUGCAUUAGAUUUCCCAAUAACCUUUGUUUAACUCGCACACUGACACAAUACCAAAAAAUCCUUAUUUAGGAACUCCAUCCCUAAUAAUUCCCCUACAAAUUCGGCAUAUUGACCUGUCUACUCCCCUGACAAGAUGGUGAUUUCAACACGCACCGGCACCUACGGCAACCCCAGCUCUGCAACCUCUGGCUAGCAGCAGGGAACCGGUGGGAACGCUGAAGCUGGAGAUCACCACGAGCAGCAGCAAGGCGAUAUUCCUCCGCCACCGCCUCCUCCGGAGAGCGUGACCAUGGAUCAAAUCCUUCAAGCUCUCCGAGAGGAAUAUCAAGCCAAUAAUGCCGCCAUCCAGUAGCUGGCUCAAGUCUUGGUGAACAAUCCACCGCAAAACGGAAAUGGCAACAGUCGCUCUACUCUGUCUGAGUUUAUACGGACUACACCUCCCAUAUUCACAGUGACAACUGAACUGUUGGAUGCCGAUGAGUGGAUCCGCACCAUCGAAGUACUCCUCGCGCUGGUCACGUGCACCGAUGAUUGCGAGAAAGUCCUUUAUGCUUCUCACUAUCUCGGAGGCACGACUAGAGCUUGGGGGGAUGGGUUCCAGAUCAUGCGAUAAGUUAAAGCUAUCACUUGGGCUGUAUUCAAGGAAGGAUUCGGCGCUGCUCACAUUCCUCCUGGAAUGAUGACCAUUAAGAAGCGGGAAUUCCAAGCCUUGAGGCAAGUCAAGGAGUAUCUGCACAAGUUUAACCUCCUGUCGAGAUAUGCACCGGAAGACAUCAACACUGAAGCCGCAAAGAUGGAACGCUUUAUGGAAGGACUGCAACAGUCACUCCAGUAUCAGCUGGUUGUCUACGAAUGCUGAACCUUCUGCGAUCUGGUGAACAAGGCCCUCAUGUUGGAUGAUAACUGUCAUGCAAUGGACGACACCCGUAAGCACAAGAUGAUGGGUAAUGGAGGACCCAGUAACCCUAAGCCACGCCCAUGGCAGUCAGCCCCAGCAAGACACAACUAUCAGCAGCAGCAGUACAAGGCACCGACGUUGCACCUGAGCUACCAUCCCCAGAAGCAAGUCAACACCAAGCCAACAAUGAACCCGCCCAAUAACAGUGGAGUCAAGCCCAACAUUCCAGGGCAGGUGACAUGCUUUGUAUGUGGUCAGACUGGGCACUACUCAAGGCAGUGCCCCAACAAGAAGCCCAAUGCACCGCACCCCAAUGCGCCAAAUCAAGGACAAGGUCAAGGAGCGCCAGGUAGGAACCAAGCUCCCCGCAAUCAACAGUACCACAACAGGGGACAUAUUAAUCACAUCUCCACAGAAGAAGCACAGGAAGACACGGAAUGCAUUCUGGGUAUGUUCCUCAUCAACUCCGCCCCAACAACAGUUUUGUUUGAUAGUGGUGCUUCCCAUUCUUUUGUUACCCAGAAGUUUGCGGAAAAUGUGGUUUGAAGCCUACCCUACUUAAUGGGCAAAUGGCAGUACAUACCCCGGGAGUAGUGCUAAGGACCAAGCUAGGAUGUAGAGGAGUCAGGAUCAAUAUUAAUGGGAUAAGCUUCACAACAAAUCUCCUCGUCAUUAAGUCGCAAGGCUUGGAAGUGAUCCUUAGAAUGGAUUGGUUGGCCAAGCACCAGAGCAUCUUGGAGUGUGCCAACAGGACUAUUACCUUGACAAGCGACCAAGGGGUCAAAGUCAAGUAUGUCCCUAAGCCUACAUCCACUCAAAUCCCUCUCGUAAAUUGCCUAUCGGGAGAAGAGCUGGACGGAGUGCCAAUUUUUGUGAGUACCCGGACGUCUUUCCUGACGAGUUACCAUGGAUGCCUCCUAAUCGAGACAUCGAGUUCAUCAUUGAUCUCAUGCCCGGAUCAAGGCCUAUCUGUAACAAGCUUUAUAGGAUGGGAUCCUAAGAGCUAGCAGAGUUGAAGAAGGAGUUGGAUGAGAAACUCAGGAAGAGAUUCAUCUGUCCUAGUGCAUCACCUUGGGGAUCACCUGCUUUGUUUGUGUCUAAGAUGCAUGGGACUAUCAGACACUGCGUCAAUUACCGUUCUCUCAAUGAAGUCACGAUCAAGAACAAGUACCCACUCCCCAAUAUUGAAGACAUAUUUUACUAAUUAACUGGAGCCAAGGUAUUUUCCAAGAUCGAUCUCCGAUCCAAAGACAUACCUAAGACUGCAUUCAUGACCCGGUACGGUCUAUACGAGUGCACCGUCAUGUCAUUUCGGUUGACCAAUGCCCCAGAAUACUUCAUGUACGUCAUGAACAAAUUCUUCAUGGAAUACCUGGAUAAGUUUGUUGUCGUCUUCAUCGAUGACAUAUUAAUCUUCUCCAAGUCUGAAGAGGAGCAUGAGCAACACUUGAGGUUAGUGUUGGAAAAGCUUCGAGAGCACCGGCUUUAUGCCAAGUUUAGGAAAUGCAAAUUCUGGCCGCACAAAGUUGGAUUCUUGGGUCAUACCAUGACGGCAAAUGGAUUGGCAGUCCAUCCUUCAAAGAUUACCAUGGUAACCAACUGGGAGUCGCCAAUUGAUGUGAAGGAAGUCAGAAGCUUCCUCAGACUCGUGGGAUAGUACCACAAGUUCGUAGAAGGAUUCUCUCGCAUCGCCCGACCAAUGACUCAGCUCUUGAAGAAAUGAAAGAAAUUCGAAUGGAUGCCGGAGUGUGAAGAAAGCUUCUAGGAGUUGAAGAAGAGAUUGACCACCGCCUCGGUAUUGGCUACUCGAGAUAUCAGCAAGGAGUUUGUGAUAUAUUGUGAUGCCUCCAGAACCGGGUUCGGAGGAGUCCUAAUGCAAGACGACAGGGUAGUGGCUUACCUGUCACAAAAACAGCGCCCGCACGAGGAAAAUUACGCCACACAUGAUCCAGAGUUGGCAGCCGUAGUGUAUGCCCUGAAGACAUGGCGACAUUACCUCUUGGGGAAGCGAUGUGAAAUAUACACCGACCACAGGAGUCUAAAGUAUAUCUUUACUCAAAGGGAAUUGAAUAUGCGGCAGCGAAGAUGGUUGGAAUUAAUUGACCAGAACAUUCAAUGCCACCCCGGUAAGGCCAAUGUGGUGGCUGAUGCCUUAAGUCAGAAGGCCAACACCUUGAAUGUUAUUCUCAAGGAAAGGCUACCCGCCUUAUAUGAAGAGAUGGAAAGCUUAGAGUUUGAGCUAGUUGAACCAGGAUUCCUAGGUAACCUCGAGGUCAAACCCACACUCGCAGACGACAUCAAGGAUGCCCAGAAGGGGCACCAGAGCAUCGAAGCCAUCAAACAGAAGAUCCAGGAAGGCAAGGCCCCAGAAUUCUCGAUGGAUGAGCAAGGAGUAGUGUGGUUUGGGAAACUUUUAUGCGUACCCAACAAGGCAGAACUCAAGGACUUGAUCCUGCAGGAAGCUCAUGACACACCCUACUCUAUUCACCCCGGUGGCACCAAGAUAUAUGAGGACCUCCGGGAAAUAUCCUGGUGGCAUGGCAUGAAGAGGGAAAUAGCGUCCUAUAUCGCCAAGUGCGACAUAUGCCAACGGGUCAAGGCUGAGCACCAGCGACCUGCUGGAUUGCUACAACCUCUCCAAGUGCCCGAAUGGAAGUGGGAUUGAGUCGGCAUGGACUUCAUCACCGGUAUACCCAGGUCCAGCAGAGGCCAUGACUCUAUAUGGGUCAUCCUCAACCAUCUGACCAAGGUGUCUCACUUCAUUCCGGUCAGCACCACCUAUGGUGGCGACAAGCUGGCUAGCCUCUACAUUGCGCGUAUCGUGAGCCUCCAGGGAGUUGCCAAGGAGACAGUGUGUGACCGAGGCACACAGUUCACCUCAAGAUUCUGGAAGAAGUUCCAAGAAGCUCUCGGAAACAAGAUCUUUUUCAACAUCGCCUUCCACCCACAGACAGGCGGACAAACGGAGAGAGUGAAUCGGAUACUCGAAGAUAUGCUCCAGGCUAGUGUCUUGGCACAUGGGACCAAAUGGGAAGACUGUCUGUCGUUCGCUGAGUUCUCCUACAACAACAACUACCAGUCCAGUCUCCAGAUGGCCCCAUUUGAAGUGCUAUACAUACGAAAGAGCCGCACCCCACUCAACUGGUCUGAAACCGGCGAAGGGUUGAUUUUUGGGUCAGAAGUUCUGCGAGAAGCACAAGACAAGGUGCAACUUGUCCGGGAAAACUUGAAGGCAGCCAAGUCGCGACACAAGAUCUAUGCGGAUUCUCUCUGCAGAGAAGUGGAGUUCAUUCCAGGAGACGAGGUGUACCUCCACAUCACACCUCUUAAGGGAAUCAAGCAUUUCCACGUCAAGGGGAAACUUGCUCCAAGGUUCAUUGGACCUUUUAAGAUCACGGCAAGGUGUGGAGAAGUUGCUUACAAGUUGGAGCUACCUCCGGAACUCUCGGGUCUGCACAACGUCUUCCACGUGUCACAACUUCGGAAGUGUCUGCAAGCGCCAAACCGUCCAGAUCUUUAUAAGAACAUUGACCAUCAAGCCAUCAACCUCCAAUCGGAUCUCACUUAUCGUGAAAGGCCGAUCCGCAUCCUGGAUGAAGCAGGCCGUUGCACCAGAAGCCGCACCAUCAAUUACUUCAAGGUUCAGUGGAGCAACCACACCGAAGCAGAAGCAACAUGGGAACGUGAAGACUAUAUCUGAUCUGAAUUUCCUCACGUUUUUAGCAACUAGAUUAGGAAUCUCGGGGAAGAGAUUCUUGUAAGGGGGAUAGGUCUGUCAGACCCUGUUUUUACCUCACUUCACCUAUAGUUUCAAAAUCUGAGUUUAUUGAGAAAAUUCCAAAACCGAUGUCGUGAGUGCCAUGAUUGUCAUUGUGUGCGUGUAUGCUUGAGUGAGUGUAUUCAAAAACCAUAUUUUUAUAACAUGAUUAUUGUCAAAAGAUUCUUUUUUCUUAUUUUGACUAACUUAAAACCUUGCUUUGGGUUUGCACUACAAGUCCCUGAUGACAAGGGAGUGCCUUUACCCAAAGAUGGUAUUAGAACUAUUUUUACUCUCCAAUAUCAGAAAAUAAUUAUUUUUCAAAUUAUUUUCCUAUUUUAGAUCCAUGUCCAUUUCUAAGGCUUGAAAUGAUAUUUCUAUAUGAAAAGUUACAUUUCUGCCUUAGAAAAAUCUGCGAAAAUUUGGAGAUACUCAGAGGACAUAUAUUUUCCUUACAUAAGAUUUUCAACCCCUAUUUAUAUUCAAAAUAUUUGAGCAAACCCUUGAAAACCAACUCUGUCUAUUUUGACCUUUUGAAAUAUUUCCAAAGGAAAUAUUUCCAAUAAAUUCCAAGAAAAUUCCACCAAGCUUCCCAAGUUAUAUUUGGUGACCACACCAAGUUUCACCUCAUUCCAAGGUGGUUUGGUUCACUAAAGUAUCCUAAAACCCUCUUUGUCCAGAAUCAAGUUGAACAUCUCUAAAUUGCAAUUUAUCCAAAUGGGUUGAAACUCUGCAGGAGUGUUCAACACCCCAAAUGAGGAGUCUCUGCCAAAAAUGGGAUUUGCAGGAGGUAAUCUACCCACAUUCUCUUUGGAAGGGACAUAUCUGCCCAUUUGGUGGUGAUUUGGAGUUUGCAUUGCCAAACUUGUACAAUGAAGCUCAAAUUUGGUAGAGCAUCCUAUUUUUCCAUGAAACUCAAUCCUGUUAACUUUCAUCACCAGUGGUGAAGUGUAGCUACCCCAAACACCUGUCGAACACCUUCUGCCAGAUUAGUAAAACAGCUCCUACCUCACUCCACACCCAUACACUUUCCUUCAAACUCAUAGACCAAAUAACCAGCACCACUCCUCUACUGUAGGUGAGUGGCCCCUCCUUGAAUCCAAGCAGAAGAGCCAAAAACCCCAUUCUAAUUUCUGGCUCAAGUCUGUCAUCACUCCUUUAAUCACUUCCCUUGACCAGCAGGGAGUCUCUCGGCUCUCAAACGGCUAAGGGUCUUCCGACCCAGCCCCAGGACACACCAGACACGGCCAAGGCGCCCAGAGCGCGCCAGCAUGCCAUGGCAUGCCAAAACUGGGCUCUCGGCACGCUAUAUGGCACACCCGAAGCAAAGGUGGCCAGACCUGGCCGGUUCAAGCCUCCCCCCGUUGCCCAUUCGCGUCCCCGACAAUCCCUCUGCAUCACGGCAGCCUCAGGGCCCCUCCUCCCUCGCUGUGUUGAUUGGAGUGACACAUGCCUGCGCGCGCCAGAUUCGGCCGGAAGACCGCGGCCACACAUGCACGCUCCUCCUUGCUCUCUCUCCCUCUCAGUGGGUCACAGGGGUCCUGAACCACAUCCGUAAUACCGUGGUUUCGAUCCCGAGAGCUCACUGCCCCUCCUAUGAGCCACGGUGACACCACAGGCGCCUCCAGCUCGGUGCACCGUCGGGGGCCUAUAAAUAGGCCUUCCCCCUUGCUCCAGCACCCUCAUGCCCCUUCUUUAGAGCCUAAAUCACACCCCUAGACACCCCCAUUCGAGCACAACGAGCUCCUGUGCUCGAGAUCGACCGAGGCCCUGCCGCUUCGGAGCUCCGUCGAUCUCGGGCUACAAGCAACUCCGAUGCUCCUCUCUCCUUCUCCGUGACCCUAGAAGCCCCAGGGAGCUUCCCCAUAACCUCCCCGAGCUAAUCCCUGCCUGUAGCACCUAUUUCAUCAACCUCCCAAAUAGGCUGCGCUGCAGCCACCUCGUCUACGGUGAACCAGGGCCUCCUCGUCAACCCUUCGACCACCAGCAGGUAGGCGACGGUGAGAUGGUUCUAUUCCUGCCAUCAGUUGGGCUCGAGGGCAUCGGUAACGCCGGGGGCGUGCCUUCCCUCCCCUCUGUCCAGAGGUGGAAGACGACCCCAACAGGUGGGGCACACCUGUCGGUGGCUCUUCUCUCUCCCCCUCUCUCCUCUUUGCCGCUGACCGCACGGGGCCACACGUCAGGUUUCAACCUGACGGCGCAUGCGCCUGGGCUAGCAGGCUGGCUGGCCAGCUGGGCUGGCCCAAGCCACAGGUCGAGCCACGUCUGAGUCAAAUCCCCUUUUUCUUUUCCUGUUUAAUCUAGUUUUAAAGGAUUUUCGUAAAACUUGUUAUCCAAUAUAUUUUAAUUAUUUUUUCAAAAUACUAAUGUAGAUUUAUCACAAUAGGACAACAUUUUUAAAGUAAGUUUGUGCUCUCUUUUUGUGUGAGCUACUUAUUAUUUCAUUAUUUACUACGACGGUAGAUACCACGUUUGAGGAAGGAGUUGGACUCGAGGACCCCGGAUACUUAGCUGAUCAAGGCAAGCAACCCUUUGACCAUGUUUGAGCAAAUAUUAUAUUGCAUGCUGAGUAGAGCAAUUAUUAUCGUUGCAUAUGACCAUGUGUAUUCAGUAAAUCAUCGAUAUGAUGUUUCUAAUGGCUCCUCCGGAGCACUUGCAUUUGAGCAUGAUCCUACGACCUAUGAGGGUCACGGCAAUAUCAUGUUGUCAAGUAAAGAUAAGCAUAGUAGAAGCACGAGCAUGAUGAUGGUAAAUAUCAAAGGUUUAUGAAAAUCCCGACAGGUGCCACUAAUGCCCGAGGGUGAAGAUGAGUUAGGUGGACACUUGUGAAGAAGUGGUGCACCAGGUGUAUUUUGGUGUGAGUGGUUUCGGAAACAGGGUUAGAUUUAUGAUGUGUCGACCGUCCCAACCUUACAUGUGCGACGAUGUUGCCCCUUUAUGGGACGGGGCUUUGUUGAUUACUCUAGUCGGUGCUAGCAAAGAGCCACAUUACUAGUGGCAGGAGUGAUGUGUGAUCACUCUCGUGACAGGGUCGUGCCAGGUAGGACGACUAUGCCGUUUCUACGUGUUUCGGGCACACCGUUGGUCCCCACAUGGAUGAUACUGUCCAGAGUUGGUGCUCGGAAGACGUACAUCAUGUGUGUUGGGUACCAAUCGAGUGGAUCUCCUUGUCUAGUAUCGUCAAGGGAAAGGCAUUAAUCGGGUAUUUACCUCGGGUAUGUUAUAUAACGCGAGUCGUGGACAUGGAAGUUUCCCAGAUCUCAUGGGUACAACGUACAACCUCUGCAGAGUGUAAAACUGUUGAAAUAGUUGUGUCCACGGUCAAGGACAGUUGGGUAAUCCUGCUUAAACUACAUCUAGGCCUUUCCGUAUAAACCAAGUGUGAGUGUGAGUGUGUGUGUUUAAUGGUUUAUUUGAAAGAGUUGAUAUGACCAAGUUUGGUGACUUGGCAUAUCAGGUGAACCCGAAGUGUUCAGCCCUUAACAGAUAUGUUGAUAUUUGUAACAUGUUCUUCUAAAUACCAUCUAGCUUAUGUUGCACAUGCAUCUAUGAUCAUGUUUAUUUCAGUUAAGCUGCUAUCCACCAAUACUGCAUAUUACUUGUGAUCAUACAUACUACAUUAUCCAUAUCAUCGGCUGUUUGCGAUUACAUUCAAAGUACUCACUGGCUUGCCACUAGUUAUGUUAUUGACCAUGCUUGGAAGGAGCGGAGUUUGGAGAAGAGAAUUUCAUCGAAGACGGACUUGCGAACUAAGACGCUUCCCAGUCAGAAUGCCUGUUGGUGUAGGUUGAUGGCCUGGGCACCCGCUUAGCCCCAAGAUUUUCGCAAGUAGAUGUAUCGGUGUGAUUGGCCUUAUAUGCCCUACCUAUGAGAACUUGACCUUGAUGGUCAUUUGAUGUAUUAUUUCGGUAUGUUGGAUGUAAGACUCUUAAUAUUCAGUAUAUGUGUGUUCGGUGAGCAUUGAUCUCUAGGAUCACUGAGCGUGUUCAUUCGGCGAUUUUGACUUGUAAGUUAGGGUCCCCACAUUAUUAGUUCAUGUCCGUUGUGCGUAUAUCAUCCCCCUUUUAUUCUUGUACUCGUAAGUUAGCCACUCAAAUAAAUGCUUAGUUGCUUGCUGCAGCCUCACCACUUAACCAUACCUCACCCAUUCAGCUUUGCUAGUCUUGAUACCAUUGGAAAUGAGAUUGCUGACUCCCUGAGGCUCACAGAUUACAACAAGAGUUGCAGGUACAUGUAAAUCGAUACUUGAGGUGAGCGCGAUGAUUGUUCUAUUUGGAGUUUUCUUCCUCUUCUUCUUCAUCAAUCUAGGAUGGGUUCCGGGCCGACAGCCUGGGAUAGCAAGGAUGGACGUCCUUUCUUUUAUCGUUUGAUUUCAUCCGUAGUCGGACCCUGCACUUCUACAUGGUGAUUGAAUAUAUCAUUGUAUUGAGUUGUUCAUGUUGUAGCUUGUUGCGAGUUUAAGCCAAUUCCAUACACUCAUCUCUUCUGUACAUGUACUUGUAAUGAUAUCCAUUCUCGCAAAACAAUGAGAUGCACUCUUAUCCGUGUCAAGGACCUCGUGCCAAAACAAGGAUAGGAUCGCAUCUUGGGAAUUACAAAGUAGGUCAUUUCAUUGCUGAUUGUCCUUGAUGGGAGAAGGAAUCAAAGAACAAGAGAAUGAACUAUGAUUCCGAUGACAAGAAGAAGAACUAGAAUCACAAGUCUUCAUCCAAGUAUUUGUCGCAUAAGAAGAUCUUCAAAGCACAUGCUUUCAUUAGCAAGGAGGUGGAUUCUAAUGCUGAAUCUAGGUCUGAAGCUAAAGACGGAUCUGAGGAGGAGUCUGAUUCUGAAGUUACUGGCUAUGGGUUUGACUGCUAGGACACGCUGGUAUGUGGAACUUGCAUACACUCACCAAGAAUAAUCACAUCAUUGGCGUCGAGGGUGUCUGUGAAGUGGGAAAGAUGACUAGGGCUAAACAUCCCUCAAAGAUUAUCAUAUCGACUUUCAGUACCUUCGAGCUACUCCACAUGGACUUAUUUGUCCCUACUCACUAUUCCACUUUCUCUACCACUGCAAACCUACAUGGCUUCGUAAUUGUUGAUGAUUACUCUAGAUAUACCUGGGUAAACAUCUUCCAUUAUAAGAGUGAAGUGCAGGAUGUCUUCACGUGCUUUACAAACAGGUGCAUGACCUACCACAACAUCAAUAUUAAGCAUGUCGUGAGUGACAAUGGAACGGAAUUCAAGAACACAGGCCUAGAUACCUUUGUGGACUCUCCGGGUACCACUCACGAGUUGUCUCUCCAUACACACCAUAGGAAAAUGGUGUUGUGUAUUGCAAGAACAUGACACUUAUUGAGAUGGCUUCACCAUGCUUGAGGAAUACAAGACACCAAUAAAAUUCUGGCCUGAAGCCAUUGACAUCGCAUGCCACAUCAACAAGAGGGUAUAUCUUCAUAAAUUCCUCAGGAAAACCUCAUAUGAGCUACUGCUCGUAAGAAACCCAACACCGGUUAUUUCAAAGUCUUUGGUGUAAAAUGUUGGAUUAGAGAUCCACACCACACGUCAAAAUUCGCACCAAAAGCACAUGAAGGUUUUAUGCUUGGUUAUGGAAUGGACUCGCACACCCACAAGGCUUCAACAUUUUCCACAAUAAAAUUGUUAAAACUCUAGAUGCGUGGUUCGAUCAAACUAAUGGCUUUCAAAGAGAGCACUUGCCUCGUGUGCUAGAUGAAACUACUUCAGAUGAAGCUAUCCAGUCGACGGUCCUGGUGAAAUCAUACCUGAGGAACGAGUAGUCGAGGAAGUCAUCAUCCCUCCACUAGCUCAUCACGAAGACAAUGCUCCUCCUGAACAUAAUGUCGCUGAUGAAGAAAAUGCUCUACAGUAGAACCAAAGUCUUCUACCUACUCAUCCUCGUGUGGCAAAUGAAGUUCAAAUCAAGAAGAUGCUCAACAACAUUAAUGCACCAGGUCCUCUCACUCGCUCAAGAGCUAACCAAUUGGCUAACUUUUCUGGGUACUUUGCUUUUGUGUCAAUCUCAAAGCCCACCAAAGUAGAUGAAGCCUUCAUGGAAUCAGAAUGGAUUCAAGCCAUGUAAGAAGAGCUUGAUCAAUUCAAUCUCAACAACAUAUGGGAGCUAGUCAAGCAUCCCAAUCCAUGCAAUCACAAUGUCAUCGGCACAAAGUGGACCCACCGCAACAAGCGAGAUGAAUCUGGCCAAGUGGUCAGAAACAAGGUUCGACUUGUCUCUCAAGGCUGCACACAGGUUGAGGGUAUUGAUUUCGAUGAAACGUUUGCACCUAUGGCUAGACUUGAAGCCAUACACAUAUAUCUUGCUUAUGCUAACCAUCAUGAUAUAUGCUUAUACCAAAUGGAUGUCAAAAGUGCAUUCCUCAAUGGUAAGAUUGAGGAAGAAGUAUAUGUUGCUCAACCACCAGGGUUAUUAGAUCCAAAACACCCCGACAUGGUCUACCGGCUCAACAAGGCAUUGAAUGGCCUCAAACAAGCACCAAUGGGCUCGUAUGACACACUCAAGGAAUUUCUCAAGGAGAAAGCUUCAAAAUUGGUUCAUUCGAUCCCACUCUUUCACUAAAUCAUAUGAUGGUGAACUGUUUGUAUGUCAAAUCUAUGUUGAUGAAAUUUUAUUCGGAUGCACUAACAAUAAGUAUAGUGAUGAGUUUAGCUUCAUGAUGUAAGAGCAAUACCAGAUGUCUAUGAUGGGAGAGGUGAAAUUCUUCCUAGGGCUUAAGAUUUGAUAGUUACCAAAUGGGAUGUUCAUAUCACAUGAGAAGUACCUUAAAUACUGCCUCAAUAAGUUUGGCAUGCAUGAUUGUUAAGGCUACAAGAUGCUAAUUCAACAAACGGCCACCUCUACACUGACGAAAAUGGUGAAGAAUUUGACGAGAAGGUAUAUUGCUCCAUGAUUGGCUCUUUAUUCUACCCAUGUGCAUCUAGGCGAGAUAUAAUGUUUAACAUUUUCAUGUGUGCCUGAUUCCAAGCGGCACCAAAGGAGUCGCAUCACCUCGCGGUGAAGCAAUGUCGUGGAACAACACGAGCACCUAUGGAGCCUACAUGCCCCUUAUGGUUUGGCGGGGGAGAAGGAUCGGGAGCAACAAUCUUUUUAACCUAGGUUGGGGCCGCUCAGGAGCGUAAAACCCUACUCCUGUGUCGUGUUGAUGGUGUGAAAGUUGAUGGUUACUUAGCGUCAAUUUUCCCACUCACUAACCUUUUUAUAAUGCAUCCCCAGGGCCUCCUUUUAUAGGUGGAAGGGAACUCCCACAGGGGCAGCAUCGGAUUUUCACGAGGUGCACAGUGCACCCACAACUUAUACAAUAAGCUAGAGCGGUUCUGGUGUCUUGGCAGACGCAUUAAAUGCUUCAUCAGGUGCCUCAGAGAUGGGACAAGAGUGUGUCCCACCAGCACUGUGCUCCCAAAUUUUUCUUGACACGCAUCGACUGGGAUGACACGUAUCAAGUUGCGAGGGGGCAGCUGGCUGUUGUGCUGGCACGCGACUCCUCGGGACCUUGUCGGGCUCGCUGAGUGUUGGUAUGCUGGCGGAUUCCCCUGACAAGGAGCUUGUCGGGGCCGUGUUGCCUUCCUCCCGGCAAAAGGGGCUUGCUGUGGUCUUGUCGCUAGUCUUCGGUCUUGGGGCUUCUAGGGCCUUCAAGGUAUAUUCUAGCGGGCACCAUUGUGGCCUUGCCGCAGACGGGGCUCUUAAUUGUCCGUGCACCGGUGCGGGGCAUCAAAGGCCUAAUCUUUGAUUCACCGACAUGAGCCCCCUAGCCUAGGCCAUACCGGAUGCGGGACGUCGUUGGGCCACGCACAAAAGCAGUGCCCAGGCAGUUGAGUUUAAGAUCGGGUGGCCGCGAUUUUACCAUUAUCGUGCCCCUGUCUCCCCACAACACGUGUCAAACGCGCAACUGGGGGUCGUGGGUGGAGUGGUUGAGUCGUCGGGGCCCGUGCAGGGGCCGCCUUGGGGUGGCGAAGGGGCAGCCUAGUGGUGUGCCCUCAUAAAGAAGAAACCACCCAGGACAUCGCCCGUUAUCCCCCGUUUUCGCCCAAAUCCCAGCACUACUGCCACUGCUCCCCCUCCUCCUUCGAGCGCAAAGCAGAGCUCCUCUCAGCCUCCCGCUACCUCCUAUAUCACCUCUCCUACGGUUCUAGCAUCCCCAUUUGCCAUGGCGCCCAAGGGAAGCAAGGGGAAGGAGGCCGACACAGAGGGCGAGAUGGCGACGAUGCAACAGAAGAUGGUCGUCUUCCCCCCAGGGCUGGAAGCGGAGGCAUUGAAGGCCCGAUACUUGGUCAUGUGGGCAAGGGAGACGAAGCCGCACCCCAACACCAGCGUGAGACCGAGUUCCGCGGGCAGCGAGCCGAACGGGUACCCCUUCUUCAUGGAUUAUUUUUACUGCGUCCUUUGUCCCCCUUACUUUGAUUUCUUGGUGGAGGUCGUGCGCUCUUACUGCCUCCGGCUCUUGGAUUUUAUGCCAAAUGCGGUUACCUGCAUGGCCGUGUUCGUGCAUUUGUGCGAAAACUUCGUCGGGGUCGUCCCCAAUGUCGCCCUCUUGUGCCAUUACUUCAACCCUCGCAUCCAAAAGGGGGAUGAGCUCUCCGGUUUCCUUGCCAGGAUCCCCUGACCAAAGAGGCGUACAUAGACGGGGUUUACCGCGAGAAGUGGGAAGAAUGGCAUGGGAAGUGGUGCUGGGUUAUGGAAGAGAAGCCCCACGCUUUCUGCAAGCCCAGGACCACCACGAUCUUGCGUGGCAGGGGCUGGAUUGACUUCGAUCUGGCGGACAAGAACCUUUCUGUUGCCGCCACCAGGAUCUUGCGCCUCCGAGCUGUCGGGCUCACAGUUGAGAUGUUAGCUGCAGAUUUCCUAUGCCGACGCAUCGCCCCCUUGCAGAAGGGAGGGAGGCCGGCCUGGGAAUAUAAAAACACGGCAGAUAUCAUGAGAUUGCACCCCGGAAUAAAUGGCAACCUGACAGUGAUGCAUCAUGCGACCAUCUGUUAGAAGUUGUUCAAGCCCGAGGGAAGUUCAAGAUGACGGCGAAUGUCAUCGGUUUGUGCAACAACUCCUUCGUUAGCUCUAUCAUCGCCAUGAUGCCUAAAUGUAAUGCCCGCGGCCUCGACUCGUCGUGGGAAGAGCCUAGUGCAGAGCAGGCGCUGCAAUUCUUCGACAACCUGACGGAGGUGGCCGUCCAGGUGGAAGACAACGUCUUCCGCCCCACUGUUUAUGAGGAGGUGGCAUACAUUGCAUCCAGGUUCAAUAGGUAGCCCUUGCCGAGGCGGCCGGCAGCGCGGGAUUCCUGGACGAGUCCAGUGAGGAUGCUACUUUGUCGGAGGAAACAGUUGUCGGGCUGGACGAAGUUGCCGGGGAACACAGCGGUGCCGCCAUGCGGGGUCUUUCCGGGGAGGAAUCGGUCGACGAGGAGGCUCCGGGAAAGCCCCCAGCUCCCAAUAAGAAAAGUGUCCUCCGUAACGCAACCUCCGGCGUCCUGGUUCAGCAAUCCUACGCGGACGCCGCGGCUAAGCGCCACUGGAGUGCCACUCUGCCGGCUCCUUUGGAUGUUGACCAGGGUCCAAUUUGAUCUCUCCGUCUACGAAUCGAAGGAAGAGGAAGAGUAAGGCGUACUCCCAUAUCGUCUGGUUCCCGCCUCGUUGAUUUGAUUCGCUUAUUUUGUCCUGCUUUGGCUGUUGCAGGGACCUGGAACCUUUGACGCAAAGGUCUUCGAAGAAGGCGAAGGCUUUGACGGGCGACGAGCCCUCGACCGACACUUCAGAGGUGCCGGGGAAGAUCUCGGUCAGCCCGGAGCCUGGCUACCAACGAAGCCCCCUGCGCAGCCCCCAGCGUGGGUUUUCUACCGAUUUCCCACUCGAGAGUGUUUGGACAGUAGUAUUCUCCACUGACAUCGCCGGUCCUGCAGGAGAGGAGCGGCGGCGAGGCCAAACUCUAGAGGCUGCUCCCGACGUGCAGCCCCCGUCUCCCACGUUUCCCAUGGAUGGGUCCCCGGCAAGUGUUAACGCUGACGAGGCUGUCUCUGCCGAGGAGGGUCCGGCAGGCGCAGGGGCUGGUGGCUCUGCCUCUAUAAUCGACAUUGCUGGGGAGGAAGCGACCAGAUCCCGUUGUCCUCGCCGAGGUAAGUUGUUUGCGUGAGAACACGCGAGAUUGUUCUCUCUCUCUCUUUUUGUCCUCUUGAACUUCCUGCUUUACGCUUUCCCUUGUCAACCUUUUUCUGGCCUUUUCGGAUCUGCCUCUGAUGGAGGAUACGAACGUCGACUUUGUUAUCGAGGAGAUCUCCAGGGACGCAUCUGCUAAAUCGUAUGAGGUUGCCGCUAGUGAAGCCGCGGCCAGCCAAGAGGAGGCCGCUGAGGAUGUUGGGGAGAAGGCUGACGAGGGAGCCGGUGGCCGUACCGACGGCAUUCCUCCCACGGGAGCGUGAAGCGCUACGUCGGGCACGAAAUCUCGAGUCGGCGUGGAAGGAAACGCGGGGGACAAUCCUUCGACGUCCAAACCACCUUCUCCACCAACAUACCUUGACGUUGGCCCGGACCAGUUUGUGAGCAUGCCGGGGACGGUCUGCUCCAUGGAGUUUGUCGACCGGGAGGCUCUGGAUGGUGAGGUUUUCGUUGCCGCCGGGCUGAAACUCAUAAGCGACUCGGGGGCCGGCACUAGUGCGUCCAUGGAAGAGCAGCUCCUCUAGUGCAUCGGCGACAACUUCCGCCAGCUCUGUGAAGGCACAAGCUGGAUGCCCGACAGGCGAUCGUCGAUGCGGCGGAGACAAAUUGUCAAGAUCGCUUUGAGCAGACGCAGGCCUGGUUCUCCGAGGCCCAGCGGGGGCUAGAGGAAGACCGGUCGCGCGCGGGAAGAGCAGAACGAUCUUCUCCUGAAGCGAUCUGAUGUGGAGCAGGCAUGGAGGAGGCCUCGAAGCAGGCCGCCAAGGAGGAAGGCCGUCUAUGACAGCUUUGCAUUGCACUAGAUGCUCACGAGGACGACCUAGUUGCACGCGAGAAAGCACUCCCCCACAGGCUUCGCCGCAAGGCGAAGAGGUCGAGGGGCUCCUCGCUCAGAGCUGGCUUGUAAGCAUUAAGAGGUUCUCGUGGCUCUGGUCGCGGAUCACAGUGGCAAGCUACAAGCUGUCGACGACACCAUCGCUGUCGCGGAGUCCGACAAAAGCGAGCUCGCCGCCAAGGUGGCGCAACUGGAGUCCGCCGAGAGUGAGCUCGCCGGCAAGGUGGUCCAACUAGAGUCGGCCCUUGCGGGCUCCGGCAAGGAGAUCUGUUCGCUUAGAUCGGAGAAGGAGUAGGCCCUCCUCGACCUGGCGGAGAUGCAGAACACCGUCUCCGACAAGGCCACCCAGCUUGCUGACGCUGACGCUUCCCUUGCCGAUCUGAGGCUCAUACUAGCUACCCUGGAGAAGGAUAUCGAGGGUGGCAAGGACCGUGACAGGGUCUUGGCCAAGGAUCUCGCUCAUGAGAGGACCAAGCUCGAGGACGCAGCCUCUGCCCACGGCAAUUAUCCCGCAGAUGUGUGGAUCUGGACCGAGCGUCUUGUCGAUCUCGCCGGCAGGCUCACGACGCAGCUGUCCACCAUGGGCCUGUCUGGCUUCCAGUUUUCUUCCAACGCCAGGACAUCCCAGAGCGCCAGGAUCACACUGUUCUUUGACAGUUUGGUCGAGGCCCUCGAGCAGCUCCAAGCUCGUGAAGCCGCCCGCUUGGCCCAUGAGUCCCAUAAGCUUUGUCGGGCCGUUCUCCUCAAGGUGCUCACCAAGGUAGCUUACAAGAACCCCGGUGCCAAUUUCUCCAACGUGUUCGAACGCUUGCCGCAACUACUCUUUCUCAAGCUCAUCAUAAGCGAGCACUCGAGGUGAUGCGUAAAUGAGUUUCCUGGGGAGAACUGCUUCCGCCCCGUAAAGUAGGGAGAAAGGUGUUUGGCCAGUGGCUCUAUUGGGUGUGGUUCUGAUUGACCAUAGUGCUGUUGGCAGCUCAUCAAUUCAGCGCUUCCCACACUUGUGCAGUUUGUCGAAAGUCCUCGUGUUGAGACCUCGCAGUACUUCAGCGUUUGCCCUUUCUACUUGGCCGUUGCUCCUUGGGUGGGCGACGGAUGCAAAAUAAAUUAUGCUGCCAAGGUCUUGGACAUAUUGCAUGAAGGUGCGGCUCGUGAACUGGGUGCCGUUGUCGGUGAUGAUCCUGUUUGGAACACCGAAACGACAAACCAACUCCUUCAGGAACAUGACUGCUGACUGCGCUGUCACCUUCCUCACUGGCUCUACUUCUGGCCACUUUGUGAACUUGUCUAUAGCAACGUACAAGUACUCGAAGCCCCCGGCCGCGCGAGUAAAGGGGCUAAGGAUUUGGAGCCCCCAGAGUGAAAAGGGCCAGGUGAGAGGGGUUGUCUGGAGAGCUUGAGCUGGUUGGUGCGCUUUCUUUGAAUGGAAUUGGCACGCCUCAACCUUGGUCACCAGCGUCUUCGCGUCCUGGAGAGCCGUUGGCCAAAAGAAACCUUGCCGGAAUGCUUAGCCGACAACAACCCUUGAUCCUAUGUGAGUGUCGCAUAUUCCUCUAUGUAUUUCUGCCAACAGCUCCAGUCCAUCUUCCCGGGGGAUGCAUUUCAAUUUCACUCCGUUGGGUCGCCUUCUGUACAGGAUGUUGUCCACAAAUUGUUACAAGUUCUACUGGCGGGCUACUUUUUCGGCCUCCUCUUGUUCUCCAGGAAGAUCUCCUGUCUGAAGGAAUUGGACGAUGUGUUGUGCCCGCGUCGGAGCCUGUGGCUCGACGGCGAUGAUUAGAGGCAUGUCUUCCGCCGCGGGAGCAUCUACCUCAACAGCAAGGAUCUGGGGUCCUGCCGGAGUCUCUUGCCCCUCGGCAAGGUUGGCACUGUCCUCGGCAACCUCCCUGCCGGCGGAAUCCUUGUCGGCUCCUUCCGACAGGUCGGCAGGAAAGUAUUGGCCGGAACUCAGCUUUCUUCUUUUAUCUGGCUUCGUUGAUGGGGCCACGGUUGGUUGAGUCAGACGGAGCACGAAAGUCCCUGGUUCCACAGGUAACUUCAGUGCCGCAUGCUUUGAUAGGUCGUCGUCAAUGGUAUUUUCACCACAUGGGAUGUGCUCCAUUUGUAGACCAUCGAAGCACUCUUGCAUCUUCCUCACUUCAUCUACAUAGGCCUCCAUCAACGGACUCUGAUAAUCUUUGUUUACCUGCCGGACCACGAACUACAAAUCGACUCUGACGAUGAGCUUCCUUAUUCCAAGGUCUGCCGCGAUCCUAAGACCGGCAAGAGGGCCUUCGUACUCGGCAAUGUUGUUUGUCGACUUCUCCCGAGGGAAGUGCAUCUGGAUCACAUACUGUAGGUGUUCUCCGUUGGGGGCGACAAGAAGCACGCCGGCCUCGGUACCUUGUAGUGAGAAAGCUCCAUUGAAGUACAUGACCCAUUCUCGACUUGUUUCCUUUUCAGGGAGAGUCGUCUCUUGAGUUUCUUUUUCCGGCGUCGGGGUCCAUUAUGCGAUGAACUCUGCUAUGGCUCUGCUCUGGAUUGUUAAGAUGCUUUCGAACUUGAGGUCAAAGUUGGACAGCUCCAUGGCCCAUUCCACAAUUCUGUCGGUGGCCUCGGGGUUUCGUAGGAUCCGUUGCAACGGGAAGCGGGUGACCAUAGUGAUCUCGUGUGCUCGGAAGUAGUGGCGCAACUUCUCGAGCCCAUGAGGAGGCCAAAUAGCAAUUUCUGUACCCCAGAAUACCUCGAUCGGGUUCCAUGCAAGAGGGAGCAAACAAAGUACACGGGGCGUUGCACCAAUCUCUUAUUUUGCAUUGCACCGCUUGCCGGGGUAGACCCGUCUUCUGCCUCGUCUGGGCUUGGUUAUCUAUUUGAUGGCUCUGUGCUCGAUCGUGCUGCCUCAGCCGUUGCAUCUUCGCUUUCUUCCCUUUGGGUCACUAGCACAACACUAACCACUUGGUUGGUUGCCGCCAAAUACAGCAGCAAUGGUUCUUGGGGUUUAGGUGCGACAUUUGUCGGCAUGGAGGAGAAGUACCUCUUCAGGUCUUGCAGCGCUGCCUCCGCCUCCGGAUUCCACUUCAUAGGACCUGCCUUCUUCAAAAUUUUGAAGACGGGCAGGGCACACUCAGCAGACUUGGAGAUGAACCUUCCUAGGACAGCCAUGCAGCCGGCAAGACGGCGCACGUCCCUCAUGCGAUUGGGUGCCUCAAUCUGUUCUACAACCUUGAUCUUGUUGCGGUUCGCUUUGAUCCCCCGCUCGGAUACAAAGAACCCGAGGAGCUUGCCGGACGGGACACCGAACACACAUUUCUUGGGGUUGAGCUUCAGAUUUAUUUUGCGCAAGUUGUUGAAUGUAUCCUCCAUAUCUUGUAUAAGUGUUGCCUUGUCCUUUGUUUUGACCACUAUAUCAUCCAUGUAGGCUUCCAUAUUUCUAUGGAGCUGUGGCUCAAAACCAAUCUGGAUUGCUGUGGAGAAUGUGGAUCCAGCAUUCUUCAACCUGAAGGGCAUGCGCACGAAGCAAUAUGUGCCACAAGGGGUGAUAAACGAUGUUUUCUCUUCGUCCUCCUUUGCCAUGAAGAUCUGAUGGUAGCCAGAAUAGGCGUCUAGGAAGGACAGAAAGUCGCAGCCGGCUGUCGAGUCCACAAUCUGGUCAAUGCGCGGCAAGGGGAAGGGAUCUUUUGGGCAGGCUUUAUUGACAUCAGUAAAGUCGAUACACAGCCUCCACUUGCCAUUCGCCUUAGCACUAUUACCGUAUUGGCCAGCCAUGUAGGAUGGAUGACCCCUCUAACCAAACCUGCUGCCUCUAGCUUCUUGAUCUCCUCGACAAUGAACUCUUGAUGUUCCAAAAGCUUGCUUCCGAACCUUCUGUUUGAUGGGGUGCGCAUGGGGGCAGACGACAAGGUGGUGCUCAAUUACCUUCCUGGGAACUCCGGGGAUAUCAGAUGGUUGCCAUGAAAACACAUAAAGAUUCGCUCGCAGGAAGGCAAUGAGCGCGAUUUCCUAUUUGGGAUCGAGGGUGGGACUGACUGUCAAAGUUCCCCCCGUGCCAUCUUCCCUAGCGGGCACCCUCUUAGUCUCGGGUGGGACAACUUCAGAUUUCUUGCCCCUGGCGCUGGAACUCUCUGGCACAUCGUCGACGCCUAGGCAACACUCCAAAGAGGUGAGUUUGCGAAGGGUGUGCUGGAGGACCUCUUGCGGGUCCUCUUCUUCCCGCCAGCCCUAGCGACAAAAAUGGACGCCUUGGCGGCUGGCGCUGUGGCAGCUUGCUUGUAGAGCCGGUCGGUGCACACAAGUGCAUCUUUCUUGUUAGUGUUGAUGACGAGAACGCCGACAGGCCCAGACAUCUUCAACAUGUUGUAAGCAUAAUGUGACGCGGCCAUAAGUUUUGCCAGCGCGGGGCGGCCAAGAAUCCCAUUGUAGUCCAACGGGAUCUCGGCGACGUCGAAGACGACCUUCUCCGUCUUGUAGUUCAUGUCGCUGCCCAACAUUACCGGCAGUGUGACUUUCCCGUUUGACUGGAUCUUCCCGGGACCGAUCCCUUGGAAUGCUCCUAACUCCUCGAGAUCCUCAUCAGGGAUUUGCAGCCUCUUAAUCACAUCCAGCGAGAUCAUAUUCAUGGCGGCCCCACCGUCGACCAGCAUCUUUGUCACGUUGAGGUUGCGGAUUAUCGGGGAUACCAACAAUGGCAAACACCCUACCGCUAUUGUGCGAUCAGGGUGGUCCUUAGCGUCGAAGACGAUGGGGGUGUGUGACCAUUUCAGCGGCUUUCGGGCAUCGACACAGGGCUCCGCCACAAUGACCUCACGAGCCCACCUCUUAAGGCGGCUGCAGGAAGAGUGUAGCGAGGCGCCCCCGUCCACACACAUCAUGUUGGUAGCUUUCUGGAACUCUUGGUCGCUAGACCCAUCGUGCUGUUGGCUAUAGUCAUCAUCCUCCUCCUCCUUUCCCUUGUCGCAGCCACGGGCAGGUUACUUGUUUCUUGGUUUGGCUCAGCCAAGGCGACUGCCCCUCUGCUUGCCGGACCCCUCAGUGCUCCCCCGGGCAUUCUCCUUGUCACGCUUCUCAUACUCGGACUUUUGCCUUUCUACAAGUUGCUCUACUUGCCGGCAGUCCUGGAGGUCAUGGCCCUUGGUGCGGUGGAUCUUGCAAUAUUACUUGCCGGAGCCCUCUGGCUUGUCUACCGCCGCCAAGACCUGUCAAGGUGCGCAUCUAGCAGCAUCCUUGCCGGGUGUGUGUGCUUUGGCCUUCUUGGCGGUGUUAGGGGUGAUGGUCCCCUCUAAAGCAAAUAUGGCUUUGCCCUUGCGCUUCCGAUGUCGGCUCCUUUUGGCCAACGUGGCGGCGCCUUCGUCCUCGGAAUUAGUUUCCGCGCCAGCUUCCUCACCGAGGAGCCUCCGCCCUUCUUCAGCCCUUGCACAUUUGUCGGCCAAAGCAUAGAGCUCGAGGACAUCCCGGAUCUUGUUCAUCGCCAUCUCUUCGCGCAUCGUGCAGUUCCACACAUUCUGGUGGAAUGCGUUGAUGACCGCAUCAGGGUGGACAUCCGGGAUGUUGUGCUGGAUUCGGCUCAACCUCUGAAUAUACUUCCGCAGGGUUUUGCCUUAUUUCUAGGGGAUGAGGUGGAGGUCGCUUUCUUGACCUGGAGCUCGAUGGCCGUCCGUGCAGGCGCCGAAGAAAUCUUGGCACAGUUCUGCCCAAGAGGAGAUGGAGUUCUUAGGCAGGUGCAUCAAUCAUGAUCUCACGUUGGGCUUGAGCACCAAAGGAAAGUAGUUGGCAAGUAUCUUCUCGUCUCGGCCCCCAGCAGCCUGCACUGCGAUGGUAUAUAUGCUCAAGAACUCGGACGGAUGGGUUUUGCCAUCGUACUCCUCUGGGAUCUCUAGUUUGAACGUGCGGGACCUGGGCCACUGGACGCGCCGCAUCUCACGAGUAAACGCCGGGCAGCCCGCCUCGUAAGGUAGGUCGCCACGGUACCCGGGCGCAGGCGCGUCGAUAGUGGUCCCGACGAGCUUGUCCGACUGGUAGCGCGUUUUCCUGUUGCGCUUGAUCCGCAUACGGACAUCUUUCUUUCGCCUUUCCUCGAGGAUUCGCCGCUGGUCGCGGCGGGUUCGUGGAUCGGACGACACUGUUGAGUCGUCAGAGACAUGGAUCCGUAGAGGUGGCGGAUGUCGUUGCUGCUGACGAGGGGAGUGUAUCGUGGCCGUCCCAUCCACGGCUUUCUCGCCGUGGGUGCGGGUUGGUCUGGUGGAUUAUUGUCCCGAGGGCCCUCCCUACUGCGGCGAAUCGCCGUUUGCAUGGGCAAUAAGGCUUUGGAUCAUGGCCCUCCGUUCUUCGUGCUUGCUUGCUUCCGGGGGGUAGUCCAGAAGCAUUUGCGCUCUUGCGAGCGAUUCCGCCGGCGUUAGCGUCGGCGAGAUGUGCGAGGGGCGUGAGGUGAUCUUACUCCUAACAGAGUUAGAAGGAGCUCUGUUGCGAUCUCAUGCAUGCGUGGCAAUUCCCCCCGCUUCUGGACGUGUGGCGUGGUCUCGGGCUUCCUGGGAGGGACACACCGGAGAUUUCCCUUGACGUCGUCACUCUCUACGAGUAGACCGGGAUGGUCGCGGCGUGCGUGCGGGCGAGGGUGCCUGAGAAGGCGCUUGGGAAGGCAUGUGAGAGGCUGCCCUCCCGUCUUCGGAGUUCACGGCACCGCUCGUGGGACGCUCAACUCUGUCUCCAGGGGUAUUGGGGCGGGGACCGCCGUCAGGCCCGCGGACAGCGCCGCUGGCCUGGGUCUGGUCGCAGGAGUGACGGGGAGGUUCAGGACCUCCACUCCCUCCGACCAUCCCCGCUCACCAUCGUCUUCCUGUGCGGUUGCAGGUGCCUCGGAUGUGGGUGGUUCGGUCGCCAUUGCCCCCCUUCUCUUGGGAGGCAUGGCGCAGAUGAUGUCGAACGUUGGAGCCCCGACUGCUAGGUAAGAUUAGCGCACCUUCUUCUCCCCCUACCUGGCACGCCAAAGAUGUCAUGGAACAACACGAGCACCUAUGGAGCCCACCGGCUCCUUAUGGUUCGGCGUGGGUGAAGGAUGCACGAAGAGCCGACCUAAGGAUCGGGCGCAACAAUCAUUUUUUACCCAGGUUCGGGCCGCUCGGGGGCGUAAAACCCAACUCUUGUGCCGUGUUGAUGGUGUGAAGGUUGAUGGUUACUUAGCGUCAAUUGUCCCACUUCCUAACCUUUUUCUAAUGCAUGCCCAGGGCCUCCUUUUAUAGGCGGAAGGGGACUCCCACAGGGGCAGCAUCGGGUUUUCACAAGGUGCACAGUACACCCACAUGUUAUACAGUAGGCUAGAGCGGUUCUGGCGUCUUGGUAGACACAUUAAAUGCUUCGUCAGGUGCUUCAGAGAUGGAACAAGCGUGUGUCCCAUCAGCACUAUGCUCCCAGAUUGUUGUUGACACGCGUCGACUAGGACGACGCGUAUCAAGUUGCGAGGGGGCAGCUGGCUGUUGUGCUGGCACGCGACUCUUUGAGACCUUUCCGAGCUCGCUGUGUGUUGGUACACUGGGGGACUCCCUCGGCAAGGAGCUUGCCGGGGCCGUGUUGCCUUCCUCCCGGCAAAAGGGGUUUCCCGGGGUCUUGUCACUACUCUUCGGUCUUGGUGAUUCUGGGCCUUCAAGGUAUCUUCUCGUGGGCACCAUAGUGGCUUUGCCGCGGACGGGGCUCUUAACUGUCUGUGCACCGGUGCGGUGCAUCAAAGGCCUAAUCUUUGGUGCACCGACAAGCAAAUACUUUGAUAUUUGGCUCACACCCCAACGCUAGGAUUAUGGUAUCCAAAGGGCUCCAAGUUUGAAGUCAUUGGCUAUUCAGACUCAGAUUUUGCCGGUGAUAUAGUUGAUCGCAAGUCUACAUCAAGCACAUGUCACUUUCUUGGACGAUCACUGGUGUGUUUGUGUUCGAAGAAGCAAAACCGUGUCUCACUCUCCACUAUCGAAGCUGGAUAAAUUGCCGCUGGCACGUGUUGUACACAACUUCUCCGGAUGAAGCAAACUCUCAAGGACUACGACAUCAACAAGAGGAAAGUACCUCUAUACUGCGAAAAUGAGAGUGCUAUCAAGAUAACCUACAAUCCAUACAACACUCAAAGACAAAGGACCUUCAUAUAUGUAACGACUAAGAUGCGGUCCUUUCCUAUUUAGGGGUCGAUGCCCCAAAAUGGAAAUAAGCGCAUCUAUGCGUUUCGCAAGCAAGAUAAACAUAGCACAUACAUAAUUUAAGAAUGACAAAUAGGGAAUCGUUUGCCAUCUCACAUAGAUAAUAUCAGAGUUUACAUCCACACAUUUAUUCAGACAAGGUAAUUCCGCUACGGACUACAUAACAUAAGACAAGGCUAUGCUAUCCCGCAUGCUUGCCCACGAUCACGACAACGGCCUUAGUCUUCUGGAUAGUUCCCGUACAGGCGGUCAUUCUCCUCAUCGUACUGCCACGCCAGCUGUGUGCCAUCUGGAUCACGUGUGUCGGGCGUACCUGUACCUGUUGGGGUGUUGAAGUAAUCUGUGAGCCACGGGGACUCAACAAUCUAUGACCUUAGUACCGAAACUAGUCAAGUUAUUAGGUGAGGAAGGUUCAGUGUUUAGGUUGCAGCAUCCUAAGCAUUUAUGGUGGCUAACAUAUGAAGAACAAGGUUAUAGUUGUGGUGGUCUACGCGAGCGGUCGGAGACUAGAUGAUCACUAAGUGAUCCUGAUCACCUACCUACGUCAAACAUAACCCCACUGUGUUCCCGAUCGAAGAGAGGUCUUCGAAGGGGACAAUCACGGUAACGCACACGGUUGACAGUUUUAUUAGUGUUAGUUCAAGUUAUCUAUAACCAGGUGUUAACAAAUAAUCCAUGUUGCCACAUAACCGCGGGCACGGCUUUCCAAAAGAUUAAACCCUGCAGGGGUGCUCCAACUACUCCAUCACAAACAGUCACGGGCCGCAAAGUAAUCCUCUAUCACGAAUCUCGUGAUCUCGUCGGAUUCCUUAGAGGAAAACCUCAACUCUGGGGAGAACCAAAGCUUCACCGGGAUUCCUAUACGCAUGAUAUAUCGUUAAGGUAAGUCAAGACUAGCAGGACCUCCCAUCGUGUCGACGACCCCGAUAAGAGCUGCGUAUCUCAGUCUCAGGACACGACGGAUGAGCGACGCGUACAGUGGCCUGAUAAAAAUCUCUCAAGUUGCCUUAAGUUGGCCCCGCACAGAGCUCUAGUUUGGACCAACACUAAAGAGGAGCACUGGCCCGCGUUGUUGAUUAAUUCCUCGGCGUAGCUAUUCCCUAUGCAAAUUAUUAUUAGGUGAUUAGCAAGUUAAAACCAAUGUUGGGCCCUGCCGGACAAGUCUUAACAGUACACGAUUUAUCAAGGGGGUCCCCAUAACAACCCCGAACGUGUUAGGAGCGAUCAGUUAUGGAAUCAAACACCGGUAGCCGGAAACUAAGGCAGCAAUAACGAAACAAAUCUCCUGGCAAAAGGCUAGGCCUUCCGUCAUUUAGCAAGUAUAUAGGUGCAUUAAAUAGAUAGUAGUUUAAAACAUAAUGAUAUCAAAACUCAUGUUAUCACAUGAGACAGUUGGCACGUGCAACUAGCAAAGCUAUCAUUAGAAUCUGAGCAAGCCUACUUAGCCAUUCAACAUUAGCUAGGAGGGGAAGGUGUUUGGGUUUCAUGGCAAUAUCAGGAGGCAAUUAUAUCAAGUGGUAGGCAACGAUCAUAUGAUGAAGGAAACAUGAAUCUAAGCAUCACAAAGCUAGUUACGGUAUCAAGGUCACGGUCAUCUUGCCUGUGUGAUGUCUUCAGCUUGGAACUGCUCUUGUUCGUCCUGCACGUACUCUCCCGAAUCCACAAACUCGCUCUCCUAUCCUGGUGCUAUCCAAGAUAAAAAUAACAGCCAAUGAACAACAACACAACAUGAUGUAUUAAACACAUGAUGCAUGAGAUGAGAAUGAAGCAUGCAUCUCUAAUCUAGUCACUUGCAUAUGCAUGAGAAGAGAAGAUAAACUUCUGGGCAGAACUUCUCUCUAAGCUAUCUUGAUAUGCGUGAAUAUGACAUGAACAGGUGCAUCACGAGAAAACAAUGUAAAGACGUAUAAAAAACGUAGCGAACGGAGCUACGGAUCAACCGGAAACUACGGAACAAGAUAUGGAGUCCUACGGAUCAAAUCCAUCACAAGCACACUCCAAUGGCACACUUCUGGUAUCCCCAGGUAGCCACAUGAUCAAACGAACAAGUAUAGGUGGGGUGGUGCAAAGAAACUCACCACACCACCAACUAUGCACUCACAAGCUCCAAAACAACAAAACUAUACAAUAUGUCCUAAACAGCAUCAUAGCAGUUUGUGAGCAACAUGCAAAGCACCUACAACCACCCAAAUGUGCCAAACAAGAUAUGUGGUAAAAGCUAUUCAAAAUCUCUUCAGGCAUGAGCAAGAAGAUAAUACAAAGGAGUUACACACAUAAAGAUCUACAAGUGCUAAGGACAAAAAUAACAGAUUUCAGGGACUUAGCGAAAAUCUCAGAUUCUCACCAGCUGCUUAUGCUCGGAAGCAUUUUGACAGCCCCCAAAUCAAUAUCUAUAGGAAGUGAAAGUGCAUGAAAUUUAACAGAGAGCUAGACAAACACAAAAUCUCCAACUCUCUAGUUGAUUGCAAGGGCUGAUUACCAACACAUGAGCUUUUGCAACCACAACUACAAGGGAAGAAAAUAACAUCAGUUUCUUAGACUUAGUGAAGAUCAUAGAUUUUCACCAAGCUGACAAUUUCAGCCACAUGUUAUUUUUGACAAGGCACAACUUGCACAUACAAACUCCUAAGCAUAAACAAAACUACCAUGUUGUAGAGAAGUUCACCCACUACUGCCACAUCAAGGAAUCAUCCUCAUAGGCUCAUCACACCACAUGGCACCAAGCUCUAAACAUAGCAUCAAGACAGAAAAAUGACAUUUCCAGAAAUUGUCCCAAAGUGAAAUCUGAUUCCACCAAUGGAUUUCUGGGAAGAUUCUACCCCAAAAACAUAUAUAAUACCCAGGUACUUGCAUACAACAUGUAGGCACAAAGUUGAAAGGAAAAACAACAUAGAAUCUUAAAGUGCCAAAUAGUGCCAUAUCACAUGUGGUACUCUCUAUUCUUCACCUACACUUGCACUUGCCCACACCCACAACUCCAAUGGUGAACAUGAGGGUUGGACCUCAUGUAUGUGUGCCAUAGCACAUCACCAUACACACNAGCACAAGCACACAC
rnacentral:lncRNA from 1 species